GAAAAGGAUGACAUGCCGGAUUACAUUGCACGUGCUGAGGUCAUGAUGACAAUAUACAAGAUCUGAAAAAGAUCCUUCACGUUUUUCUCUUUCAUCUGGGGAAAAAUAAUAGAGAAGCAGUGUACAUAGAGGUUCCAACUGGAAUCCAUCAAAAACAGAAACGGGCACGAGGUGGAGUAGCUAUCUUUUCAUCAAUCGGCCAGGGACAACCACAUAUACGAGCCCAACAUGCUACGAUUAAACUUACAGUAUCCAUCCCCUAAAAGAACUGGGCUGACAAUUCCAAACAAGGACGGGAUACGUGCAAAUAAGAGAAGCAUAUGAUCAGACUUCCACAUGGUUUCGGCCACGUCCAAACAGCCAGCGCAACCUACAUAAAGAGGUCCAACCUGCCGCAUAAGCACACAGAAAAGAAAUAGAAGUCAGCCAAACCAUGACUUGAAGACCCCACAAGAAAAUCGAAGUCCCAUGACCUAAUGCAUGACUCAGGACGUGCCAUGGAGAUUAAAGUUGAUUGCUUCACUCAACGUAUGGCGAAGUCAUGCCCAAGCACGCUCGACGCUUCACGAAUCAUGAAGCGAUGCCCAAUUGCUUCGUUCGACAUCCGAUGAAAUCACGCGUAAGCACUUCUGACCUGAAUCAUCAAGUUUGGUAAUUGUUAUUUACAAAUCUUCAUAGGUACUCUAUCAAUUGAUACUACGACGUACAAUAAGUUCAACACCAUAAUGAUAAGAUACGAAACUGGAACAUUCUACUAAAAGUAACGAGAUGUGGGAUUUAGUCAAUCCUACAACAGAUGAGCUAAUUAGUCUAAGCUUAUUAGUCCUGAUAUUAUAUUGAUGGAUGAGCAUGUCUGUUCUUUAUAUUAUUAAUUUCAAAUUGGUCAAACAAUUUAAACAAUGGUUACUAAGUAUAUCUGAAAAAAAAUUACAAUUUACGCAUUCGACAACUUUAAGGUCACGGAAUCCACAAAGUAUCGACCAGUGAGCGGUGAAAUUCAAAUAUUUUUUGAAUAUAUACAAAGGUAAAGGAGAAAAAAGAUCUCCAGAAGUUUUUUUCAGAUUAUUAUUUCGAGUUUGCUACCAAGGGCACACUACAAGAAUGGGAAGAAAAAAAUAUACAAUGCUCAGGUAUGUUUAUAGUUGUAAUUACGACUUUGAAAUAAACAGUCGUUCUAAUUUAUAUAUUACUAAUCUACAAGUUUGCAUGUGUCAUUGUUUUACUAACACAAACGAAGACUGUGGAAACAAGAAUAACAAAAAAGACCCACAUCCUUCAUAUAUCCGCAAGAUUGAAAUUCUACUACCAGAGUCUGUGUAUAUGCAUAUGCAUGUCUCAAAUUGAACUAAACCUCCUUUGGCAACCAAACUGUCCUUAUUGUGACCUCAAGAAUGGCGCGUAAAUUCAAUGAUAAGUCAAUAAUCUUACAUAGAGGGAUACAUUCUUGAUUAAAUAGGUUUGCGGCUAAAGUCCAAUAAUGCCACAAGAAUAUAUGCAGAUCUGGAUAUACCUGAAACAGAUGAAGUAUGAAACACUACCAUCUAAUAUUUUUGACUCAUGAAUAGUGAUUCACGUUUAAUUCAGUAUUGCAUAACAAUUUUUCUCACCUUUGGCACGCAAAACUAUGCAAUAAAAAGAACAUUUGUGCCUAAUGUUGGGAUUGAGAUGCUCUACUUGAAUGACAAAGUAGAGGAGGUAAAGGCGCAUUUAAUUCUUUUCCUAAACUAAUACACCUUACAUAUAUUGCACAUGAAUUGAUGGAUGAUGAAGUAGACACCGUGUUAACGAAGAAGCAAAACAUGGCCAAUAAAAAGGUGAUUGAUUUUUUCCCCAUGCAUAUUUACAGAUUCUAGAAAUGUGUCAAAUUUUUUUAAAAAAAUAUUUCUUUUGUGGUCACAAAAUAAUAGUCUCACCUUGCAAAUUGCCAUGCAAAUCAGUCCCUAUGAAAGAGGAACAACAUGACAGUAAUGGGACUACAAUAAACAAAGAUGAGCAUCAAGACAAAAUAUAAUCAUCAUCACGUGAGCUCCACAAUGACAAAAUGAGACUGGGAUCUGUUGUAAUAUCAGAUGACUCAUAGGAUGAAUGCACUUAGACGAGUUUGGCAGAGCGAAAAGAAAAGGGUGUCUGCUGAAACAAGAAUUUUUUUAAAAGUAAAAGCCAAAAAUACAAGUCUUGAAGAUGAAGCUGAAGUACAGGAAGUGCCUUUGGGGAACAAGGAAGGUUUCUUGAAAAUUUACCUUGCUGAAUAGCAGAACCAUAUAUAAGCAAAUCAACGGCCUCUCUGGUGUUCCACACAUACCACUAGCUUUGGUAGUGCCCCAUUCUGACCAAAAAUAGUGUUACCACUUUUAGACUUACGGAAAAAAUAAAUCCACUAAGUAAUCGCAUUAAGAUUAUUUCACGACUACUUGAUCAGGUGGCUAGAAGUUAUUUGAGAAAACUCAACAUGCAAAAUCCUGCUCAACAACCCUAUUUGCGAAUUGAUAAAAUACCAUCCAAGUUGACAUAUUAUCUGACAAGGUAAUCUGAUUACCAAACUAAUGCAGAAUAAUCCAUCAAAUUAAUUUUGCCAUAAGGUUACUUAAAAAAAUUGAGAAUGUUACAAGCCUAUCCAUAGCAGUCUGUAUUGUAUAAAUUAGAAAAAUAUAGUCAUACAUGCACUUCUGUCAGUUUAUUGUUCUUGGUAAUAAAAAACAUCAAUCUCAUAAGGCCUUUUCAUUAAAAAAAAUCAUGAAGCCUUAUUUUUAAAGAAAAGGCAUCAUGAAUAAAAUAUUUCUUGCUAACAGCAAAUGCAAAAUACUACGGAGUGCAACACUGCUAUGGAUAAACUAGAAGAGAUAUUUUUUGCUAGAAAGGAUGCAUAUCUUCAAUCGGCACUUACAUUUGGUAGAAAUCUGACAGCACCAACAAUAAGAGGCCACGAUCUCAUGGUCGUCCGCAGAAGCCGCUCACACCUUGCUGCUAUUUAUCAAUCCCACGAUCUACUUACACUCAUCUGCCUUCAGUGCCCCCAUACGAACAGCAACAAGCCCAAACUCUGUCCCGCACCUCACAUCCAACAGUCCACCAUCAGCCCGUGACUCCAUCAGUUCACUCACAGCCUCCUCCAUGGGGUGGUCGAGGAUUCACACCACAGAGGACGCGACGAGCGUGUCUACGCACUCCAUGCGCACGGCCAACUGAGCCAAUAGAUCGACGAAGUGAAAUCAGAAGAAAUGAAUCUACGAGUACGACCGGGAUAGCUUGGGAAUUAGUCUGAUGAUGGCGAGCGGCGACAUCUUCAUCCGCUGGCCGCUAAUCGAAAGAUGUGGCGCAUGCGGAUGGAUAAGGAUCCUGGCAGUGGUGGGGAUCGACUGAGAUGAGAGGAGUGCUUUUUUUCUUAUACGUAGAUGUCUAGAUUUUUUUUUGAGGGGAACGUAGAUUUUCUUUUGAGGGGAACGUAGAUGUCUAGAUGAAGGCCUGUACGGUUGUUCUACUUGGAGAUAUGAGUAGUAGUACUACUUUUCUAGGUGAUCAAAAUGGGCCUCCAUCACGUCGUCUAGGUCUAGGCCUAACUAGGCUUAAUAAUGGGCUGCACAACUGCAUCGUUCUACAUGUGAGGAAUGACUGAGUAAAAGUUGAGGCUUUUUAAAUCUUUCUCUUAUACAAUAGCGGGUCUAUCUGGCAUAUAAUUUUGCAAAGAAAAUUAAGAUAAAAUAGUACCACAACUAAAAAAAUUUAGUAGAUCGAUAAAAAAUCAAAAAGUAUAUGACCAUAUGAAGCUACAAAUAUGAGCGCCGAGUUGCUCAAUUCACAAUAAUAUAAAAUUCCCAACAUUAAAUGUCCAAAUCUCUAAUAUUAAAUAUCAAAAUACAUUGCAUUCAUUCUAAAUACAAGAUAUAUCUAAAUCUAGCCAUGUGAAUGCAUGGGUACAACAAAUUUAAGGAAAAAAUAGCACGGCAAACUGAAAUAAUACAUUGAGAAAAUCAAAAUACAUAUGAUUGUAUGAAGCUAAAAAAAAUGAAUAAGCACUAGCUCAAAUACAUAACAAUACAAUAUUUCCCACAUUAAAUGUCCGAAUCUCUAAAUUAAAUAUUAAUAGUCAUACAAUUUACUCUAAAGAUUUAUCAAAUUCUAGCCGCGCAAAUGCGCAGGUGCACACGCUUGUUGUAGUGAUUGUAACAGUAGUAACGGUAAAGUAAAUAAGCGAAGCACAAUAUGUGAAAAGCUUGUAGGCAUUGGAUCAGUGAUGGAUAAUUAUGUCGGAUGCAAUUCCUCAUGUAAUAGUUAUAACAUAGGGUGACACAGAACUAGCUCCAAUUCAUCAAUGUAAUGUAGGCAUGUAUUCCGAAUAUAGUCAUACGUGCUUAUUAAAAAGAACUUACAUGACAUCUUUUGUCCUACCCUCCCGUGGCAGCGGGGUCCUAGUGGAAACUAAGGGAUAUUAAGGCCUCCUUUUAAUAGAGUACCGGACCGAAGCAUUAACACAUAGUGAAUACAUGAACUCCUCAAACUACGGUCAUCACUGAGAAGUAUCCCGAUUAUUGUCACUUCGGGGUUGUCGGAUCAUAACACAUAAUAGGUGACUAUAGACUUGCAAGAUAGGAUCAAGAACUCACAUAUAUUCAUGAAAACAUAAUAGGUUCAGAUCUGAAGUCAUGGCACUCGAGCCUUAGUGACAAGCAUUAAGCAUAGCAAAGUCAUAGCAACAUCAAUCUCAGAACAUAGUGGAUACUAGGUGUCACAGCCCUAGAGUUUGCUUGUAUCUAGUGGCAUUGCAUCCAUGCAUCAUGUCUAAAUUCCUUUGAAAGUUGAAAUGGGGAUUGUUGAAACCCUAGUACCAAAUGAAUUCCACUAGGUUCAAUAAAAAUAUCUUCAAUAAACCCAAAUGCCCUUUAGAAAAGUUCAUGAUUUUUGUUAAAGGUGAAAACCUCUCCCAAAAAUGGUGCACAUUUUCCUAGGCCAUUCUGGAUUUUUGAAUUAAAUCAUUACGUAUUUGCAUUUGGGCAUUUAAAUACUAUAAAAUAUUUUAAAUGCUCAAAUAAUCCCAAACUAAAAUGUUUGAUGUAGGAUAUAUUUCCAACAGUGGUCAUGAGCGGUUGCAUGAUUUUUGGGAUUGUUUUAGUAUUUUUAAGAAAGCCACAAAGCUGCAGAAAAAUAGAAACAGAAAGAAUUAGAAAGAGAGAGCGAGAGAGAAUACCUGACCACUUACCCAGCCCAGCAGUGCGGCCCACUGGCCCAACUGCCAGUCAUCAUCUCCAUCGCGCCAGUCGGACGCCGAGCGCGUGUCCGACGCGCGCGCACGGCCAUGCUGCCACGCCACCUGCCUGCCUGCCUGCGUCCCCGGGACAGCGCAACGCCGCGGGUUUUCCUCCUCGGUGCCNNNNNNNNNNNNNNNNNNNNNNNNNNNNNNNNNNNNNNNNNNNNNNNNNNNNNNNNNNNNNNNNNNNNNNNNNNNNNNNNNNNNNNNNNNNNNNNNNNNNNNNNNNNNNNNNNNNNNNNNNNNNNNNNNNNNNNNNNNNNNNNNNNNNNNNNNNNNNNNNNNNNNNNNNNNNNNNNNNNNNNNNNNNNNNNNNNNNNNNNNNNNNNNNNNNNNNNNNNNNNNNNNNNNNNNNNNNNNNNNNNNNNNNNNNNNNNNNNNNNNNNNNNNNNNNNNNNNNNNNNNNNNNNUCUCCCCCUCGCCAUUCCCCAUCUCACCGAACGUGUCCGCCGCCACCGACGAGCACCGCCGCGGCCAUCGCCUCUCCCUCGCCCCCUCGAGCAGUCCAGAAGCUCCGCCGCAUCUUCCUCGUCCUCUCCACCGAGCUACACGGCGCCGCAGGCCCUGCAUCAUCGCCAUCUUCGUCAUCUUCGUCGCCGGCCGCCGGAGAUCCCCUUCGCCGUUGCGCUCGCCCCGGUGCUUCCCCGAGCACGCCGAAGCCACCCCUGCAUCCGCCGUGAGCCACUAACCAUCCUUCCCCUCUUCGUUCUCUCUGACUCUCGCCGUACUCGCCGCACCAAGCACACCCGCUCGCGCCGCCUCCUGAGCUCGCCGCCGACGUGGCUCCGGCCACGCAAUGGCCCCGUCGUCCUGUCCACUGACCUCGCCGCAUCUCGUAGGGCCCACAUAUGCCUCGCACGCGCCGACUCAUCCGCCGUAGCCUCGAUCCUGAGCUCACCCGAGCUCCGGCAACCGCCGAGGUCAUCGCCGGCGACAACUCCGGCCACCCCAGGCUCAAUCGCCACCACCACUCGAUGCGGACGUGCGUCCGCAUCAUGUAGAUGCCCUCCGCCGGCCGUUUGGUCGCCGGAGACGCAAACCCGAGGCUCGCCACCGUGGCUGGCCUCGCCGGCGUCAUGUCGCCAGUGGGUUUGACCCCACUGACCCGGGAUUUGACCCUGUUUGACUUCCCCAGGGUCACUGACAGGUGGGCCCGUGCCCCUGCUAAUUAGGUUAAGUGCUAACUAAACAUAAUUAGCCCUGUUAAUACUGACAUGUGGGACCAGGGCCUUAACUGGUUUAGUUUAGUAUUAGUUUGGAGCUAAUUAACUCAGGUUAAUUAGUUAGACACUGGCAUGUGGGUCUCGGCCGUCAGGUUUGACCUGAGCUGGCGCCUUUGGCCUGCUGACGUCACCCCGACGUCACACUGACGCAGAUAACCCUUUCUGGAUUUAUUUUUAUUUCAGGAAUUUCAGAAAAUACGCCAAACUUCUAAAAAUCAUAGAAAAAUAACCGUAGCUCAGAAAGAAAUAAUUUAUAUAUGAAAAAUUAUCAGAAAAAUCCAAUCUAUCCAUCUGUACCAUUUUCAUGCAUGUUAGAACAACUUAUGACUACUAUUUAGGACAAAUCAUUUGAAUGACAUUUGAAUAAUCACAUAUAGAGUUGAAUUUGAAUCUUUGGUUCAAACCAACUUCAUUUUAAUCUGGUUGCUAGUUGCAUUAGCUCAAAUCACAUCAUAUUGCCAUGCCAUAUUCAUGCAUCAUAUUGUCGCAUUGCAUUGAUUGUGUUCUUCCUUGUUUGCCGGUGUUUGUCCCCUCUCGAUAGACGUGGUUCCGACGAUGUGAUCGAUGACACCGAUGAAGAUCUAUACUAUCUUCAGAAGUGCCAGGCAAGCAAAACCCCCUUAUUCAUUCCGAUACAAUCCCACCCUCUCGCUCCUGCUCUAUUUUACUGCAUUAGGACAACAACGAUACAACUGUUACUUGAUGCGGUAGUUGAACCCCUUUAUCCUCUGCAUGACCUGUCAUUGCCACAGUAAAUAGAUGAAACCCACUAGCAUGAGUAGGAGUUGUUUGAGCCCUGAUGUGCCUACUCAUUCAUGCUUGUUUGUCAUGCCUGCUAUUGCUUAGAGUUGUGUUAGGUCUGACUCAUCAGGGAUGAAUUGGAGGUGUGUGAACAUGUCCUACUGUGUGUGAGCUAAGUGUGUGAACACGAUUUGGUAAAUGUAGCGGUGAGAGGCCAUGUAGGAGUACAUGGUGGGUUGUCUCAUUGAAACUGUCCUCAGGAACUGAGUUCUGUGUUUGUGAUCCAUGAACAGCUACUAUCACACAUUGGAAUGCUUAAGUGCCCCUCUCGACUUAUUAAUCAACAUGAUCUCUGUCCAGGAGUUGCAACUAGUUUCUGGUGUUUGUAGGUAGUGUUAGUAGUCUACCAAGUGGCACCCGGUACAAGUGGGCUUGGGACAGACUAGGCGCAGUGGCCCGGUGUACCAAGUGGCACCCGGAUGGUGGGCUUGGGAACCCUGCACACAUCGUUUGGGGCCGUGAGCGACACCCUAGGCCGGAUCUCCUUGCGGAUGGAACCCGAAUAGGCGAUAAACCUGGAUUAGAGACUUUUGUGGUUAGUCAGGUCGUGGUCGACUCCCUCGCCAGGCUUCCGCUUGAAGGUUGCCGAGAUACACGACGUGUACAUGGUGGUAAGUGGCGAGAGCGUGUGUGAAGAAGUACACCCCUGCAGGGUUAAUAUGAUCUAUUCAAAUAGUCGUGUCCGCGGAAAAGGACUUCUGGGUUGCCUGUACAGUUCAUAGACAAGUGAAAGUGGAUACUCUAGAAUGCGCAAGAUAAGCGUGAGUGCUAUGGAUGGCGUUCUCGUAGGGAGACGGGAGCGGAUCCAUAGUGGUGUAUUGAUAUGGUGAAUAUGUGGACUCGUGCGCCACCUCAAAAGAGUUACUUGCAGUCGUAGUUCAGGAUAGCCACCGAGCCAAAGCUGGCUUGCUGCAGUCAAACUCCACCACCCCUUUAUUGAUAAUGAUGCAUAUGUAGUUAGUUCUGAUGUAAGUCUUGCUAGGUACAUUUGUACUCACGUUUGCCUAUUUUAUGUUUUUGCAGAGACUUCCGUCUCACUAGUAGUUCCGCGUGGACUUCGACGUUUAGCUUGUUACCUCAGCUACGAUCUUGUGCCCUCGGCAGGAUCUAGUAGAUAGUCAGGCUUCUCAGCCUUUUUCAUUUAUAGUUGUCUGUACUCAGACAUGUUAAGCUUCCGCUUGUGCUUUGACUUGUGUGCUCUGAAUGUUGGGUCGUGAGACCCCUGUUUGUAAUAUCUCGCUCCUCGGAGCCUAUUGAAUAAAAUACUUGAGUUGUAGAGUCAUGUUGUGAUGCCAUGUUGUAUUUGCACAUAUCGAGCAUAUUGUGUGUAUGUUAUUGAAAUGCUUGGUAUGUGUGGGAUCUGACUAUCUAGUUGUUUAUCCUUAGUAGCCUCUCUUACCGAGAAAUGUGUCCUAGUGCUUCCACUGAGCCAUGGUAGCUUGCUACUGCUCCGGAACACUUAGGCUGGUCGGCAUGUGUCCUUCUUCGUUCUUGUGUCUGUCCCCUCGGGGAAAUUUCACGCGAUAAAUACCGGAGUCCUGUUAGCCCGCUACAGCCCGGUUCAUCGGAGUCCUGCUAGCCCAGUGCUACAACCUGGAUUCACUCACUGAUGACCGACACGUUCGAUGCUGGGUCAUGGAUGCCUGUCCCUGUAAGUUUGUGCCACUUUGGGUUUACGACUAGCCAUGUCAGCCCGGGCUCCUAUCAUAUGGAUGCUAGCGACACUAUCAUAUACGUGUGCCAAAAGGCGCAAACGGUCCCGAGCAAAGGUAAGGCGACACCAGUGGGGAUACCGUGCGUGAGGCCGCAAAGUGAUAUGAGGUGUUACAUGCUAGAUCGAUGUGGCAUUGAGUCGGGGUCCUAACAGCUUUGGUAUCAGAGUUUGACUGCCUGUAGGAUUACUAAGACAAACUGGUCGAAGUUGAGUCUAGAAAUGGUUUAGUUAUAUGUUGGGGAAUUGAUUGUGGGAUUGAACGUAAGGCUCUUUUUACUCCUUUACCUUAUGCCCUUCUGAUCUGAGUCAACCCCUUCUCUUCUACGGGGAUUAAGAACUAGGCUUCUCAUCUUUCUAUUAGGAUCACAUGCUACUAAUCCGUAGACUUAUAGAAUUGUUGGACUUAAGCCUCGGUUUAGUUCCUACUACCUCCAUAUGUUAACUGUUGAUCUUGAAACCUUGAUAUUGUGCUUCUGAGUGGCUAUGCCACCAUCUUUGUAGCAUGUCUCCAAUCUUUUUGAGCAUUUACAGUCGUUAUGUUGUCCGAGUCAUCCCAGAUUUCUAAACAAUUUGAUGCACUUGCAAAUCCUUUCCCUCUGGUUUUGAUGCUCCUUUAGGCCAGGUUAAUCACACUAAUUGUUGACUUGAGGUAUUCUAUUGCCUCGACAUUUAUGUUGGAAUUAUUAUUAUGACUCUAGGUGUCCUAGGGGGAUCAUCUAGUAAUCUAGCCAUGAUUUGUGUCCCAGUGUGAUGAUUCUGGCCUUUAUUCUCGAAAGCAUCCCGUGAUGCCACUUAGUAGUAGGUAUUCUACUCCCUGGGUUUUGAAGCCCGAGAUUCACCCUACUUACUUCAUGUUGAUAGUAAUUGCUAGCUCCCUUAGGUUAUUAGUAACCUUUGCGAUAGUCCUCGAGGUCCGUGGUAUUUCCUUCUUCCAAAUACCAUGAACCAUUUUGGCAGAAGUUCUCUUGAACCGAAAGAUCACAACAAGAGUGCUCUCAAUGAGUUUCCUAUCCUAUGUUGUGAAUCUGCCAGUCCUACCUUCCCGCAUGGGUUAUCCGAAAGAAAUAUGUUGCACUUGUUCGACAUACUAACCUAUGCAUCCACAACUCAGAAAGAUAUAUGUUCCUUUGAGUUGUCCCUCUGUAGUUGCAUUCCGAUCCUUGUCUAUCAGUUUAUAGCCAAGUUUAUGUCGUGCAUUCGUGUUAUCGAUGCUUAUUAUUCUUGUGGUCCGUCAAGCCAUUCUAUUCAGGAUGACUAGGAGAAACAAACUCCAGUACCUCAUCCAUAUCCAGGAUUGGGUCAAAAUAGUUGUGCUCCGCAGAUCAAAAUGCCAACCCAGCUUUUGAUUCUGUUCUACCCUGAAGUAUUACCGUCUUUAUGUCAGGAUUUUCAUGAGAAUUACACCGGCUCUUGUGAAUUCUUGACGUAGUGAUACUUUUCGCCAUCAUUAUUCAUUCCUCGGUUUCGUGUUGUCGCAACCGGAACGCCGACAAGUGAAUAAUGAUGUGUGAAAUCUAUAUUCCUAGCAACCAUGUUACAUAGUGAUUAAUGGACGAUAAUCUCAUUCUUAGUGUGUUGGUUAUGGAAUCAUCAUUCUGAGAUUGAUCGUGCUACCUAGUCCUUAUUUCCGGGUGCACUCCUCGAUCAAUGAGUCAGGAUUGUGUCAAACCCUUGCUCUUUGAUCAUAUCGUCUUGCCCUGAAAGCAAGAUUGUUCCCGAGCUUAAUAACAUAUCGGUGGUUCGUGAUUUUCCGAAUAUCCUCUUGGAAGUAUCACCAGGACGUCACAUGACUGCUGUGUUGAGUUCGUGAGCAAGUUGGUUGCUUGUAACCACCCCUUCUCCAAGAAUCUGUGUUGCAUACCCCUGAGCUGGUUGGUUAAGCUAAACAACAACUUGGAGAGUUGGAAGAUGAAAGCUUGUCCGACUUAGUUCAUUUUAAGGGAUAUCUUGUGUGUGUGUGUGUUGAAGAUAGAUGAUAUCUUCCUUGAUUGAACCUCGUGGUCAAUUAUUGGAUCUAUUGUCUUGCCAAAACUUUGAUUUGAAUAUGGGCUAUCCUCAAAUCAAAUCAGAACCAACGAUGCUCUUAAUGUUGUCUUACCCAUGGUUGAUCCCUCGAGCAUACACCAUUAUAUCUUUUGGGUCUAACCAAUGCUAUCAUUUGUUCACAUAAUUAUGGGAUUCCAUCUUCAUGGAAACCUGGAUGAAUUGUUGUUGAGCCCAUCAGCAACAUUUUUUAUCUUCUCCAUGAUUUUGCUGAGCAUUAAGCUAGUGUUGGAAACUUUUGAAAGCAUUUCUUCAUGCUAGCUCAUGAAGCAUAUGUUCGGAUGUAAGAAGCUACUUCCUCCAGUUCAUGUGCAUUUGGUGCAAGUUGUCGUCGUGAAUUCGAGAAAGUUAAUGUUGCCCCCUCUGGAACCAUCCCAAGUCAGUCAUGCAUGUGCGAAGUAUGCUAUGGUUUGAUAGGCUCGCUACCUCCAUUCUAUAUGUGUCCCUAGCACACUGAGGGAGUCCUGGACUAGGGGGUGUCCGGACAGCCGGACUAUCAUCGUCCGCCGGACUCCAAGACUACGAAGAUACAAGAUUGAAGACUCCGUCCCGUGUCCGGAUGGGACUUUCCUUGGCGUGGAAGGCAAGCUUGGCGAUACGGAUAUGUAGAUCUCCUACCAUUGUAACCGACUCUGUGUAACCCUAGCCUCCUCCGGUGUCUAUAUAAACCGGAGGGCUUUAGUCCGUAGGACACAACAUACAUUACAACAAUCAUACCAUAGGCUAGCUUUAGGGUUUAGCCUCCUUGAUCUCAUGGUAGAUCCACUCUUGUACUACCCAUAUCAUCAAUAUUAAUCAAGCAGGAUGUAGGGUUUUACCUCCAUCGAGAGGGCCCGAACCUGGGUAAAAACAUCGUGUCCCUCGUCUCCUGUUACCAUCCGCCUAGACGCACAGUUCGGGACCCCCUACCCGAGAUCCGCCGGUUUUGACACCGACAUUGGUGCUUUCAUUGAGAGUUCCUCUGUGUCGUCACCGAUAGGCUCGAUGGCAUCUUCAGCCAACAACGCUGUCUAGGAUAAGACUUUCCUCCCCGGACAGAUCUUCGUGUUCGGCGGCUUCGCACUGCGGGCUAAUUCACUUGGCCGUUUGGAGCAGAUCGAAAGCUACGCCCCUGGCCGUCAGGUCAGAUUCGGAAGUCUAAACUUCACGGCCGAUUUCCGCGGAGACUUGAUCUUCGACGGACUCGAGCCACAGCCAAGUGUGCCGCACUAUGACGAUGGGCAUGAUCUAGCUCUGCCGCCGAACAGUGCCUUGGUGGCCGCACAUGAAUCUGCUUCGGCCUUUAGUCCAGAGCCGAUCGCCCAAAUCGAGGAGCGGUGGAUGGACACCACCUCGGGGGCUUCAACCUCCACGGCGAUGGAGCCGAACGCUAAUCUUGUCCCACGCGAAACUCGUGAUUCCGAGGUUCCGGACUCCUUGCCGGACUCCGAACCUCCCACGCCCCUACCAAUUGAUUCGGAUUGGGCGCCGGUUAUGGAAUUCACCGCCGCGGACAUCUUCCAACACUCGCCCUUUGGCGACAUGCUAAAUUCACUAAAGCAUCUCUCGUUAUCGGGAGAGUCCUGGCCGGACUAUGGCCAGGAUGGUCGGGAUUCGAACGACGAAGAAAUUCAGAGCCCACCCACCACCCACUUUGUAGCCACUGUCGACGAUCUAACCGACAUGCUAGACUACGACUCCGAAGACAUCGACGGUAUAGACGACGAUGCCGGAGACGAACAAGAAACAACGCCUAUAGGGCACGGGAGGACCACCUCGUCAUAUGACAUAUACAUGGUGGAUACCCCAAAAAGAGAGCGAUAACGAGGACCAACGGGCCGCGGCAGAAGAUAACCCCGCCGAUAAACAACCAAAACGGCGGCGCAGACGCCGCGCUAAGCCCCGCCUCGAUAACAACAACGCUCCUAAGGACCCCACAAUACAGCAGGGCACACAAGUGGACGACGAACACGUAGAUAAGCAACCGUCCGAACAGGACGAGUCAGAUAAUCAGUCCAGGCCCGGCGAAAACGACAGUCCGGACGAUCUCAUGCCGGACACGCCGCCGGAGAGUAAAAACCUUCGGAAAAUACUCUUCAGCACUGCAAGAAGCUUGAAGAAGGAAAAGCGGAAGCUCAAAACAGCGGAAGAUACACUCAGAAUGAGGUGGAGCAAAGUGCUCAAAACCGCGGAUAAAUACGGCAAUGGCCACCAAUCAAAGAGCUACCCGAAGCGCAAGCUGCUACCAGAAUUCGAUGAGGAGGCCAUAGAGCCCCCACCGUCAAAAAAUAAAGAGGCUGCCUGGUUGGAUAGACGGCCAGAUGAUAGGCCAAAUUCUGAAAGCGGCGUCGCACAUAAACCAACUAAUGAACCUGGAAAGACAGAUGGCCCAGCCAGGUCCAUUUACGGGCCAAAGAAGAAGGCCCCAGGAAGAAAGGCGACACGCCAAGUGUCCGAAGAUAGUGGCACACCCAAGUACAUGGGCGCCGCACACCCACUAUGUUUCACCGAUGAGGUGCUGGAUCACGAAUUCCCAGCGGGAUUUAAACCCAUAAACAUAGAGGCCUACGAUGGAACAACAGACCCUGGAGUCUGGAUAGAAGAUUAUAUACUACAUAUACACAUGGCCAGAGGAGAUGAUCUCCACGCCAUAAAGUACCUACCCCUCAAGCUCAAAGGGCCAGCCCGUCAUUGGCUUAAAAGCCUCCCAAAAAACACUGUGGGAAGUUGGGAAGAGCUCGAGGACGCGUUUAGAGCAAAUUUUCAACGGACUUAUGUCCGCCCUCCGGAUGCAGAUGAUCUAAGUCAUAUAACUCAACAGCCCGGAGAGUCAGCGUGCAAAUUCUGGAACAGGUUCCUCACCAAAAAGAACCAAAUAGUCGACUGUCCGGACACCGAAGCCUUAGCAGCUUUUAAACACAAUGUCCGAGACGAAUGGCUUGCCAGACACCUCGGCCAAGACAAACUGAGGACAAUGUCCGCGCUAAGAAGCCUCAUGACCCGCUUCUGCGCGGGAGAGGAUAGCUGGCUAGCAAGAUGUAGCACCAGCAACCCAAGUACAUCUGAGAUAAGAGAUGGAAACGGAAAAUCAUGGCGCAGAAAAGAGCAGCGCCGGAAUAAAGAGAAAAGCCCAAAGAGCACGGCAGUCAACGCCGGAUUCAAAAGCUCGCGGCCAAACAACAAAACACCGCCUCUUAAGGAUGACAGCGAUGAGCUGUCCAACUUAAACAAGAUUUUGGGUCGGAUAUGUCAAAUCCAUAGUACCCCCGGAAGGCCUGCAAACCACACCCAUCGAGAUUGUUGGGUUUUUAAACAGUCCGACCGACUAAACGCCGGACACAAGGGGCUCGACGCGUCAAGCGAAGAAGAUAAACCCCACCAGCAGAGCACCGGAAAACAAAAGACUUUCCCACAGGAGGUCAAAGCAGUAAACUCACUUCAUGUGAUAAUACGGAAAAAUAGUGCGGCACUUCCUAAAAAGAGCCUCGCACGGUCCAACCCAGCAGACCAUAGAGAUUUGAUAUCAAAACCAAUCACUUUCGACCACCUGGACUAUUCCAGAAGUGUUCGAAACGCGGGACGGACUGCCCUGAUAUUGAAUCCCAUAAUCGACGGACUACAAUUUACUAAAGUCCUAAUGGACGGAGGCAGCGACUUAAACCUGCUGUAUUCAAACACAAUCCGCAAGAUGGGGAUAGACCCUACCAAAAUUCGACACAGCCGCACUUCCUUCAAAGGAGUGACGCCAGGCCCUUACGCCAAGUGCACAGGCUCCCUACUACUAGAAGUUGUGUUCGAAUCACCGAACAACUUUCGGCGCGAAAAACUAAUAUUUCAUAUCGUCCCAUUUAAAAGUGGAUAUCAAGCACUCUUGGGACGAAAGGCUUUUGUCCGUUUCAACGCCAUACCGCAUUACGCGUCUCUUACACUCAAGAUGCCCGACCCACGUGGCAUCAUUUCAGUGCGGGGGUCACUUAAAGACCCCGGACUCGGAUAGACGAGUCCGGCUUCAGUAGGCUAGGGGCUCCCUAGCCGCACACCCCUUCACAAGGGGCUGCGCGCACAAACAACCGUGGGUUCAUUCAAACCCCGCUUUACUCAUUUAUAUUUUUUCUUUGCAAACAUAACUUUCUUCGCACGAAUUGUUUUCAAACUAAGCGUUCCUCUCUUUUUUACAGAUGAACAACGUGCAUACCCGUCCAGGAUAACGGCACAGCGGAGACACAGGCGCAGACGUGCAGUAGGGACCCGUUGUGAGGAUUCUUUUCAGAUUAAGACCCUGCGUAAACCUUUUUUACUGUCUCUUGUUGUUAUUCUCCCUUGGUUUCUUCCUAUAACCAAAGCGGAGCCUGACGUUUUGGCAUCGGCCGCGUCAGAAGACCAUGCCCGUACCUGGACACUAGGGGCUUAGGGCAUUGUUCUGCCCAUUAUUACAAAGACUGAACACCUUAGGGAGUGUUCGGCGUCUCGAGUUAGGCAUUAUAUGCAUCAGCUCCGAAUCAUGUCUUUGGUCAAAUGUUGGGUUUGCCCGGCUCCUGUGCUUUGCUGCCUUACGUUCCGUAUCAUCGGCUAACGUGGCACCAGGAGAACUACUGCGAUUGUGCCCCAGUUCGGCUGGGCGAGCACCUCAGUAGAGAAAGCCGAAAACUGACUGUCAUGAUAUAGCGCGAGACUGGUCAACCACUCGAUCGACUACCGGAAUGUUUAGAAUUCCCCGCUUUGACGAAGGACCGUUUCCCGGUCAGGCACACACGCGCCCCGAACUCGGAGAAGUGCGGUGCCCCCAGGGGCUAUAUCGUAGCCCCACCCUCGAACUCGACUGGCUAAGUGAAAGUGAUAAAGCAUUAUAGUCCGGAUUGCCUCGUUUGCUACGCUACCACCUCCUUAACAGGACCGAGACGUCGGAUUAAGUGUGAAAACGUGCUAUUUUUGCGAACACCCCCGCACCUUGUGCGUGGGGGCUGAAGCCGAAGACUGCAAUCUUUCAGGUUAUACAAAUGUAUACGUAAACGGCCGCAUAGGAAAAGUUUUACUAUUUGGGACGCACAAGUAUAAAAAGCAGUUAUAGCAUAAUCAUCGUUUUACAAGCUAAAACAUUCAUUUGAACGUGACAUUCUUUGAGCACUGCGACUCUAUUACACGAGCGCCACGCAUAACUUCCCCGAAAUAGUGCUCAGCGGGGAGCCGGCUUCCAUCCGAACCCUGGGUGGCAAUAGCGGUGGCAUCCAUCUCUGUCCAAUGUGUCUUCACACGGGCAAGAGCCAUCCGCGCGCCUUCGUUGCAGGCCAACCGCUUCAUCUCCUUAAUAUGCGGCACCGCUCCAAGAAAUUGCUGCAGUAAGCCGAAAUAGCUCGUCGCCUUGGGCCUCUCUGGCCAAACAUGAGCCACGAUGUCGGUCAUGGCAAGUCCGGACAAUCUAUUUAGCUCAGCCCAUUCGGCCAACCGGUCGGUCAACGGAAGUGAACGAUCCAGACUACGGAAUUGAGACCAAAAUAGCUCUUCCGUCUUGUGAUCCUUCUGGCCCCGGAAGUGCUCAACGGCAUCAACCGCAAUUGACGCUAAGUCCAUAUACGGAUCAUCCGGACUCCACAGCUGGCUAAAUUGGGCAUACUUUUGAUCCAUAAACCGGCGACGCGGCAGAAAAGGAUGGCCAGCCACGAUAUCUCCGGCCUGGCGCAGCUCCUCCUUCAUGGCCCGCAUUGCAGAACGGGCAUCCUUGGCCUCGGCGGUGGCCUUUCUCAGGUCUUCCCGCUCCGAUAAGCGCUCCUUUUCAAGAGCCUCAUUACGGUCGGCAGCAUCUUUUAAUUUUACGGCCAAUUCAGCCAUCUCUUCCCUGCUUAGGCAGUGUGUAGCCUUUUCGGCUUUCAACUCCUCGGCCGCCCUCGAGGCAGCCACGUCACUCCUUCGGGCUUGCUCCUUAGCUUGAGCAAGUUCGGCCCGAAGGCUCUCCACAGUAGCAGCACCGUCUGUACCACAUAUAAUUUAUCAGUGGAGGGUUUUGACCCCCUCAAUAAAGCGACUGCGGAGAACUCAUUUACCUUGCGACUCGUCAAGUCGCCGGUUGACAAGUGCGAUGUCCGCAUCCACCACGUCAAGUUGCUGCAUUAACUCGGCAACUCCACCAGUCCGGCUAGCCCUCGGACUAUCCGCCACCUGCAUAGGAACAACGACAUUCAUUACUUGCGAUUUUGAUCCUCGGCACGCUGUCGUUCUUGACAACCUACCGAGUCUCAGGGGCUACUAUCUAUACAGGGCGCACUUUUAUGUGCAAAACUGUCAAUAAAAAAAAGGGUGCGUCAUUCUUGCGUACCUCAAAUCCCGCUAGCAAACUCAUAGCGGCGUUGCGCAAUCCGCUCUCGGCGGACGAAAUCCUUCCAAUCACCAUACGCAUCAACACACGGUGAUCUUCUGAGAUGGACGCCCUCUCAAGCAGAUUCUUCAGUUCUCCCGGUCGGACACUAGCGGGCGCCGAACUCUCCGGCCCCUCCGGACUCGGGGAUACCCUCCGUGACGAUACUUCAGGCUCGUCUGCCUUAUCUGACGGCACAGCAGACGGAGGCGUUUCGCUCUCCAUCAUCUCCGGAAGAAGGUCCCCCGAAGACAAACUCAUCUGAGAAGGCUGCAAAUCCGAACUGCAAGACAAAAGUUUCGGUUACCCAGAGAAGCACAAAUGGAGGUAUUUUCUUACUAAUGAAACCCCCUUUUUCAUACUCACGGCUCGCUGGAGGGCUGAUCCUUUGGCGAUGAUUGUACGUCCGGAUUCUCCCCGGACGCCGGACCCCCCGGUGAAGAUCUCUUCCCCCGUUUAGGGGCUUUGGCCUCCGGAUCUUCGGAGGCGGUCCUCUUCUCCCCCUGGAAGGAGGGGUUUUUGAUUCCCCCCUCUUUAGACGCCCCUUUGGGCGAAAUAAUAGCUCCUCUAUUUUCCCCAUCGCUCCCUCCUACGGGUGCGACCUCCAACAUUCUGACCAGCACGGGCUCCAGUGCGGUCUCUGGGAGGGGAGCCGGACACCUUAUCAGCUUCGAUCGCGCUAUCCACUCCUGUAAAGAGUAAUGGGUCAGGAGGCGAACUCUAGAAAAGCAGAUAAAUAGAACGUCCAGACUCUGAGCUAUUUACCUGAGUAUCCGGGCGAUUGCAGCUUAGGCCUGCAUCCUCGGUCAAUUCCGGACACGCUACCUGCGGUCCGAAGAACAACUUGUACAUCUCCACGGGUGUAGCACCCAUGAAGUGUUGGAGAAUUCGAGGUCCCUCCGGGUUGAACUCCCAUAGACGGAGAGGACGGCGUUUGCAGGGCAGAAGACACCUGAUUAGCAUAACCUGCAUCACCACGACCAGAUUGAUCUCCCUCACCUAGAGGUCUCUAAUCUGGCCCUGCAAUGAGGGCACGUCUUCGGACGGCCCCCAAUUGAGCCCUUGGUUGACCAACGACAUCAGUUGGCGUGGAGGUCCCGGGCGGAAUGAAGGCGGCGGCUUUUGCUUGCUGCCCUUCGGAGGGUGAUAUAGAACCACUCCUGCUGCUACAGUCCGAGUUCCUCUUGGAAGGAACCCUCGGGCCACGGGGCAUCGGCCUUUAUGCUUAUGGCUGCCCCGCCGCACUCCGCUUGACGCCCCCCGAUCAUCUUCGGCUCCACGUUAAAGGUCUUCAGCCACAGGCCGAAGUGGGGAGUGACGCGGAGGAAGGCUUCGCAGACGAUAAUGAAUGCGGAGAUAUGGAGGAUGGACUCCGGAGCCAAGUCGUGGAAAUCCAGCCCGUAGUAGAACAUGAGCCCUCUCACGAAGGGGUCCGUCGGGAAGCCUAAACCCCGACGGAGGUGGGAUACGAAGACAACGUGCUCACCGGGCUCGGGAGCGGGCACGGCCUGCCCUUGGGCGGGCAACCUGUGCGAAAUCUCGUAGGAAAGGUACUUGGCCUCGCGCAGCUUAAACACGUCCUCCUCCGUGACGGAGGAGGGCAUCCACCGGCCCUAGAGGUCGGAGCCGGACAUGGUUGAGAAUCCGAAGUGCUCGAAUCUGAGGCUCUGAGUGUUGGAACUAGGGGCGAGGAGGAGAUUCGAUGCGAGAUUGAAGAAAAAGAACGAGCCUUGGUCCUCUUAUAAAGGGGCAAAAUACCAAGAGUCGUCUCCGUGACCGUUUGGGAUUCACCUUCGAUAGAGGAGGCGUGGCGACGGGCACGGUUGGGUUACCCACGCAUGUAUUGAUGAGAAUCCCGGAAUAAGGGGAACACGAUCUCUGCUUCAACAAGACGUGCCAAGGAAACCGCUUCGCUAAACGUGCUGAGGUGGUAUAAUAAAAAACGAUUCAAGUAAAAGCCUGGUAGCGGUGUGAUGCCAUGCCGCAUAAUACGUCAGUAGAUUGGACUUGUGUGCAUUUUAUUCUCUCUACGGUGGAAUGUGGAAUUUAUUUUGCAGAGCCGGACACUAUCCUGGUGUUCAUGAUCUUCUCUGGAUUAUUCAAGGGAGGAACCCGCCUUGCAAUGCCGAACAUUAUGCGCGCCGGACUUAUCGUCAUUGAAGCCUGUUGGAAAUAUGCCCUAGAGGCAAUAAUAAAAGUGUUAUUAUUAUAUUUCUUUGUUCAUGAUAAUAGUCUUUUAUUCAUGCUAUAAUUGUAUUAUCCGGAAAUCGUAAUACACGUGUGAAUACAUAGACCACAAUAUGUCCCUAGUGAGCCUCUAGUUGACUAGCUCGUUGUGAUCAACAGAUAGUCAUGGUUUCCUAGCUAUGGACAUUGGAUGUCGUUGAUAAUGGGAUCACAUCAUUAGGAGAAUGAUGUGAUGGACAAGACCCAAUCCUAAGCCUAGCACAAAGAUCGUAUAGUUCGUAUGCUAAACUUUUCUAAUGUCAAGUAUCUUUUCCUUAGACCAUGAGAUUGUGCAACUCUCGGAUACCAUAGGAAUGCUUUGGGUGUACCAAACGUCACAACGUAACUGGGUGGCUAUAAAGGUGCAUUACAGGUAUCUCCGAAAGUAUCUGUUGGGUUGGCACGAAUCGAGACUGGGAUUUGUCACUCCGUGUAAACGGAGAGGUAUCUCUGGGCCCACUCGGUAGGACAUCAUCAUAAUGUGCAAAAUGUGACCAAGGGGUUGAUCACGGGAUGAUGUGUUACGGAACGAGUAAAGAGACCUGCCGGUAACGAGAUUGAACAAGGUAUCGGUAUACCGACGAUCGAAUCUCGGGCAAGUAAAAUACCGCUAGACAAAGGGAAUUGUAUACGGGAUCGAUUGAGUCCUUGACAUCGUGGUUCAUCCGAUGAGAUCAUCGUGGAACAUGUGGGAGCCAUCAUGGGUAUCCAGAUCCCGCUGUUGGUUAUUGACCGGAGAACGUCUCGGUCAUGUCUGCAUGUCUCCCGAACCCGUAGGGUCUACACACUUAAGGUUCGAUGACGCUAGGGUUAUAAAGGAAGCUUGUAUGUGGUUACCGAAUGUUGUUCGGAGUCCCGGAUGAGAUCCCGGACGUCACGAGGAGUUCCAGAAUGGUCCGGAGGUAAAGAUUUAUAUAUGGGAAGUCCUGUUUUGGUCACCGGAAAAGUUUCGGGGUUUAUCGGUAAUGUACCGGGACCACCGGGAGGGUCCCGGGGGUCCACCAAGUGGGGCCACCAACCCCGGAGGCUUGCAUGGGCUAAGAGUGGUGAGGGACCAGCCCCUUAGUGGGCUGGUGCGCCUCCCACAAGGGCCCAUGGCGCCUAAGAGGUGGAAAGGGAGCAAACCCUAAGGGGAUAUGGGCCUUAGGGCCCAUAUUGGUGCGCCUCCCUCUCCUCUCCCCUCUUGGCCGCCACCCCCUUGCCAUCUAGGGCUGGCCGCACCCCUUUGGGGUGGGAAACCCUAAAGGGGGCGCAGCCCCCUUCUCCCCUAUAUAAAUAGAGGCCUGGGGCUGCCCAUAACAUAUGAGAACUUCCUCUCGUUGGUGCAGCCCUGCCUGUCCUCCUCCUCCUCUCCCAUGGUGCUUGACGAAGCCCUGCGGGAUUGCCACGCACCUCCACCACCACCACGCUGUUGUGCUGCUGCUGGAUGGAGUCUUCCUCAACCUCUCCCUCUCUCCUUGCUGGAUCAAGGCGUGGGAGACAUCACCGGGCUGUACGUGUGUUGAACGCGGAGGUGCCGUGCGUUCGGCACUUGAUCAUCGGUGAUUUGAAUCACGACGAGUACGACUCCAUCAACCCCGUUCACUUUAAUGCUUCCGCUUAGCGAUCUACAAGGGUAUGUAGAUGCACUCUCCUUCCCCUCGUUGCUAGUUUCUCCAUAGAUAGAUCUUGGUGAUACGUAGGAAAAUUUUGAAUUUCUGCUACGUUCCCCAACAGUGGCAUCAUGAGCUAGGUCUAUUGCGUAGAUUCUUUGCACGAGUAGAACACAAAGUAGUUGUGGGCGUUGAUGUUGUUCAAUAUGCUUACCGUUACUAGUCCAAUCUUGUUUUGACGGUAUUGUGGGAUGAAGCGGCCCGGACCGACCUUACACGUACUCUUACGUGAGACAGGUUCCACCGAUUGACAUGCACUUGUUGCAUAAGGUGGUUAGCGGGUGCCAGUAUCUCCCACUUUAGUCGGAACGGAUUCGAUGAAAAGGGUCCUUAUGAAGGGUAAAUAGCAAUUGGCAUAUCACGUUGUGGUUUUGCGUAGGUAAGAAACGUUCUUGCUAGAAACCCAUUAGCAGCCACGUAAAACAUGCAGCAACAAUUAGAGAACGUCUAACUUGUUUUUGCAGGGUAUGCUAUGUGAUGUGAUAUGGCCAAGAAGAAUGUGAUGAAUGAUAUGUGAUGUAUGAGAUUGAUCAUGUUCUUGUAAUAGGAUUCACGACUUGCAUGUCGAUGAGAAUGACAACCGGCAGGAGCCAUAGGAGUUGUCUUUAUUUAUUGUAUGACCUGCGUGUCAUUGAACAAUGCCAUGUAACUUACUUUACUUUAUUGCUAAACGCGUUAGCCAUAGAAGUAGAAGUAGUCAUUGGCGUGACAACUUCAUGAAGACACGAUGAUGGAGAUCAUGAUGAUGGAGAUCAUGGUGUCAAGCCGGUGACAAGAUGAUCAUGGAGCCCCGAAGAUGGAGAUCAAUGGAGCUAUAUGAUAUUGGCCAUAUCAUGUCACAACUAUAUAAUUGCAUGUGAUGUUUAUUAUGAUUAUGCAUCUUGUUUACUUAGGACGACGGUAGUAAAUAAGAUGAUCCCUUACAAAAAUUUCAAGAAGUGUUCUCCCCUAACUGUGCACCGUUGCUACAGUUCGUCGCUUCUAAGCACCACGUGAUGAUCGGGUGUGAUGGAUUCUUACGUUCACAUACAACGGGUGUAAGACAGUUUUACACAGCGAAAACACUUAGGGUUAACUUGACGAGCCUAGCAUGUGCAGACAUGGCCUCGGAACACGGAGACCGAAAGGUCGAGCAUGAGUCGUAUGGUAGAUACGAUCAACAUGAAGAUGUUCACCGAUGAUGACUAGUCCAUCUCACGUGAUGAUUGGACACGGCCUAGUUGACUUGGAUCAUGUAAUCACUUAGAUGACUAGAGGGAUGUCUAUCUGAGUGGGAGUUCAUAAGAUGAACUUAAUUAUCCUGAACAUAGUCAAAAGGAUUUUGCAAAUUACGUCGUAGCUCGCGUUUUAGUUCUACUGUUUUAGAUAUGUUCCUAGAGAAAAUAUAGUUGAAAGUUGAUAGUAGCAAUUAUGCGAACAGUAAAAAGCUUAUGUCCUUAAUGCACUGCUCAGUGUGCUGAACCCCAAACGUCGUUUGUGGAUGUUUCGAACAUCGAACAUACACGUUUUGAUAACUACGUGAUAGUUCAGUUAAAUGGUUUAAGUAGAGGCACCAAAGACGUUUUUGAAACGUCGUGGAACAUAUGAGAUGUUUCGAGGGCUGAAAUUGGGAUUUCAGGCUCGUGCCCACGUCAAGAGGUAUAAGACCUCCGACAAUUUUCUUAGCCUACAAACUAAGGGAGAAAAGCUCAAUCGUUGAGCUUGUGCUCAGAUUGUCUGAAUGCGACAACCACUUGAAUCGAGUGGGAGUUGAUCUUCCAGAUGAGAUAGUGAUGUUUCUCCAAACUCAUUGCCACCAAGCUGCUUGAGCUUCGUGAUGAACUAUAACAUAUCAGGGAUAGAUAUGAUGAUCCUUGAGGUAUUCAUGAUGUUUGACACCGCGAAAGUAGAAAUCAAGAAGGAGCAUCAAUUGUUGAUGGUUGGUGAAACCACUAGUUUCAAGAAGGGCAAGGGCAAUAAGGGAUACUUCAUGAAACGGCAAAUCAGCUGCUGCUCCAGUGAAGAAACCCAAGGUUGAACCCAAACCCGAGACUAAGUGCUUCUGUGAUAAGAGGAACAGCCACUGGAGCAGAAUUACCCUAGAUACUUGGUAGAUUAGAAGGCUGACAAGGUCGAUAGAAGUAUAUUGGAUAUACAUUGUGUUGAUGUGUACUUUACUAGUACUCCUAGUAGCACCAGGGUAUUAGAUACCGGUUCGGUUGCUAAGUGUUAGUAACUCGAAAUAAAAGCUACAGAAUAAACGGAGACUAGCUAAAGGUGAGCUGACGAUAUGUGUUGGAAGUGUUUCAAUGUUGAUAUGAUCAAGCAUCGCACGCUCCCUCUACCAUCGAGAUUGGUGUUUGCGUUGAGCAUAGACAUGAUUGGAUUAUGACUAUCGCAAUACGGUUAUUCAUUUAAGGAGAAUAACGGUUACUCUGUUUAUUUGAAUAAUACCUUCAAUGGUCUUACACCUGAAAUGAAUGGUUUAUUGAAUCUCGAUCGUAGUGAUACACAUGUUCAUGCCAAAAGAUAGUAAUGAUAGUACCACCUACUUGUGGCACUGCCACUUAAGUCAUAUUGGUAUAAAACGCAUGAAGAAGCUCCAUGUUGAUGGAUCUUUGGACUCACUCAUUUUUGAAAGGAUUGAGACAUGCGAACCAUGUUUGUUGGUAGAUAUGCAUGAAGAAACUCUAUACAGAUGGAUCGUUUGGACUCACUUGAUUUUGAAUCACUUGAGACAUGCAAAUCAUACCACAUGGGCAAGAUGACUGAAAGCCUCGUUUUCAGUAAAAUGGAACUAGAAAGCAACUUGUUGGAAGUAAUACAUUUUGAUGUGUGCAGUCCAAUGAGUGAUGAGGCAUGUAGUGGAUAUCGUUAUGUUCUUACUUCACAGAUGAUUUGAGUAGAUGUUGAGAAUAUUUACUUGAUGAAACACAAGUCUGAAUUAUUGAAUGGUUCAAGUAAUUUCAGAGUGAAGUAGAAGAUCAUUGUGACAAGAGGAUAAAAUGUCUAUGAUAUGAUCAUAGAGAUGAAUAUCUGAGUUACGAGUUUUGGCACACAAUUAAGACAUUGUGGAAAUUGUUUCGCAAUUAAUACCGCCUGGAACACCAUAGUGUGAUGGUGUGUCCGAACAUCAUAGUUGCACCCUAUUGGAUAUGGUGCAUACCAUGAUGUCUCUUAUCGAAUUACCACUAUCGUUCAUGGGUUAGGCAUUAGAGACACCCGCACUCACUUUAAUAGGGUACCACGUAAUUCCGUUGAGAUGACACCGGUUUAGAGAAACCUAUGCUGUCAUUUCUUAAAGGUUUGGGGCUGCGACGCUUAUGUGAAAAAGUUUCAGGUUGAUAAGCUCGAACCCAAAGCGGAUAAAAUGCAUCUUCAUAGGACACCCAAAACAGUUGGGUAUACCUCCUAAUUCAGAUCCGAAAGCAAUAUGAAUUGUUUCUUGAAUCGGGUCCUUUCUCGAGGAAAGGUUUCUCUCGAAAGAGUUGAGUGGGAGGAUGGUGGAGACUUGAUAAGGUUAUUGAACUGUCACUUCAACAAGUGUGUAGCAGGGCACAGGAAGUUGUUCCUGUGGCACCUACACCAAUUGAAGUAGAAGCUUAUGAUAGUGAUCAUGAAGUUUCGGAUCAAGUCACUACCGUACCUCGUAGGGUGACAAGGAUACAUACUACUUCAGAGUGGUACAGUAAUCCUGUCUUGAAGGUCAUGUUGCUAGACAACAAUGAACCUACGAGCUAUGGAGAAGCGACGGUGGGCCCAAAUUCCAACAAAUGGUUAGAAGCCAUGAAAUCCGAGAUAGGAUCCAUGUAUCAGAACAAAGCAUGGACUUUAGUGGACUUGCCCGAUGAUCGGCAAGCCAUUGAGAUAAAUGGAUCUUUAAGAAGAAGACGGACGUGGAUGGUAAUGUCACCAUCUAUGAAGCUCGACUUGUGGCGAAAAGUUUUUUCACAAGUUCAAGGAGUUGACUACGAUGAGAUUUUCUCAUCCGUAGCGAUGCUUAAGUCCGUCGGAAUCAUGUUAGCAUAAGUUGCAUUUAUGAAAUCUGGCAGAUGGAUGUCAAAACGAGUUUCCUUACCAACUUUCGUAAGGAAAGGUUGUAUGUGAUACAAUCAGAAAGGUUUUGUCGAUCCUAAGGAUGCUAAAAGGUAUGCUAGCCCCAGCAAUCCUUCUAAGGACUGGAGUAAGCAUCUCGGAGUUGGAAUGUGCACUUUGAUAAGAUGAUCAAAGAUUUUGGGUUUAUACAAAGUUUAUGAGAAACUUGUAUUUCCAAAGAAGUGAGUGGGAGCACUAUAGAAUUUCUGAUGAGUAUAUGUUGUUGACAUAUUGUUGAUCAGAAAUGAUGUAGAAUUUCUGGAAAGCAUAUAGGGUUACUUGAAAGUGUUUUUCAAUGGAAAGCCUGGAUUAAGCUACUUGAACAUUGAGCAUCAAGAUCUAUAAGGAUAGAUCAAAACGCUUAAUGGUACUUUUCAAAUGAGCACAUACCUUGACAUGAUCUUGAAGGUGUUCAAGAUGGAUCAGUCAAAGAAGGAGUUCUUGCCUGAGUUGUAAGGUAUGAAGUUAAGACUUAAAGCUCGACCACGGCAGAAUAGAGAGAAAGGACGAAGGUCGUCCCCUAUGCUUAAAACAUAGGCUCUACAGUAUGCCAUGCUGAGUACCGCACCUGAAGUGUGCCUUGCUAUGAGUCAGUCAAGGGGUACAAGAGUGAUCCAAGAAUGGAUCACACGACAGCGGUCAAAGUUAUCCUUAGUAACUAGUGGACUAAGGAAUUUUCUUGAUUAUGGAGGUGGUAAAAGAGUUCGUCGUAAAGGGUUACGUCGAUGCAAGCUUGACACCUAUCCGGAUAGCUCUGAGUAGAGAUACCGGAUAUGUAUAAUGGAGCAACAAUUUAGAAUAAGCUCCAAGUAGAACAGUUAUUUGGAAUAGCUCCAAAUAGAGCGUGGUAGCUGCAUCUAGGAGAUGACAUAGAGAUUUGUAAAGCACACACAGAUCUGAAAGGUUCAGACCCGUUGACUAUAACCUCUCUCACAAGCAUAACAUGAUCAAACCCAGAACUCUUGGGUGUUAGUCACAUGGGGAUGUGACCUUGAGUGUUAAUCACAUAUUGAUGUGAACUAGAUUAUUGACUCUAGUGCAAGUGGGAGACUGUUGGAAAUAUGCCCUAGAGGCAAUAAUAAAAGUGUUAUUAUUAUAUUUCUUUGUUCAUGAUAAUAGUCUUUUAUUCAUGCUAUAACUGUAUUAUCCGGAAAUCAUAAUACACGUGUGAAUACAUAGACCACAGUAUGUCCCUAGUGAGCCUCUAGUUGAUAAGCUCGUUGCGAUCAACAGAUAGUCAUGGUUUCCUGGCUAUGGACAUUGGAUGUCGUAACGGGAUCACAUCAUUAGGAGAAUGAUGUGAUGGACAAGACCCAAUCCUAAGCCUACCACAAAGAUCGUAUAGUUCGUAUGCUAAAGCUUUUCUAAUGUCAAGUAUCUUUUCCUUAGACCAUGAGAUUGUGCAACUCCCGGAUACCGUAGGAAUGCUUUGGGUGUACCAAACGUCACAAUGUAACUGGGUGGCUAUAAAGGUGCAUUACAGGUAUCUCCGAAAGUAUCUGUUGGGUUGGCACGAAUCGAGACUGGGAUUUGUCACUCCGUGUAAACGGAGAGGUAUCUCUGGGCCCACUCGGUAGGACAUCAUCAUAAUGUGCACAAUGUGACGAAGGGGUUGAUCACGGGAUGAUGUGUUACGGAACGAGUAAAGAGACUUGCCGGUAACGAGAUUGAACAAGGUAUCGGUAUACCGACGAUCGAAUCUCGGGCAAGUAAAAUACCGCUAGACAAAGGGAAUUGUAUACGGGAUCGAUUGAGUCCUUGACAUCGUGGUUCAUCCGAUGAGAUCAUCGUGGAACAUGUGGUGGCCAUCAUGGGUAUCCAGAUCCCGCUGUUGGUUAUUUACCGGAGAACGUCUCGGUCAUGUUUGCAUGUCUCCCGAACCCGUAGGGUCUACACACUUAAGGUUCGAUGAUGCUAGGGUUAUAAAGGAAGCUUGUAUGUGGUUACCGAAUGUUGUUCGGAGUCCCGGAUGAGAUCCCGAACGUCACGAGGAGUUCCGAAAUGGUCCGGAGGUAAAGAUUUAUAUAUGGGAAGUCCUGUUUUGGUCACCGGAAAAGUUUCGGGGUUUAUCGGUAACGUACCGGGACCACCGGGAGGGUCCCGGGGGUCCACCAAGUGGGGCCACCAACCCCGGAGGCUUGCAUGGGCUAAGAGUGGUGAGGGACCAGCCCCUUAGUGGGCUGGUGCACCUCCCACAAGGGCCCAUGGCGCCUAAGAGGUGGAAAGGGAGCAAACCCUAAGGGGAUAUGGGCCUUAGGGCCCAUAUUGGUGCGCCUCCCUCUCCUCUCCCCUCUUGGCCGCCACCCCCUUGCCAUCUAGGGCUGGCCGCACCCCUUUGGGGUGGGAAACCCUAGAGGGGGCGCAGCCCCCUUCUCCCCUAUAUAAAUAGAGGUCUGGGGCUGCCCAUAACAUAUGAGAACUUCCUCUCGUUGGUGCAGCCCUGCCUCUCCUCCUCCUCCUCUCGCAUGGUGCUUGGCGAAGCCCUGCGGGAUUGCCACGCUCCUCCACCACCACCACGCUGUUGUGCUGCUGCUGGAUGGAGUCUUCCUCAACCUCUCCCUCUCUCCUUGCUGGAUCAAGGCGUGGGAGACGUCACCGGGCUGUACGUGUGUUGAACGCGGAGGUGCCGUGCGUUCGGCACUUGAUCAUCGGUGAUUUGAAUCACGACGAGUACGACUCCAUCAACCCCGUUCUCUUGAACGCUUCCGCUUAGCGAUCUACAAGGGUAUGUAGAUGCACUCUCCUUCCCCUCGUUGCUAGUUUCUCCAUAGAUAGAUCUUGGUGAUACUUAGGAAAAUUUUGAAUUUCUGCUAUGUUCCCCAACAAAGCCUGGUUCAGGUGCUACUGAGGGAGUCCUGGACUAGGGGGUGUCUGGACAGCCGGACUAUCAUCGUCCGCCGGACUCCAAGACUACGAAGAUACAAGAUUGAAGACUCCGUCCCGUGUCCGGAUGGGACUUUCCUUGGCGUGGAAGGCAAGCUUGGCGAUACGGAUAUGUAGAUCUCCUACCAUUGUAACCGACUCUGUGUAACCCUAGCCUCCUCCGGUGUCUAUAUAAACCGGAGGGCUUUAGUCCGUAGGACACAACAUACAUUACAACAAUCAUACCAUAGGCUAGAUUUAGGGUUUAGCCUCCUUGAUCUCGUGGUAGAUCCACUCUUGUACUACCCAUAUCAUCAAUAUUAAUCAAGCAGGACGUAGGGUUUUACCUCCAUCGAGAGGGCCCGAACCUGGGUAAAAACAUCGUGUCCCUCAUCUCCUGUUACCAUCCGCCUAGACGCACAGUUCGGGACCCCCUACCCGAGAUCCGCCGGUUUUGACACCGACACACACCAAGCCACUGAUUGAUUUGGUUCAAGGAAAGGGAGUUGUUGUGCUAAUCCUAGGUCAUGCACAAGACUUCGUUACCCUAGAUGAUGGAUCCUAGCCUGAACUUGGUAGUAUUUUAUCAUAAGACUACUAUGUGGUCAUGCUUGUCUGGAACAGCGUGUUCACAUGUUGUAGCAGAACCAGCUCAUGUUUUGGAGCUUACUAUCGUAGUUCAUCUCCCGAGAAUCCUGCAACGUUAUCUCGUCGAUUUAUGUUGCAAACUUUCGUCUUUUUUUCUAGACUAGAUGAGUCCGGAAUAUCCUGACACCAACCAGAUCUGAAUCUCAGGCAGAUAUGAUGGUUGGAACGUUUUCCAAGAAACUAUAAUAUUGGUCUCUCUGUAACCCGGUAAAGUGGAUGUCGUGGCCAACACACCCAACCAGAAGACCUACUAUUGUAGUAUCUUGAUUGAGAAAGUUGGCCACCUCCCCGUAAGGAUCUCGUAGAACUUACUCCAAUAAUUAUUCCUUAUGGAUUUUUGUGCUCCCGAAGUCCGACCUUUUACUUGAUGUUCUAGAUACCAAACCAUUUCAAUGAAUGGGAUACGCUAGCACAUCAAGGAGAACAUUAGAAGCGGAGUGCUAAAUGUCUCUCGGUCGAUCAUCCAGAUUUUGUUUUCCUUGGCCCCGCCAAGGUGAAGUCUGAGAAGGUGCUAUCUUCCUUUGCAUCUGCAUCUUCACCGGUAUUCAUCAUGGUAGUACGUUGUGUUGCCAGGAUCCUUGACACGGAUAUUGGUAAAACCUUGAUGAAUAUGGAAAUGCUCAAGUUCUUGAGAGCACGCUCAGUCACUAGGUUUUUAUCCUCGGUAUCAAAUUUGAAUGUGCCUCCCGUUUGCCGAGUUGUGCUAUUACCAAAUAGCUCCCUUUCCAAUUAGAGUAUGCCAUUUAUUCAAACUCUUUUGAUUGAUCGAUUGUGAUUUGCCAUAGGCUGAUAUAAGGAGUUUCAAUGAUCCCUGAAUCAAAGGUAAUUCUUUUUGCCACUUAAGGGGAUAUUUCUACGAGUUACCUUCCCUAAGGUGCCCCGUUAUGGUAACAUGUCAACUCAACUCCUUGCUACAUUGACAACCGUUCACCAUCUUGUUAAGUGUGAAUUGUUGCCUACCAAUCUGAAUCUUCGUCAUCUGUCACUAUACAUCCCUCUCGAGAUGUGUCCUGUGUCUCAUCUCAAGAGAUGUUCUUUCGUCUCACUCCAUGAGUUGAUCUUGAGUGCUCGAACUUCGAGGAGAUCGAUUCCGGUAGAAUUUCCUUUCCCUUUUGUCAUCGUGUUGGAUGAAGAUCUUGAAAGCAAAGACGUUAAGAUCAAUUUGAAGCAAUGAAUCAACAUCUUCGAGAAGGGCUGUUGGAUCGCAAAGAUUGUGUUAGCUCAUGUCCCCUCUGUCUUCUUACCUCACGUCUUGAAUCUCGGGACGAGAUUCUUGUUUAGUGGGGGUGAGUUGUCACAGCCCUAGAGUUUGCUUGUAUCUAGUGGCAUUGCAUCCAUGCAUCAUGUCUAAAUUCCAUUGAAAGUUGAAAUGGGGAUUGUUGAAACCCUAGCACCAAAUGAAUUCAACUAGGUUCAAUAAAAAUAUCUUCAAUAAACCCAAAUGCCCUUUAGAAAAGUUCAUGAUUUUUGUUAAAGGUGAAAACCUCUCCCAAAAAUGGUGCACAUUUUCCUAGGCCAUUCUGGAAUUUUGAAUUAAAUCAUUACGUAUUUGCAUUUGGGCAUUUAAAUACUAUAAAAUAUUUUAAAUGCUCAAAUAAUCCCAAACUAAAAUGUUUGAUGUAGGAUAUAUUUCCAACAGUGGUCAUGAGCGGUUGCAUGAUUUUUGGGAUUGUUUUAGUAUUUUUAAUAAAGCUACAAAGCUGCAGAAAAAUAGAAACAGAAAGAAUUAGAAAGAGAGAGCGAGAGAGAAUACCUGACGACUUACCCAGCCCAGCAGUGCGGCCCACUGGCCCAACUGCCAGUCAUCAUCUCCAUCGCGCCAGUCGGACGCCGAGCGCGUGUCCGACGCGCGCGCACGGCCAUGCUGCCACGCCACCUGCCUGCCUGCCUGCGUCCCCGGGACAGCGCAACGCCGCGGGUUUUCCUCCUCGGUGCCGUCCCNNNNNNNNNNNNNNNNNNNNNNNNNNNNNNNNNNNNNNNNNNNNNNNNNNNNNNNNNNNNNNNNNNNNNNNNNNNNNNNNNNNNNNNNNNNNNNNNNNNNNNNNNNNNNNNNNNNNNNNNNNNNNNNNNNNNNNNNNNNNNNNNNNNNNNNNNNNNNNNNNNNNNNNNNNNNNNNNNNNNNNNNNNNNNNNNNNNNNNNNNNNNNNNNNNNNNNNNNNNNNNNNNNNNNNNNNNNNNNNNNNNNNNNNNNNNNNNNNNNNNNNNNNNNNNNNNNNNNNNNNNNNNNNNNNNNNNNNNNNNNNNNNNNNNNNNNNNNNNCAUCUCACCGAACGUGUCCGCCGCCACCGACGAGCACCGCCGCGGCCAUCGCCUCUCCCUCGCCCCCUCGAGCAGUCCAGAAGCUCCGCCGCAUCUUCCUCGUCCUCUCCACCGAGCCACACGGCGCUGGAGGCCCUGCAUCAUCGCCAUCUUCGUCAUCUUAGUCGCCAGCCGCCGGAGAUCCCCUUCGCCGCUGCGCUCGCCCCAGUGCUUCCCCGAGCACGCCGAAGCCACCCCUGCAUCCAUCGUGAGCCACUGACCAUCCUCCCCCUCUCCGUUCUCUCUGCCUCUCGCCGUAGUCGCCGCACCAAGCACACCCGCUCGUGCCUCCUCUUGAGCUCGCCGCCGACGUGGCUCCGGCCAUGCAAUGGCCCCGUCGUCCUGUCCACUAACCUCGUCGCAUCUCGUAGGGCCCGUAGAUGCCUCGCACGCGCCGACUCAUCCGCCGUAGCCUCGAUCCCGAGCUCACCCGAGCUCCGGCAACCGCCGAGGUCAUCGUCGGCGACAACUCCGGCCACCCCAGGCCCAACCGCCACCACCACUCGAUGCGGAGAAGCGUCCGCAUCACGUAGAUGCCCUCCGCCGGCCGUUUGGUUGCCGGAGACGCAAACUCGAGGCUCGCCACCGUGGCUGGCCUCGCCGGCGUCAUGUCGCCGGUGGGUUUGACCCCACUGACCCGGGAUUUGACCCUGUUUGACUUCCCCAGGGUCACUGACAGGUGGGCCCGUGCCCCUGCUAAUUAGGUUAAGUGCUAACUAAAUAUAAUUAGCCCUGUUAAUACUGACAUGUGGGACCAGAGCCUUAACUGGUUUAGUUUAGUAUAAGUUUAGAGCUAAUUAACUCAGGUUAAUUAGUUAGGCACUGACAUGUGGGUCCCAGCCGUCAGGUUUGACCUGGGCUGGCGCCUUUGACCUGCUGACGUCACCCCGACGUCAUGCUGAUGCAGAUAACCUUUUCUGGAUUUAUUUUUAUUUCAGGAAUUUCAGAAAAUACCCCAAACUUCUAAAAAUCAUAGAAAAAUAACCGUAGCACAGAAAGAAAUAAUUUAUAUAUGAAAAAUUAUCAGAAAAAUCCAAUCUAUCCAUCUGUACCAUUUUCAUGCAUGUUAGAACAACUUAUGACUACUAUUUAGGACAAAUCAUUUGAAUGACAUUUGAAUAAUCACAUAUGGAGUUGAAUUUGAAUCUUUGGUUCAAACCAACUUCAUUUUAAUCUGGUUGCUAGUUGCAUUAGCUCAAAUCAGAUCAUAUUGCCAUGUCAUAUUCAUGCAUAAUAUUGUCGCAUUGCAUUGAUUGUGUUCUUCCUUGUUUGCCGGUGUUUGUCCCCUCUCGAUAGACGUGGUUCCGACGAUGUGAUCGAUGACACCGAUGAAGAUCUAUACUAUCUUCAGAAGUGCCAGGCAAGCAAAACCCCCUUGUUCAUUCCGAUACAAUCCCACCCUCUCGCUCCUGCUCCAUUUUACUGCAUUAGGACAACAACGAUACAACUGUUACUUGAUGCGGUAGUUGAACCCCUUUAUCCUCUGCAUGACCUGUCAUUGCCACAGUAAAUAGAUGAAACCCACUGGCAUGAGUAGGAGUUGUUUGAGCCCUGAUGUGCCUACUCAUUCAUGCUUGUUUGUCAUGCCUGCUAUUGCUUAGAGUUGUGUCAGGUCUGAUUCAUCAGGGAUGAAUUGGAGGUGUGUGAACAUGUCCUACUGUGUGUGAGCUAAGUGUGUGAACACGAUUUGGUAAAGGUAGCGGUGAGAGGCCAUGUAGGAGUACAUGGUGGGUUGUCUCAUUGAAACCGUCCUCAGGAACUGAGUUCUGUGUUUGUGAUCCAUGAACAACUACUAUCACACAUUGGAAUGCUUAAGUGCCCCUCUCGACUUAUUAAUCAACAUGAUCUCUGUCCAGGAGUUGCAACUAGUUUCUGGUGUUUGUAGGUAGUGUUAGUAGUCUACCAAGUGGCACCCGGUACAGGUGGGCUUGGGACAGACUAGGCACAGUGGCCCGGUGUACCAAGUGGCACCCGGAUGGUGGGCUUGGGAACCCUGCACACAUCGUUUGGGGCCGUGAGCGACACCCCGGCCGGAUCUCCUUGCGGAUGGAACCCGAAUAGGCGAUAAACCUGGAUUAGAGACUUGUGUGGUUAGUCAGGUCGUGGCCGACUCCCUCGCCAGGCAUCCGCUUGAAGGUUGCCGAGAUACACGACGUGUACAUGGUGGUAAGUGGCGAGAGCAUGUGUGAAGAAGUACACCCCUGCAGGGUUAAUAUGAUCUAUUCGAAUAGCCGUGUCCGCGGAAAAGGACUUCUGGGUUGCCUGUACAGUUCAUAGACAAGUGAAAGUGGAUACUCUAAAAUGCGCAAGAUAAGCGUGAGUGCUAUGGAUGGCGUUCUCGUAGGGAGAUAGGAGCAGAUCCAUAAUGGUGUAUUGAUAUGGUGAAUAUGUGGACUCGUGUGCGCCACCUCAAAAGAGUUACUUGCAGUCAAACUCCACCACCCCUUUAUUGAUAAUGAUGCAUAUGUAGUUAGUUCUGAUGUAAGUCUUGCUAGGUACAUUUGUACUCACGUUUUCCUAUUUUAUGUUUUUGCAGAGACUUCCGUCUCACUAGUAGUUCCGCGUGGACUUCGACGUUUAGCUUGUUACCUCAGCUACGAUCUUGUGCCCUCGGCAGGAUCUAGUAGAUAGUCAGGCUUCUCAGCCUUUUUCAUUUAUAGUUGUCUGUACUCAUACAUGUUGAGCUUCCGCUUGUGCUUUGACUUGUGUGCUCUGAAUGUUGGGUCGUGAGACCCCUGUUUGUAAUAUCUCGCUCAUCGGAGCCUAUUGAAUAAAAUACUUGAGUUGUAGAGUCAUGUUGUGAUGCCAUGUUGUAUUUGCACAUAUCGAGCAUAUUGUGUGUAUGUUAUUGAAAUGCUUGGUAUGUGUGGGAUCUGACUAUCUAGUUGUUUAUCCUUAGUAGCCUCUCUUACCGGGAAAUGUCUCCUAGUGCUUCCACUGGGCCAUGGUAGCUUGCUACUGCUCCGGAACACUUAGGAUGGCCGGCAUGUGUCCUUCUUCGUUCAUGUGUCUGUCCCCUCGGGGAAAUGUCACACGAUGAAUACCGGAGUCCUGUUAGCCCGCUACAGCCCGGUUCACCGGAGUCCUGCUAGCCCAGUGCUACAGCCUGGAUUAACUCGCUGAUGACCGACACGUUCGAUGCUGGGUCAUGGAUGCCUGUCCCUGUAAGUUUGUGCCACUUUGGGUUUACGACUAGCCAUGUCAGCCCGGGCUCCUUAUCAUAUGGAUGCUAGCGACACUAUCAUAUACGUGUGCCAAAAGGCGCAAACGGUCCCGGGCAAAGGUAAGGCGACACCCGUGGGGAUACCAUGUGUGAGGCCGCAAAGUGAUAUGAGGUGUUACAUGCUAGAUUGAUGUGGCAUUGAGUCGGGGUCCUGACACUAGGGAUCAAACCCUAACAAAACUAACUUGAUUACAUGGUAAAUCUCAUCCAACCCAUCACCGUCCAGUAAGCCUACGAUGGAAUUACUCACGCACGGCGGUGAGCAUCAUGAAAUUGGUGAUGGAGGAUGGUUGAUGAUGACGACGACGACGAAUCCCCCUCUCCGGAGCCCCGAACGGACUCCAGAUCAGCCCUCCCGAGAGGUUUUAGGGCUUGGCCGCGGCUCCGUAUCGUAAAACGUGACGAAACUUCAUCUCUGAUUUUUUUUCUUCGUGAAACGGAAUAUAUGGAGUUGGAGUUGAGGUCGGUGGAGCAUCAUGGGGCCCACGAGACAGGGGCACGCCCUAUAGGUGGGCGCGCGCCCCACCCUCGUGGACAGGGUGUGGGCCCCCUGGCCUUCAUCUUUUGCCAGUAUUUUGUAUAUAUUCUGAAACUUAUCUCCGAGGAUUUUCAAGUCAUUCUGAGAACUUUUGUUUCUGCGCAAAAAUAACACCAUGGCAGUUCUGCUGAAAACAACGUCAGUCCGGGUUAGUUUCAUUCAAAUCAUGCAAGUUAGAGUCCAAAACAAGGGCAAAAGUGUUUGGAAAAGUAGAUACGUUGGAGACGUAUCAACUCUCCCAAGCUUAAACCUUUGCUUGUCCUCAAGCAAUUCAGUUGACAAACUGAAAGUGAUAAAGAAAAACUUUUACAAACUCUGUUUGCUCUUGUUGUUGUCAAUAUGUAAAGCCAACAUUCAAGGUUUCAGCAAAGAUUAUGAACUAACGAUAUUCUCAAUAACACUCAGGUCUCAUGUAUACUCAUAUCAAUGUCAUAAUCAACUAGCAAGCGAUAAUAAUAAAACUCGGAUGACAACACUUUCUCAACACAAUCAUAAUAUGAUAUAACAAAAUGGUAUCUCGCUAGCCCUUUUUGAGACCGCAAAACAUAAAUGCAGAGCACCUUUAAAGAUCAAGGACCGACUAAACAUUGUAAUUCAUGGUAAAAGAGAUCCAGUCAAGUCAUACCCAAUAUAAACUAAUAGUAAUGCAUACAAAUGACAGUGUGCUCUCCAGCGGGUGCUUUUUAAUAAGAAGGUGAUGACUCAACAUAAAAGUAAAUAGAUAGGCCUUUCGCAGAGGGAAGCAGGGAUUUGUAGAGGUGCCAGAGCUCGAUUUUAAAAUAGAGAGAUAAAUAACACUUUGAGCGGCUUACUUUCACUGUCAACGCAACAACUAUGAGAUGGCGAUAUCUUCCAUACUACAUGCAUUAUAGGCGGUUCCCAUGCAGAAUGGUAAAGUUUAUACUCCCCCACAACCAACAAGCACACUCCACGGCCAUCCGAAACAACGGCGUACCGUCCAUACCAACAACAGCCCUGGGGGAGUUCUGUUUUAAUUAUUUUGAUUUGCUUUGAUAUUUUUGAUCAUGGGACUGGGGAUCCCGGUUACCAGCCAUUUUCUCGUAAAUUAGGAGCGGAGUCGACUCGUCUUGAGAAUAACCCACCUAGCAUGGAAGAUACAGACAACCCUAGUUGGAACAUGGGCUGUUCGAGCAAACAAAAUAGAAUUUCAUUUGAAGGUUUGGAGUUUGACUCAUAUGGAAUAACUUUGGGGUUCAAGGGAUUUGGAUGCACAAGCAGUAUUCCCGCUUAGUACAGGUGAAGGCUAGAAAAAGACUGGGAAGCGACCAACUGAGAGAGCGACAAUAGUCAUGAACAUGCAUUAAAAUUAAUCAACACUGAGUGCAAGCAUGAGUAGGAUAUAAUCUACCAUGAACAUAAAUAUCGUGAAGGCUAUGUUGAUUUUGUUUCAACUACAUGCGUGAACAUGUUCCAAGUCGAGUCACUCAAUGCAUUCAAAGGAGGAUACCAUCUCAUCAUACCACAUCACAAUCAUUUUAAUAGCAUGUUGGCACGCAAGGUAAACCAUUAUAACUCAUGGCUAAUUAAGCAUGGCAUAAGUAACUAUAAUCUCUAAAUGUCAUUGCAAACAUGUCUACUUCAUAAUAAGCUGAAUCAAGAAUGAUGAACUCAUCAUAUUUACAAAAACAAAAGAGGUCGAGUUCAUACCAGCUUCUCUCAUCUCAAUCAAUCCAUCAUAUAUCGUCAUUAUUGCCUUUCACUUGCACGACUAAACGAUGUGUGUAAUAAUAAGAGUGCAUGUGCGUUGGACUAAGCUGGAACCUGCAAGCAUUCAAUUCAAGAGAGAAGAGAAAAUAAUAUGGGCUCUAGAUUAAAUCAACCAUCAUGCAUAUGCGAGCCACUAAACAUUCUUUCAGUAUGGUCUUCUACUCUUGACCCCCAAAGGAAAGAAAAGAAAUAAAACUAUUCACACGGGAAAGCUCCCAACAAGUAAAAGAACGGGAAAUCUUUUUGGGUUUUCUUUUAAUUAUUACUACAAGCUUGGAAUUAAAACUAACUAAUUUUUUUGGUUUUUCUUAAGAUUUAUCAAACACACAAGAAGAAAACUAGAAAAAGGAUUUAAACUAGCAUGGAUAGUAUAAUCAAAGAGUAUGAGCACUGACGUCUAGAAUAGUGUGUGAACAUGAAUAUAAAGCCGGUGGGAAAUACGUACUCCCCCAAGCUUAGGCUUUUGGCCUAAGUUGGUCUAUGGCCAUGGAUAGCCUGACUGAUAUCCGAGUUGUAACUGGGGUCGUACUGAGAUGCAGCAGUCAUUGCCUCCUGCGCUGCUGCCUGACGGCGGGCUGCCUCCGCCCUCCUCUCUUGUUCAUUUGCCUCCUCCCUGGUGACUACAUAACUUCGUUUUGCCUGAUAAUCAAAAAGGGUAGGAGCAGGGAGAGUAAUAUGGAUGACACGGCGUCUGUCAAAAGAUUAGUCGAUAUUGGAGGAAUUGAUCAUUCCUUUCGAGGAAUUGAUGACUAAUCAUAGCAUUAUGAUCUAAAUAAGCAGGAAGCAAUUUCAUAUCAUUUUCAUGUAUAGGUAUCUCAAGAUAAUUAGCCACACGAGUUGCAUAAAUUCCUCCAAAAAAGUUUCCAGCUAAAGCAUUAUGAUGCAACCUACGUGCAACAAUUGCCCCCAAGUUGUAUUGUUUAUUACCUAGUACAACGCUUUUGAGAACACACAAAUCAGGGACACACAUGUGACAUGCUUCAUCUUUACCAUUAACACAUCUACCAAUGAAGAGAGCAAAAUAAUGUAUAGACGGAAAAUGAAUGCUCCCUAAGGUAGCUUGUGCUAUGUCCCUAGAUUCUCUCACAGUGAUAUUUGCAACAAAAUCUUUAUAUGCAGAUUUACUAGGUUCAUUAACACUUCCCCACUGCGGGAGUUUGCAAGCAGUAGUAAAAUCUUCUAGGUUCAUGGUAUAAGAUUUGUCAUAGAUAUCAAACAGGACACUUUGAGAAUUGCGCGAAGAUGUAUAUUUAAACCUUCUCACAAAUGAAUCAGUUAAGUACUGGUACUGCGGGCACUUAUCUUGCAUGAACUCCUCAAGGUAGGCAUUACGCACAUAUGCAUCAAAUUCAUCCUUGAUACCCGCUGCAACCAUAAAUGGCUCUGACGGCCAUUCACAAGGCCGCAUAUCAGCUUCCCUUGGUAGUUUGUCGUCAAGCUCACGUAUUACGAGUCGGGGUCCUUUCUUCCUUGAAGAACCUCCUUGGUACAUUUUCCUAAACAUAUUUCUUUUUCUGCAAUAUUUCUGAAAUUUUUAGUAACUUCAAAAUAAAAGUAAAUAAAACUGAACAAGAUUGAUAGCAACUAUUCCUGCAAGUGCCUAGAGCCUAUAUCAUGCAUUAGAAUUACUUGGGACCUCAUAAAUUUAACAUGCAAACUCAAGAACAGGGUCACCAAGGAAGCAAGGAUUUGCAAUGAAUAAAGCACUAGAACAAAAACUAAUUGGAUCAAUGGAGGAGUCACAUACCAAGCAACAAUCUUCCAAAGCAGUUUUGUGAAUGGGGCUUUGAGCAAGGAGAUCGAAAAUUGCAGCAAAAUGAGCUGGAACUCGUUCUUGAGAAGGAUGAUGAUUUGUUUGGGAGGAAUAAGAAGUGUGUGGGUGCAGGAAUAAGUGGAGGGGGUCCACCAUGGGCCCACGAGACAGGGGGCGCGCCCUAUGGGGGGGCGCCCUCCACCCUCGUGGCCUGGUGCUUGACCCCCUGCAGUAAGUUUAGUGCCUAAAAUCCUCAAAUAUUCCACAAAAAAUCAUACUAAAUUUGCAGGGAAUUUGGAGCACUUUUAUUUUUGGGAUAUUUUUUUAUUGCAUGGAUAAUUCAAAAAACAGACAAAAAAUUUUAUUUCUACUUUAUUUAUUCUAAGUAAUAGAAAGUAAAAAGAAAGUACAGAAGGUUGUGCCUUCUAGUUUCAUCCAUCUCAUGAUCAUCAAAAGGAAUCCACUAACAAGGUUGAUCAUGUCUUGUUAACAAACUCAUUCUGAAUCACAUGAAACUGGAGAAAUUUCGAAGCGACACUAGGUUACCUCAACGGGCAUAUGAACAUCCCCAAUAAUAAGAAUAUCAUACUUUUUCUUUGCAGUAGGAAGAGGAAAUUCAAAACCUCCAAAUAUAAUUGAUGGAACUUUCCCAAUAGAAUUUAUGCUGUGAACUUGAGGUUGUUUCCUCGGAAAAUGUACCGUGUGCUCAUCUCCAUUAACAUGAAAGGUGACAUUGCCUUUGUUGCAAUCAAUAACAACACCUGUAGUGUUUAAAAAGGGUCUACUAAAGAUAAUCGACAUAUUGUCGUCCUCGGGAAUAUCAACAGUGACGAAGUCUAUUAAGAUAGUAACGUUUGCAACAACAACAGGCAUGUCCUCACAAAUGCCGACAGGUAUGGCAGUUGAUUUGUCAUCCAUUUGCAAGGAUAUCACAGUAGGUGUCAACUUACUUAAUUCAAGUCUACGGUACAAGGAAAGAGGCAUAACACUAACACCGGCUCCUAAAUCACAUAAGGCAGUUUUAACAUAAUUUCUUUUGAUGGAGCAAGCUAUAGUGGGUACUCCGGGAUCACCAAGUUUCUUAGGUAUUCCACCCUUAAAGGUAUAGUUGGCAAGCAUGGUGGAUAUUUCAGCUUCAGGUAUUUUCCUUUUAUUAGUGAUGAUAUCUUUCAUGUAUUUAGCAUAAGGGUUUGUUUUAAGCAUAUCAGUUAAGCGCAUGCGUAAGAAAAUAGGUCUAAUCAUUUCAGCAAAACGCUCAAAGUCCUCAUCAUCUUUGUCUUGGACGGUUUAGGUGGAAAAGGCAUGGGUUUUUGAACCCAUGGUUCUCUUUCUCUAUCAUGUUUCCUAGCAACAAAAUCUCUCUUAUCAUAAUGGUGGUUUCUUGAUUGUGGGUUAUCAAGACCAACAGCAGGUUCAAUUUCUAUAUCAUUAUUAUUACUAGGUUGAGCAUCUACAUGAACAUCAUUAUUAGCAUUAUCAUCAGGUUCAUGUUCAUCUCCAGAUUGUGUUUCAGCAUCAGAGAUAGAAGUAUCAUUAGGAUUCUCAGGUGUUUCUACAUUAGGUUCACUAGAAGCAUGCAAAGUACUAUCAUUUUUCUUUUUCUUCUUCUUAGAAGAACUAGGAGCAUCUAGAUUGUUAUUAUGAGAAUCUUGUUCAAUUCUCUGAGGGUGGCCUUCAGGAUACAAAGGUUCCCGAGUCAUUCUACCAGUUCUAGUAGCCACUCUAACAGCAAAAUCUGGUUUAUUAUAUUAAUCAAGCAAUUCAUUCUGAGCUUUAAGUACUUGUUGAGCUUGAGUGGUGACCAUAGAGAGAUGCUUGCUAGUAAGUUUAAGUUCACCUUUAAAUCUAGCCAUAUAAUCACUCAAGCGUCCAAUCAUAUAAACAUUAUUUUUCAGUUGUCUACUAACAUAAUCACUGAAAUUUGCUUGUUUCUCCAUAAAGUCAUCAAAUUCAUCUAAGCACAGGCUACGAAAUUUAGUAGAUGGGAUUUCAACUUUAUCAUAUCUAUAGAGAGAAUUUACCUUCACUACAUGUGUCGGGUUAUCAAGACGAUAUGUUUCUUCAACAUGCGGUAUAUUAAGACCAUGUAUUUGUUCAAUAGGAGGUAGAUUCUUAACAUCUUCAGCUUUAAUACCUUUUUCUUUCAUUGAUUUCUUUGCCUCAUGCAUAUCUUCAGGACUGAGAAAUAGAACACCUCUCUCCUUCGGAGUAGGCUUAGGAAUAGGCUCAGGAGUUGGCUCAAUUGGUUCAUGUAUUGCCUCAGGAAUUGGCUCAGGAAGAGUCUAGUUAUUUUCAUUUGCCAGCAUAUUAUUCAAUAAUAAUUCAGCUUGGUCGACUGUUCUUUCCCUGAAAACACAAUCAGCACAACUAUCCAAGUGGUCCUUGGAAGCAUCGGUUAGUCCAUUAUAAAAGAUAUCAAGUAUUUCAUUUUUCUUAAGAGGAUGAUCGGGCAAAGCAUUUAGUAAUCGGAGAAGCCUCCCCCAAGCUUGUGGGAGAUUCUCUUCUUUGAUUUUCACAAAUUAUAUAUUUCCCGCAAGGCAGCUUGUUUCUUAUGAGUAGGGAAAUAUUCAGCAGAGAAGUAAUGAAUCAUAUCCUGGGGACUACGCACGCAACCAGGAUCAAGAGAAUUAAACCAAGUUUUAGCAUCACUGUCGGAGUAAUUGACCACGGGUACCUCGAAGACAGCAAGACAAUAUUUCAACACAUCGGGGAUAGCAAAGCCCCUCGGUCCGACUGCCCGGCUGUCCCUACCGACUGCCGACUGCACCAACCAGCCAGCUGCCGACUGUAGCUCGACCGACACCGACAAGACAUCGACGAGACGGCCAUACCGCGAUGUCAUCUACAGUGUACCGUGUCCCCUGGGUACUGAUUUAUAAAGUACCCCAGGGGACAAGCAUGACAUGCACCAUGCCUAGGCCAUGCCACUACAUAGCUUGGUUUGUAAGCUACCCAAGGUAGCUUACAACCAACGCUACCACCACCCAUGCCUACCUCACACUAUAAAAGCUAGCUCCAUCCAUCCAUCAGGGGAUGGACUCACACACUCUCACGCAUGAGCACUCACAUGCUCACGGCUAUGAGCGCAUGGCCGGCCACUAGCUAGCUCACAUACACAUAUGAGACAUAUACCAAGCCAGAUGCUUAUGCCACGGAGCUCAGAUACAGCUCUAGGAGCACUCUGUACCAGAUAUACCAGAUACACUCAUACAUGCAGCAGUAGGAGUAUUAUCUCUCUGGAGAGCUCCCAAGCUGGGUAAACCACCGCGUGCUACUCUCAUACCCGCUCCCGGGCCUAUCAGCAGCAGUCUUACCGACACACUAAGCCCUUGUGGCAUCUGUCGACUCGCAAGCCCCCUGUGAUAAUACCAUGAAAGUUGGCGCCCACCGUGGUGUGGUACUUUGCUACCACGCUGAUGCUGGUUUCGUAGUCUGGGCGGGACCAUCUUUGUCAUCUCCGCCGCGGCGUCGCGCCGUCUCUCCGGUAGCGCUCGGGGGCUCGACUUCGACCCGCCCCCGGAGCGGCCGUGCGGGACGGCGCGUCCUCGUCGUUGGCCUCGCCACCUUCGUCAUCACCACCACUGCGACGCCGGCCGUCCGUCCGCACGCGCGCCGCGCCACCUCACUUCGGUUGGCCGUAUCCAUCUCGAGCCGCAUGGCCGCCCACCUCUCCAGCUAUGACGCGCCGCCAUGCACAUGCUCGUGUGCAUGCCCGUGCACUCCCGGUCGUCUCCGGCGAGUUCGGUCGCUAGCCACCUAACAAGGCAGCAGGCGCUCUACUCCUCAACACACAAAAAAGCUCCUCAUAAUCCCCGUACACUCCUCCAUACAUGAGCUAUACGCUAGACAGUCUAAGCCCCGACAAUGGCGUAUUUUAUGUUGUACCUCGCACAUCUGCAUCUGCUCAAACUCCUCUGGUAGUUCGCCUCCUUCUCCACUCCUGUGCGCGUCCCCAGCAUUAUCUUCGUCAUUGUGGUUUGUUCUGCUCGGUCCGUCCCACUGCUCGCUGCUCUGCAACUCGCCCGACUGCUUAGCCCGAUGUUGCUUUGCGUCGUCCCGAGUCGCCCCGCGCCGUUGCACCCCGACGCCGGCCUGGCGUACCGCGCCACCCAGCGCUUGCCCGGCCGUCCGCGUCGCCUCGUCCAGCUCUGCGCCCGCGUGCGCCGCCCGGGUUCCCUGCAGCUCGGCCGGCCCCCCCAGCGCGUUCGUUGGCUCUCGCGCUGACCGGUUUCCGCGGGCUCGCCGUCGCGCCGUGUCCUUUGCGCUCGCCGGCACCAGCACGCGCAGGGUCCCCCGCCUCCGCCCCAGCACGCCUCCUGCUGGGUCGCCACGCCAUGCGCCUGGUCCGGCUCCUCCGCCUGCAGUGUCGGGUCCGACCUUCCUCGCCUCCGCGUAGCCGGCUGUUGCCGCGGCCGGCCCCCGCCGGCUCCGCCGGCUCCGCCUUCCCAGCCUCUGGUUCGCUACGCCGGGCCGCCUCCGCACCCUGGUCGCCUGCGAGCUCCGCCUGCUCCGGCCGGCCUCCGCCUGGAGGCUCCCCGCGCUGCCCCUCCCACUCCGAGUCCGGCUCCUACCACUCGCCCCUACGCCCACGCACUCGGCUCCCGGGCGCCAGCACCAGCCGGCUGCCCAGCGGCCCCGCACGUCGCCUCGACCCACGGUCCCGCGCCCGGCAGCGCCGUCCUCCGUGUCGCCUCUGCUCCGCCUGCGGCGGCCGCCCUCCCCCCGCAGUUGGCCCGGCUUCGGCCGCCUGCGACCCUGAACGAGGCCGCACCCGCGCUCCUCUAGAUGCGCCCUCCGCGGCCCUCGUCGCUGCACCAUCCCGGCUCCCGCCCGCUCUGGCCGGCUCCGGCAUCCGCCAUCGCCCCUGGCCGACUCCCCGCCUGGCCGCCUCCGCUUGCGGACGCCUGCCGCCCACUCCGGCUCGGCGCCCCGCCGAGAGGCGCCCCAGCCGGCUGCUCCGUGCAGAAAGAAAGGGACGGGCUGCCCCACGCGAGGGAUAGAAAGAGAAAAAGAAAAAUAAAAAAAGAGAGAGAGAAAGGAUCCGGCUGGAGUAAAAAGCAAAGGGCCGACUUCCCGCUAGCCGGCUGGAAAAGAAGAAAAGCGGCUGGGUGCCCAUCCGGCUACAGAAAAGAAAGAAGAGGCCGGCUGCUACGCUCCCACUGAGGCCGCCUGCUGCGGUUGUGUGCCGAAGAAGAAAAGAAAAGAAAAGCCUGAUGAGGUCGGGUGCUCGGGCAAAAUAAAAGAGGCUGAGUGCCCAAUUCGGCCGAGAAGAGGCUGAGUGCCCAAAAAAAGAGGAAGGAUCCAACUGCGCAGACUGCUGCCCCGCCGAUUGCUCUGAUCGACCGCCCGCGUCGCUGCUCGGCCGGCUGGGUCGUCUGCCCGCUUCGCUGCAUGGCCGACCGACAAGCCGGUCCAGCUGCGAACAGUUGGCUGAAGAAAAAAAGACAGUAGUCGUCGGAGAUCCGGCCCGACUGCUCAGCAGUUGGUCCGAAUCUUGGGGGCUACACUCGGCGGGUGCACUGAUGCGCCCCCGCGAGGACGAAGACAAAGUAGUUGCCGGGAGAUCCGGCCCAACUGCUCAGCAGUUGGCCCGAAUCUCGGGGGCUACACCCGGCGGGUGCGCUGGCGCGCCCCCGCGAAGAUUGCAGACAAGAGAAGAGUUUUGUCUGGCUGCCAGCAGCCGGCAGAAGAGAAAAAGAAGAAGAAGGGCGUUGCAAGACGCCUCGCCGUCUGGACGGUCGAGCCUGACCGGACGGGACCCCCCUUCGAGCGCCCGGGGGCUCGAAGGCUACACCCGGCGGGUGCGCUGACGCACUCCGCGAGCGCCGAAUCGCGCCGGCUGUCUUCGACGACCGCGACUACAUGAAAAUCAAUGUGAGCUCCUCGCCCGCAUAUUUUUGCAUCACGCAAGCAUGGAUAACCUCGAGCGAUGCUCGGGGGCUAUCUCUGCAUUUUAAUUACAGUUGCGUCACUGUUCGCCCUGGCGCCAGCCAGAGUUGGCCCGGGGGCUGGCCGCUUGGCCUGAGACAUUAGUUCCCGCAGACGGCUUAGUAGAAUGCGCAGUACCAAAGGCCCACUCUUAGUCACAGACCGUAGAGCGGCUGUCCGGCUAGCAAGGGUGAACGCUGGAGGCCACCCACGUGAAAAACGUCCCGGAAGAAAAACAGUUCGGGCGACCCGGUCGUUUCUUUUAUGAGUAUCUACUCGGUUGAAUCUGCUCCUAGACUCUAAGUACUUUACACUCCACUUCGCGGCCCACUCUUAGCCUCAAGAAUCUACGUGCCGCCUAGUCGAUCGUUGACGAGCUCAACGGACUGGGGGCCGACGAGCUCCCCUACAUGACCAGACGCAUCCAGCAGCUGAUCGACGCGGCCGCAGCACGGCACGAAGCCGGCGUCCGAGCUGGAAGCCCCCCUCGCCGAGAGCAUGGCGCGACGUUGCAAACACCAACUGCGGGAGGCGCCCGUGCGAGACAAGAGAAGGAGCCAGCUGCUAGCCGCAGCCGGACACGAAUCACCAUCAAGCGCGACGCGGAAGGCCGUCCCCGAGGCGUGGAGAGACGAGGCGACUUGCCCCAUCCUCCACCUCGCGGGGAGAGAUAUCCCACCCCGCCGCCUAUCGAGCAUCCGACUCUCAGCGGCUGACUUGGUCGCCGCGAAGGAGUCGGCGAAAAUGACCCCCGCCAUCGGAUCGACCGCCUUGCGCGAUCCCUGGCUCUAGAAGAAGAAUACGAUGUCGGCCCGCCUUGUUUCGGCCCCCGCAUCAGCGACGAACCCUUCCCCAAAGGGUUCUCGCUCCCAAGAGACACGCCCAAGUAUAACGGCUCCGUGAAGCCAGAGGACUGGUUGAUCGACUACUCCACCGCGGUUCGCAUAGCGAACGGCAACCGGCGCGUUGCCAUGAAAUAUGCCCCCCUGAUGCUCCAAGGCACGACAUGUACCUGGCUCAACAGCCUGAAGCCUUACAGCAUCAACAGCUGGCUCUUCUUCAUGGAAGCCUUCAUCCGCAACUUCACCAGCACUUACAAGCGGGCUCCCAAGCCCCGGCAGCUCUCCUUGUGCGUACAAGGACCCACCGAGUCGACUCGCGACUACCUCACGCGUUGGGCCGAGCUCUGAAACUCCUGCGAAGGGGUGCACGAGGUUCAGGCAAUCGAGUACUUCAUAGCCGGGUGCCGAGAGGGCACCCUCCUCAAGCACCGACUCCUCUGCGACGAGCCGACUACCCUUGACGAGCUAUUUAUCAUCGCGGACAAAUACGCCACGGCCGACUCCUUCAUGAAGACCGAGCUCCGAGUCGACGCCUCUGGGAAAGUGCUUGCGCCGGCUCCCAAGACGCCGGCUGGGGAGUCCACCCGGCGCCCGUACCAGAACGACAACAAGCGCAAGGCCCCGAUGCCGCCUUCCACUAGUCGGUAGGUGGCCACGGUCGAAGAAGAGCAACCUGAGGGACGGACGGCUCCCAAGAAACAGAAGGGCGGCAGGCCGGCUUGGCAGCCGGCUUUCUACUACGAGCAGACCCUCGACGCCCCCUGCAAGUUCCACAGCGGCGCGAAGCCGUCCAACCAUACGACCCGGAAGUGCCACUGGCUCACCCGGAUCUCCAAGGGCGAGGGGUUGUUGCCGCCUCCACCUGCGGGCCAGCCGCCUCCUGCCCCCCAGCAGCCGGUCGCUCAGCCAGCAGUCGGAGCCGUUCACGACGAGUUCCCUGACGAGCAUGCCGCCUACAUCGUCUUCACAAGCCAACCAGACAAUCAGCAAAGUCGGCACCGACAACACCAAGAAGUCAACGCGGUCGCCUCCAGUAACCCAGAGUUUAUGCACUGGUCGGAGAAGCCCAUCAGCUGGAGCCGGGACGACCACCCAGAGGUGAUGCCGUCUCUGGGCUUCUAUGCCCCUGUUCUGGAUGCUACCCUGGCGGCAGAGAGACACGUCGCUCGUUUCUCCCGCGUGCUGAUAGACGGCGGGAGCAGUAUCAACAUACUGUACCGAGACAUAAUGGAGAAGCUCAAAUCAAGCCGAAGCAACUCAUGCCUAGCCGGAUUGUGUUCCAUGGCAUCGUACCCGACCUGUCCUGCUCACCAAUCGGCAAGAUCAAGAUGGAUGUCCUCUUUGGAGACAAGGAUCAUUUCUGCCGAGAGGCAAUAUGGUUCGAGGUAGUGGAUUUGGAGAGCCCAUACCACGCACUGCUUGGCCGACCAGCGUUGGCCAAGUUUAUGGCUGUGCCCCACCAUGCCUACCUCAAGAUGAAGAUGUCGAGUUCCAAGGGCAUUAUCACCAUAGCCGGAGACUACAAGAAGUCUUCUGAGUCACUACAAGAAAUAUGUCAACUUGUGACCACCACUAUUGAUCACUGAAAGGUCACUGUUUUCAAUUUGUGACCUUUUUGUGACAAAAAACAUAAGGUCAAAAGCUGAGGGUCGUUAACUGACUAUAGCGACCUUUCUUCUGGAAUGGUCGAAGACGUUUAUGACCAAAAUAUGUCCACUGUGGCGUUUUGGUAACUAGCAACCUCCCCAGGCCAUGUAGGCAUCCAGCGUGGCAAGCUUAUGUGGCACAAGAUUCAGCCCGGUCCAAUUCGGUGUUUAUAUGGGCCGGGCCCAUUAAUUCAGCCCAUUUAUAUUUUUUUCCCUAUGAUUUUUUUGUCAGCUUCAUGGACCAAGCCCAACAUUGCAUCCUUUUUAUUUUUGGGCCAUGGCCUUUUAGUCUACAGAUUUUCUAUUUUGAUUUUCUAUUUUCAACUAUUAUAUAUUCAAGCUGGUCCCACUAGUCAGAUGGGUCCAACCUGUCAUGUUCAUCUCUCAAAUUGGUCCCACAUGUCAAAAAUAUACAAAUUUGACAAAUUAUUUUCAUAAGUGGCCUCACUGGACAAGUUUCCAUUUCACAAGUUUUCAAAUCACAUAUAUAAUCAAUAUUUCAAAUAGAACAAAGAACACAUAAAAUUCAUCAAAUAUACCACUAAAUAAAUGUAUUACAAUCUUUACAACACAUAUAUGCUACAAUGAGUUGGACUUCACGGCUUCACACUUGGCUUCACACUUGCUUCACACUUCACGACUUCACACUUGAGCUUCUGUAAAGGAGGAACCACCACAAUUUUAAGUCUACAAUACAAUAAUUGAUACUAAUCAAGGAUAAAAACAAAAACAAGUAAUAGGUUCAAAUGAGAAGGCAACAUGAAACUAGUGAUACAACGACAUGCAGAAAACACUACAAUGUAAUACUGUUGUAAGUUCAUAUCAGCACAAAAUCAACACUGUUAUAUAGAGCAAAUGAUAUGCCCCCUUUUAAUAAAACUGUAGUGUAUGCUAGUGACAGGACAAGGGAUUGUAGUGUAUGCUAGUGACAAAACAUGGGAUAAGACUAAUAUGAUGUGCCAAAUUGCCAGCAAUAGUGCUUACAUGCAGCAUCUUCAUAUUUCAAAACGACCAAUAGACUAGUUAGCUGGCAAAACACUAAAGAAGGCAUAGACAGAAACGAAGGUAACAUGCAUCAAAUCAAAAAAUAGUAAGCACUGAACCUACAUCAUAUCUACACCAAUCAGGUUGCAUGUGUAUGCUAGAAAUCAAGAAUCAAAAGGACUUCAGCUUGUUUCAAAUAUCUUGCCUCUGUUGCUCCCAGUUCAGUAAAGAAAUGGUCGAGCAGUGAGCGCUUCGUUUCAAGAACUUGACAGUGCAAAAUAGAUUUCGGGUGGAGCACAAAUAGAAUACCUGGAAAAGAAACAUAAAGAGCUAUACAGUUAAGUAAGCAUCAUUGGCUGUACAAAUAAGUGGAGAACAAUAAAGAGCUGUACAGUCUGUUCAGAACAAUAAAGAGCUAUACAAAUUCAUAUUCAAGUUUGACUACAUGCUAACAGACUCAUGAUCAAGUUUGACUACAAGCUAACAUAUCAUUGUGAAUACAGAUGAUUUUCGGACUAGAACCGUUGCGCAAGUUCAGGUCAUUUGAAGUUUUGACAACAAGCUACAAAAUCUAGUUAAAUCAAUAGUAGUAUUGCAAGCAACAAAUAGACUCUCAGAGCAGAACCAAUGCACAAGAACGGACCAGCAACUACUAGGCCCAACAACUAAGAUAUGUAGGAAAUUUCAGAUGUAUCACUUCAUAGAUCAAGCAUAGGCGCAACAUAAAAGGCUCAUGAGCGCUACAAAGUCUGAACGAUUCAGCAGGAAGCGAGCAGAAUCAAUCAACUAGACAUGCGGAUAACAGAGGCGCAGGGGAAGAAGCUCCUGCACCGACAGAAGCAGACACAAUCUGGUCCCACCAAUAGGUCAGCCAUGCCAACAUCUCCAGAGAACAUAGGAGCAAUGCUGUCAGAAAUCUUAAGCUUCUCCAUAACAGGAUCGUGCCCAACAAGACCGACUUGGUGUAGAAUCAUCCCAGUCUAUCUGCAGGCAGAUACAUUAAACAACAAAGUCAAGGAAAAUGAAACUGAAACAAAGCAAACAUAAUGGUUGGAUACGAGCAGAAUCAUGGGAGACAGCUAUAAUAUAAAGAAUACAAUAAGAUAUAAAAUCAGCCGGCAGAAUCAUGGAAGUACCACAAGAUUACAUUGCACCAAGCCACAACAUAAACCAUAAGUUAUUAUUGUUCACCGCUAGCUACUGAUGUAAUAAAAACAUUAACAAGUGGAGUUGUUAUCGUUCACCACUAGCUACUGAUGUAAUAAAAACUGAUGCAACAGUAGAAACCGGCAUCCAAAAGGGCAUGCAAACAAUUCAUACCAAAAUCAUAUAUGCCCCAUGCUAGGAGAACCAGAGCAUCACAGAGUACUACUGACUGACCCCAAAACAGAGCAUCACAGCAAAAGACUUAACCAGGGGCCACCCAUCCACAUAACCCACCAUCCCAAGAUCUCAAUUCUCACGGGUAAAAAGCAAGCAAGAAGACCAGAUCACCUAGGGCGUGGUCUGCUUGUACUUGGACACCUCAGUGAGUAGCUUGUUGUAGGUGGCCUGGUCGAAGAUGCAUAUCAUUCAGUUACCAGUAGCAAUCCUUGUAGGUGCAUAUUUACCACAUCAAUUGGUAAGUAUACAGACAGAGUUGUGCACUUACUAACUAGUGUGUUGUAUGUUCACCCUUUGCACGCACCCAUGGUCAUUUAAAUCAAACUGAAACAAGCCACCAAUGAUUGGCUAAUCUAGAACAUGGCAGGCAUUUAUAUGAUGGCAGUACAUAGCUAGGAAACAAACAGCAGUCCAUAAUUGCAUCAUCAUGUGUAGAACAAAAUACAGACUCGCCUCUACAGGCUACAACACUAGUAGAGUAGAGAACCAUCCAUAAUAAUUCUACUAUAGGAGACACUGUAAACACAGACUCACACCAUUGACAUAUAUUAUUAUUAAGCCCUAACUAAAAGAUUCUGGUGGCUUAAUUAGUGGGCAGAUGUAUGCAUGCACAAAAAGGGGGACAAUUUUCAAUCAAACUGAAGAAAUAUGCAAAUCAUCCAUUCAGUAACCAGUAGUAAUAAAAUCACAAGAAGACCAGACCAGAGGAUCAUCAUUGUGCACGCACUUGCAUUCGCCAUCAGUCCGCACAAGCAGGCGCAUACACUAUAACAUCACAAGCAGUGGCGCGGCAUAAGCGGAGGAAUUUCACUAGCAAUAAUCAAGCUGAAUGGACUGAAAGCAAACCUAGUUAUCUGGACUCGAAUCAAAUGCAGCCUAAGUGAGCAGCCUCAAUCGCCGGCGUCCGUCCAUCGGGAGCACCUGCCUCUGCCUUGUCUUCUCACCAUGGUACGCACUAGGAUGAGAAGAAGCACGCAGAUGGACGCAGCUGUGCCUUGGCUCGCUCCAUGGCCUGCAUGUCGAAUCAAACCCAACCCAAUCCAAUCCAACACAAGACAAGAAGAAGCACAAGUGAGAAGCAGAGGAGGUGCGCACAGCUGUGGAACAACGAUCGAUUGAGGGAAAUAAGAAGGAAUGCACCGGCGAGAGCACGUACCUUGGAUUGGAUUGGAUUGGACCGGACCGGAGAUGGGCCGGAGGAGGAGGAAGCGACCACGGCCGCAGCCGUGGCGAGCCCUGGGGUUUGGGGCCGGCACAAUGCCAUGGCCAGGAGGCUGCUGCGUCAGUGCAGACCGCCGCCGCCGGUGCCGCCCUCCCGGCUGCUACGGUUGGAUUGGAUGGCCGCGGGUGAGUGGGUCGUCGCGCAUGACGCGGCGAGGACCCGGUGGAGAUGGGGUUCCUGGGCGCCGGGGAUUGCCGGAGUUGGCCGGCGGCCGUGGGGUGGGUUGGAGGAAGGGGAUCGGGACGAGGGGCGGCAGCCUAAGUGAGCGGAUGCGGCGGCGGCGGAGUCGUGGCGGAAGGCGUAGGGGUCGGUGGAGGACGGGAAGUCGUCGCCGCCGCCCCCGGAGACGUGGACGUCGGCCGCCGGGGCCCGGCCGUCGGCGAAGCUGAGGAAGUGGUCGUGGUGGAAGGGAGCGAGAUCGAGAUCGAGAUCUGAGGGAGGGAGAGGGCGGCGGCUGUGGGUGCGUAGGGGAGAGAGGGGAGCAAGAGGACGAGUGGUGCGGGUUGUGUUAGGGUUAGUUGGGUGAGACGAGGAGGGGGUCAAAUGUGCCGUUGGAUCCGGGACGAUCGGACGGCUCAGAUCGUCUACGGUAGGGUGAUCCAGGGGAGACGUCCUGAUUGGUUGGAGACUACCAACAAUAUUUAAAAUAUAGUCUCUAAGUGCUAAAAACAAAGGGGUUUAUGAAACAACUACCAACAAUAUUUUGCAAAAUGGAACUAUUAAAAUUUUCACUCAAGUUAUACCACAUUUUAAGGAUGAUAACCAACUUGUAUGCAUUUUCUUUGGACGAAAAAAAUCAUUUUCCAUUUUUCGAGUGCCCAAAAGGAGGGUUUUUUGUGAAGGACCUCCAAAAUAAUUGUUGCAAAAUUGGACCAAAUCAUUUUUCUAAAAUACUAGGACAUAUUUAAUGCACAAUUGACAAAAUGAUUGGGUGUAAAAAGUUAUGAUCCAACUCUCGCGAAAAAGAAAAAUUUCCGUCGUUUCACUUGGAAGCGGGUCAAAUUUGAACUGCAGGUGCCUCAUAGCUUGCUCUUUAUUUUUUCCAAAAAUCAUUCCUAGGUACAUAAGUAUCUAUUUAAUCAGAGAAACACCAAAAAAAAUCCAAGAUUCAACCAUUAGCUAGGAAUAGUCAUUCCCACCGUUUUGACCGCAUUUUGAAACGGGCAUAAAAAUUUCAAAAAAAAUCAAAAAAUUGCAAAACCUUCGCAUUAUGUCAUUAUAUGUGGCCAAGUUACAAGGAAAAAUUAUAAACUUGUAAUACGAUAAUUUUUUAAAAAAAGUGUUCUCAGAAACGAGCUAUCAUGUGUGGAGAUCAAUGGCAUUCAAGCCAAAUGAUAAAUCUUAUGGCCACAUUCAUCACAUAGUUUGUUAAAAUGAUCUCAUAUGCACAAGGAUGCAUAUUGGAAUGUCAAACAAUGUUGCCUAAGGAAGUUUUCAUUUUCUUUGAACGAAAAAAUCAUUUUUCAUUUUUUGAGAGCCCAAAAUGAGGUUUUCUUGUGAAGGACCUAUCAUAUAUUUAUCGCAAAAUGGGACCAAAUCAUUUUUAUAAAAUAUUGGGCCAUAUUUAAUGCACAAAUGACCAAAUGGUUGGUUGUCAAAAGUUUUUAUACACCUCUAGUGAAAAAGACAAAUUCCUGCCGAUUCAGUUGGAAGCGGGUCAAAUUUGAACUGCAGCUGCCUCAUAGCUUGCUCUUUAUUUUUUCCAAAAAUCAUUUCUAGGUACAUAAGUAUCUAUUUAAUCAUAGAAACACCAAAAAAUUUCCAAGAUUCAACCACUAGCUAGGACCGGUCAUUCCCGCCGUUUUGACCGCAUUUUAAAACAGGCAUAAACAAUUCAAAAAAAAUCAAAUAAUUGCGAAACCUUCGCAUUGUGUCAUUAUAUGUGACCAAGUUUCCAGGAAAGAUAAUAAACUUGUAAUACGGCAAUUAUUUUAAAAAAGUGUUCUCAGAAACGAGCUAUCACGCAUGAAGAUUCAGGGUUUUCAGGCCAAAUGAUCAAUCUUAUGGCCACGUUCAUGGCAUAGUUUGUUGAAAUGAUCUCAUAUUGUGCACAAGGGUGCAUAUUGGAAUUCCAAACAAUAUUGCUUAAGGGAGUUUUUAUUUCCUUUGCACGGAAAAUUCAUUUUCCAUUUUCCGAAUGCCUGAAAUGAGUUUUUUUUGUGAAGGACCUACCAUAUAUUUGUUGCAAAAUUGGACCAAAUCAUUUUUAUAAAAUACUAGGCCAUAUUUGAUUCACAAUUGAGCAAAUGGUUGGGUGUCAAAAUUUUUGAUCCACCUCUGGUGAAAAAGACAAAUUCCUGCCGAUUCAAUUGGAAGCGGGUCCAAUUUGAACUGCAGCUGCCUUAUAGCUUGCUAUUUAUUUUUUCCAAAAAUCAUUUCUCGGUACAUAAGUAUCUAUUUAAUCAGAGAAACACCAAAAAAUUCCAAGAUUCAACCACUAGCUAGGAACGGUCAAGCCCGCCGUUUUGACCACAUUUUGAAACGGGCAUACAAAAUUCAAAAAAAUCAAAAAAUUGGAAAACCUUCUCAUUGUGUCAUUAUAUGUGACCAAGUUUCCAGGAAAAAUAAUAAACUUGUAAUACGGUAAUUAUUUUAAAAAAGUGUUCUCAGAAAUGAGCUAUCAUGCGUGAAGAUUCAUGGCUUUCAAGCCAAAUGAUCAAUCUUAUGGCCACAUUCAUGGCAUAGUUUGUUCAAAUGAUCUCAUAUUGUGCACAAGGGUGCAUCUUGGAAUUCCAAACAAUGUUGCCUAAGGGAGUUUUCAUUUUCUUCGUACGGAAAAUUCAUUUUCCAUUUUCCGAGUGCCCGAAAUGAGGUUUUUUUGUGAAGGAACUACCAAAUAAUUGUUGCAAAAAUGGAACAAAUCAAUUUUAUAAAAUACUAGGCCAUAUAUAAUGCACAAUUGACAAAAUGGUUGGGUGUAAAAAGUUUUGAUCCACCUCUGGUGAAAAAGACAAAUUGUCGCCGAUUCAGCUGGAAGCGGGUCAAAUUUGAACUGCAGCUGCCUCAUAGUUUGCUAUUUAUUGUUUACAAAAAUCAUUUCUAGUUAAAUAAGUAACUAUUUAAUCAAAAAUACAUGGUUUUAUGGCGAGACAUCGACGUUUGGACGGUAGCUGAGAGCCCCAACUCUAGAGCGCGUAAGCUCGCAUGCCCGCCGCGUGGUCACCGCGUGACCGUGGCGUUGCCACGUGUUCUGGGCGGCCUAGGCAUGUCUAGUGGGUUGGGCACUCCCCAGGUAGGUGCUAGGAAGAAAAUCACAACAUAAGAUUCUCACGAGGAGACCGAUCGAUGCUCAAAGAUGAAUAAGCAGCCAAGUGUUUGAUUUGCGGUACGGGAAAUGCACAUGGCUAAUGGGCGUGAGUUUUGGCCGAGGAUGAUCAGUUACUAAGAAGACCGUCUUCACAAAUUUUCACCUCAAAAGGAGGAGCCUAGUGUUGGAAAUAUGCCCUAGAGGCAAUAAUAAAAGUAUUAUUAUUAUAUUUCCUUGUUCAUGAUAAUUGUCUUUUAUUCAUGCUAUAACUGUAUUAUCCGGAAAUCGUAAUACACGUGUGAAUAUAUAGACCACAAUAUGUCCCUAGUGAGCCUCUAGUUGACUAGCUCGUUGUGAUCAACAGAUAGUCAUGGUUUCCUGGCUAUGGACAUUGGAUGUCGUUGAUAACGGGAUCACAUCAUUAGGAGAAUGAUGUGAUGGACAAGACCCAAUCCUAAGACUAGCACAAAAGAUCGAGUAGUUCAUUUGCUAGAGCUUUGCGAAUGUCAAGUAUCUCUUUCUUUGACCAUGAGAUCGUAUAACUCCUGGAUACCGUAGGAGUGCUUUGGGUGUAUCAAACGUCACAACGUAACUGGGUGACUAUAAAGGUGCACUACAGGUAUCUCCGAAAGUAUCUAUUGUUUUAUGCGGAUCGAGACUGGGAUUUGUCACUCCGUGUAAACGGAGAGGUAUCUCUGGGCCCACUCGGUAGGACAUCAUCAUAUGCGCAAUGUGACCAAGGAGUUGAUCACGGGAUGAUGUGUUACGGAACGAGUAAAGUGACUUGCCGGUAACGAGAUUGAACAAGGUAUCGGUAUACCGACGAUCGAAUCUCGGGCAAGUACCAUACCGCUAGACAAAGGGAAUUGUAUACGGGAUCGAUUGAGUCCUUGACAUCGUGGUUCAUCCGAUGAGAUCAUCGUGGAACAUGUGGGAGCCAACAUGGGUAUCCAGAUCCCGCUGUUGGUUAUUGACCGGAGAACAUCUCGGUCAUGUCUGCAUGUCUCCCGAACCCGUAGGGUCUACACACUUAAGGUUUGAUGACGCUAGGGUUAUAAAGGAAGCUUGUAUGUGGUUACCGAAUGUUGUUCGGAGUCCCGGAUGAGAUCCUGGAUGUCACGAGGAGUUCCGGAAUGGUCCGGAGGUAAAGAUUUAUAUAUAGGAAGUCCUGUUUCGGCCAUCGGGACAAGUUUCGGGGUCAUCGGUAUUGUACCGGGACCACCGGAAGGGUCCCGGGGGCCCACCGGGUGGGGCCACCUGCCCCGGGGGGCCACAUGGGCUGUAGGGGGUGCGCCUUGGCCUACAUGGGCCAAGGGCACCAGCCCCAAGAGGCCCAUGCGCAAGGAAACUUGGAGAGGGAAGAGUCCUAAAGGGGGAAGGCACCUCCGAGGUGCCUUGGGGAGGAUGGACUCCUCCCCAUCCUUAGCCGCACCCCUUCCUUGGAGGAGGGGGCAAGGCUGCGCCCUCCCCCUCUCCCUUGGCCCUAUAUAUAGUGGGGAAAAGGAGGAGCAAUCAGACCUAAGGCCUUUGGUUGCCUUCCUCUCCCUCCCGUGACACAUCUCCUCUCCCGUAGGUGCUCGGCGAAGCCCUGCAGGAUUGCCACGCUCCUCCAUCACCACCACGCCGUUGUGCUGCUGCUGGAUGGAGUCUUCCUCAACCUCUCCCUCUCUCCUUGCUGGAUCAAGGCGUGGGAGACAUCGUCGAGCUGUACGUGUGUUGAACGCGGAGGUGCUGUCCGUUCGGCACUAGAUCAUCGGUGAUCUGAAUCACGACGAGUACGACUCCAUCAACCCUGUUCACUUGAACGCUUCCGCUUAGCGAUCUACAAGGGUAUGUAGAUGCACUCUCCUUCUACUCGUUGCUGGUCUCUCCAUAGAUAGAUCUUGGUGAUUCGUAGGAAAAUUUUUGAAUUUCUGCUACGUUCCCCAACAGUGGUAUCAGAGCUAGGUCUAUUGCAUAGAUUCUUUGCACGAGUAGAACACAAAGUAGUUGUGGGCGUCGAUAUUGUUCAAUAUGCUUGCCGUUACUAGUCUUAUCUUGAUUCGGCGGCAUCGUGGGAUGAAGCGGCUCGGACCAACCUUACACGUACGCUUACGUGAGACCGGUUCCACCGACAAACAUGCACUAGUUGCAUAAGGUGGCUGGCGGGUGUCUGUCUCUCCCACUUUAGUCGGAUCGGAUUCGAUGAAAAGGGUCCUUAUGAAGGGUAAAUAGCAAUUGGCAUAUCACGUUGUGGUUCAUGCGUAGGUAAGAAACGUUCUUGCUAGAAACCCAUAGCAGCCACGUAAAACAUGCAAACAACAAUUAGAGGACGUCUAACUUGUUUUUGCAGGGUAUGCUAUGUGAUGUGAUAUGGCCAAAAAGGAUGUGAUGAAUGAUAUAUGUGAUGUAUGAGAUUGAUCAUGUUCUUGUAAUAGGAUUCACGACUUGCAUGUCGAUGAGUAUGACAACCGGCAGGAGCCAUAGGAGUUGUCUUUAUUUUUUGUAUGACCUGCGUGUCAUUAAAGAACGCUAUGUAAACUACUUUACUUUAUUGCUAAACGCGUUAGUCAUAGAAGUAGAAGUAGUUGUUGGCGUGACAACUUCAUGAAGACACGAUGAUGGAGAUCAUGAUGAUGGAGAUCAUGGUGUCAUGCCGGUGACAAGAUGAUCAUGGAGCCCCGAAGAUGAAGAUCAAAGGAGCUAUAUGAUAUUGGCCAUAUCAUGUCACUACUCUUAUUUGAUUGCAUGUGAUGUUUAUCAUGUUUAUACAUCUUAUUUGCUUAGAACGACGGUAGUAAAUAAGAUGAUCCCUCAUUAAAAUUUCAAGAAGUGUUCUCCCCUAACUGUGCACCGUUGCGACAGUUCGCUGUUUCAAAACAUCACGUGAUGAUCGGGUGUUUUAUUCAGACGUUCAAAUACAACGGGUGUUGACGAGCCUAGCAUGUACAGACAUGGCCUCGGAACACACGCAAAACACUUAGGGUUAACUUGACGAGCCUAGCAUGUACAGACAUGGCCUCGGAACACGGAGACCGAAAGGUCGAGCAUGAGUCGCAUAGAAGAUACGAUCAACAUGAAGAUGUUCACCGAUGAUGACUAGUCCGUCUCACGUGAUGAUCGGACACGGCCUAGUUUGACUCGGAUCAUGUGAUCACUUAGAUGACCAGAGGGAUGUCUAUCUGAGUGGGAGUUCAUAAGAUGAACUUAAUUAUCCUGAACAUAGUCAAAAGGUUUUUGCAAAUUAUGUCGUAGCUCACGCUAUAGUUCUACUGUUUAGAUAUGUUCCUAGAGAAAAAUUAGUUGAAAGUUGAUAGUAGCAAUUAUGCGGACUAGGUCCGUAAACUGAGGAUUGUCCUCAUUGCUUCAUAGAAGGCUUAUGUCCUUAAUGCACCGCUCAGUGUGCUGAACCUCGAACGUUGUCUGUGGUUGUUGCGAACAUCUGACAUACACGUUUUGAUAACUACGUGAUAGUUCAGUUAAACGGUUUAGAGUUGAGGCACCAAAGACGUUUUUCAAAACGUCGCGGAACAUAUGAGAUGUUUCGAGGGCUGAAAUUGGGAUUUCAGGCUCGUGCCCAUGUCAAGAGGUAUAAGACCUCCGACGAUUUUCUUAGCCUGCAAACUAAGGAGAGAAGCACAAUUGUUGAGCUUGUGCUCAGAUUGUCUGAGUGCAACAAUCACUUGAAUCGAGUGGGAGUUGAUCUUCCAAAUGAGAUAGUGAUGUUUCUCCAAAGUCAUUGCCACCAAGCUGCUAGAGCUUCGUGAUGAACUAUAACAUAUCAGGGAUAGAUAUGAUGAUCCUUGAGGUAUUCGCGAUGUUUGACACCGCGAAAGUAGAAAUCAAGAAGGAGCAUCAAUUGUUGAUGGUUGGUAAAACCACUAGUUUCAAGAUGGGCAAGGGCAAGAAGGGAUACUUCAUGAAACGGCAAAUCAGCUGCUGCACCAAUGAAGAAACCCGAGAUUGAACCCAAACCCGAGACUAAGUGCUUCUGUAAUAAGGGGAACAACCACUGGAGCAAGAUUACCCUAGAUACUUGGUGGAUGAGAAGGCUGGCAAGGUCGAUAGAAGUAUAUUGGAUAUACAUUAUGUUAAUGUGUACUUUACUAGUACUCCUAGUAGCACCAGGGUAUUAGAUACCGGUUCGGUUGCUAAGUGUUAGUAACUCGAAAUAAAAGCUACGGAAUAAAACGGAGACUAGCUAAAGGUGAGCUGACGAUAUGUGUUGGAAGUUUUUCCAAGCUUGAUAUGAUCAAACAUCGCACGCUCCCUCUACCAUCAAGAUUAGUAUUAAACCAGAAUAAUUUCAUUUGGUGUUUGCGUUGAGCAUAGACAUGAUUGGAUUAUGUCUAUCGCAAUACGGUUAUUCAUUUAAGGAGAAUAAUGGUUACUCUAUUUAUUUGAAUAAUACCUUCGAUGGUCAUGCACCUAAAGGAAUGGUUUAUUGAAUCUCGAUCGUAGUGAUACACAUUUUCAUGCCAAAAGAUAUAAGAUAGUAAUGAUAGUACCACUUACUUGUGGCACUGCCAUGUAAGUCAUAAUGGUAUAAAACGCAUGAAGAAGCUCCAUGUUGAUGGAUCUUUGGACUCACUCGUUUUGAAAAGUUUGAGACAUGCGAACCAUGUUUAUUGGUGUAUAUGCAUGAAGAAACUCCAUGCAGAUGGAUCGUUUAGACUCACUUGAUUUUGAAUCACUUGAGAUAUGCAAAUCAUACCACAUGGGCAAGAUGACUGAAAAGCCUCGUUUUCAGUAAGAUGGAACAAGAUAGCAACUUGUAGGAAGUAACACAUUUUGAUGUGUGCAGUCCAAUGAGUGCUGAGGCAUGCAGUGAAUAUUGUUAUGUUCUUACUUCACAGAUGAUUUGAGUGGAUGUUGAAUAUAUUUACUUGAUGAAACACAAGUCUGAAUUAUUGAAUGGUUCAAGUAAUUUCAGAGUGAAGUAGCAGAUCAUUGUGACAAGAGGAUAAAAUGUCUAUGAUAUGAUCAUAGAGAUGAAUAUCUGAGUCACGAGUUUUGGCACACAAUUAAGACAUUGUGGAAAUUGUUUCGCAAUUAAUACCGCCUGGAACACCAUAGUGUGUUGGUGUGUCCGAACAUCAUAGUUGCACCCUAUUGGAUAUGGUGCGUACCAUGAUGUCUCUUAUUGAAUUACCACUAUCGUUCAUGGGUUAGGCAUUAGAGACAACCACAUUCACUUUAAAUAGGGCACCACGUAAUUCCGAUGAGAUGACACCGUAUGAAUUAUGGUUUAUAGAAACCUAAGUUGUCGUUUCUUAAAGGUUUGGGGCUGCGACGCUUAUGUGAAAAAGUUUCAGGAUUAAGCUCGAACCCAAAGCGGAUAAAAUGCAUCUUCAUAGGAAACCCAAAACAGUUGGGUAUACCUCCUAAUUCAGAUCCGAAAGCAAUAUGGAUUGUUUCUAGAAUCGGGUCCUUUCUCGAGGAAAAGUUUCUCUCGAAAGAAUUGAGUGGGAGGAUGGUGGAGACUUGAUGAGGUUAUUGAACCGUCACUUCAACUAGUGUGUGGCAGGGCACAGGAAGUUGUUCCUGUGGCACCUAGAACAAUUGAAGUGGAAGCUUAUGAUAGUGAUCAUGAAACUUCGGAUCAAGUCACUACCAAACCUCGUAGGACGACAAGGACACGUACUACUUCGGAGUGGUAAGGUGAUCCUGUCUUGAAGGUCAUGUUGCUAGACAACAAUGAACCUAUGAGCUAUGGAGAAGCGAUGGUGGGCCCGAAUUCCGACAAAUGGUUAGAAGCCAUGAAAUCCGAGAUAGUAUCCAUAUAUCAGAACAAGGCAUGGACUUUGAUGGACUUGCCCGAUGAUUGGCAAUCCAUUGAGAUAAAUGGAUCUUUUAAGAAGAAGACGGACGUGGAUGGUAAUGUCACCAUCUAUAAAGCUCGACUUGUGGCGAAGAGUUUUUCACAAGUUCAAGGAGUUGACUGCGAUGAGAUUUUCUCAUCUGUAGCGAUGCUUAAAGUCCGUUGGAAUCAUGUUAGCAUUAGCUGCAUUUAUGAAAUCUGGCAGAUGGAUGUCAAGACAAGUUUCCUUACUAGUUUUCGUAAGGAAAGGUUGUAUGCAAUACAAUCAGAAAGGUUUUUGUCGAUCCUGAGGAUGCUAAAAGGUAUGCUAGCUCCAGCGAUCCUUUUAAGGACUGGAGUGAGCAUCUCGGAGUUGGAAUGAAUGCUUUGAUGAUGAUCAAAGAUUUUGGGUUUGUACAAAGUUUAUGAGAAACUUGUAUUUCCAAAGAAGUGAGUGGGAGCACUAUAGAAUUUCUGAUGAGUAUAUGUUGUUGACAUAUUAAUGAUCAGAAAUGAUAUAGAAUUUCUAGAAAGCAUAUAGGGUUAUUUGAAAGGUGUUUUUCAAUAGAAAACCUGGAUUAAGCUACUUGAACAUUGAGCAUCGAGAUCUAUAAGGAUAGAUCAAAAUGCUUAAUAAUACUUUCAAAUGAGCACAUACCUUGACAUGAUCUUGAAGGUGUUCAAAAUGGACCAGUCAAAGAAGGAGUUCUUGCCUGAGUUGUAAGGUACGAAGUUAAGACUUAAAGCUCGACCACGGCAGAAUAGAGAGAAAGGACGAAGGUCGUCCCCUAUGCUUAAGACAUAGGCUCUUCAGUAUGCUAUGCUGUGUACCGCACCUGAAGUGUGCCUUGCCAUGAGUCAGUCAAGGGGUACAAGAGUGAUCCAAGAAUGGCUCACAGGACAGCGGUCAAAGUUAUCCUUAGUAACUAGUGGACUAAGGAAUUUUCUCGAUUAUGGAGGUGGUAAAAGAGUUCGUCGUAAAGGUUACGACGAUGCAAGCUUAACACCUAUCCGGAUAGCUCUAAGUAGAGAUACCGGAUACGUACAAUGGGGUAACAAUUUAGAAUAGUUGCAAGUAGAACAGUUAUUUGGAAUAGCUCCAAAUAGAGCGUGGUAGCUGCAUCUAGGAGAUGACAUAAAGAUUUGUAAAGCACACACGGAUCUGAAAGGUUCAGACCCAUUGACUAAAACCUCUCUCACAAGCAACAUGAUCAAACAUAAAACUCAUUGAGUGUUAAUCACAUAGUGAUGUGAACUAGACUACUGACUCUAGUAAACUCUUGGGUAUUAGUCACAUGGCGAUGUGACCUGUGAGUGUUAAUCACAUGACAAUGUGAACUAGAUUAUUGACUCUAGUGCAAGUGGGAGACUGUUGGAAAUAUGCCCUAGAGGCAAUAAUAAAAGUAUUAUUAUUAUAUUUCCUUGUUCAUGAUAAUUGUCUUUUAUUCAUGCUAUAACUGUAUUAUCCGGAAAUCGUAGUACACGUGUGAAUAUAUAGACCACAAUAUGUCCCUAGUGAGCCUCUAGUUGACUAGCUCGUUGUGAUCAACAGAUAGUCAUGGUUUCCUGGCUAUGGACAUUGGAUGUCGUUGAUAACGGGAUCACAUCAUUAGGAGAAUGAUGUGAUGGACAAGACCCAAUCCUAAGACUAGCACAAAAGAUCGAGUAUUUCAUUUGCUAGAGCUUUGCGAAUGUCAAGUAUCUCUUCCUUUGACCAUGAGAUCGUAUAACUCCUGGAUACCGUAGGAGUGCUUUGGGUGUAUCAAACGUCACAACGUAACUGGGUGACUAUAAAGGUGCACUACAGGUAUCUCCGAAAGUAUCUAUUGUUUUAUGCGGAUCGAGACUGGGAUUUGUCACUCCGUGUAAACGGAGAGGUAUCUCUGGGCCCACUCGGUAGGACAUCAUCAUAUGCGCAAUGUGACCAAGGAGUUGAUCACGGGAUGAUGUGUUACGGAACGAGUAAAGUGACUUGCCGGUAACGAGAUUGAACAAGGUAUCGGUAUACCGACGAUCGAAUCUCGGGCAAGUACCAUACCGCUAGACAAAGGGAAUUGUAUACGGGAUCGAUUGAGUCCUUGACAUCGUGGUUCAUUCGAUGAGAUCAUCGUGGAACAUGUGGGAGCCAACAUGGGUAUCCAGAUCCCGCUGUUGGUUAUUGACCGGAGAACAUCUCGGUCAUGUCUGCAUGUCUCCCGAACCCGUAGGGUCUACACACUUAAGGUUCGAUGACGCUAGGGUUAUAAAGGAAGCUUGUAUGUGGUUACCGAAUGUUGUUCGGAGUCCCGGAUGAGAUCCCGGAUGUCACGAGGAGUUCCGGAAUGGUCCGGAGGUAAAGAUUUAUAUAUAGGAAGUCCUGUUUCGGCCAUCGGGACAAGUUUCGGGGUCAUCGGUAUUGUACCGGGACCACCGGAAGGGUCCCGGGGGCCCACCGGGUGGGGCCACCUGCCCCGGGGGGCCACAUGGGCUGUAGGGGGUGCGCCUUGGCCUACAUGGGCCAAGGGCACCAGCCCUAAGAGGCCCAUGCGCAAGGAAACUUGGAGAGGGAAGAGUCCUAAAGGGGGAAGGCACCUCCGAGGUGCCUUGGGGAGGAUGGACUCCUCCCCAUCCUUAGCCGCACCCCUUCCUUGGAGGAGGGGGCAAGGCUGCGCCCUCCCCCUCUCCCUUGGCCCUAUAUAUAGUGGGGAAAAGGAGGAGCAAUCAGACCUAAGGCCUUUGGUUGCCUCCCUCUCCCUCCCGUGACACAUCUCCUCUCCCGUAGGUGCUCGGCGAAGCCCUGCAGGAUUGCCACGCUCCUCCAUCACCACCACGCCGUUGUGCUGCUGCUGGAUGGAGUCUUCCUCAACCUCUCCCUCUCUCCUUGCUGGAUCAAGGCGUGGGAGACAUCGUCGAGCUGUACGUGUGUUGAACGCGGAGGUGCUGUCCGUUCGGCACUAGAUCAUCGGUGAUCUGAAUCACGACGAGUACGACUCCAUCAACCCCGUUCACUUGAACGCUUCCGCUUAGCGAUCUACAAGGGUAUGUAGAUGCACUCUCCUUCUACUCGUUGCUGGUCUCUCCAUAGAUAGAUCUUGGUGAUUCGUAGGAAAAUUUUUGAAUUUCUGCUACGUUCCCCAACACCUAGGUGGUACUUGCUUUACAAAGUACCACACUGGACAUAAAUACGAAUGUUGAAGCUGGGCUCAAAAUAAUGAAUGGAUUGAGCUAGCACUUGGUGGAGGAUGGUUAUUUGGGCAUAGGAAAGCACUGUAGAAAAUGGAUACCAUUUGGACAUGCCAAAGUGGUACUUCCUUCACAAAGUGCUGCUUUGAUCAGAAUAGGAAAAUGAAUAUUUUUGAAUUAUUUUUGAACUAGGCAAGGAAGGUUUUUACAUAUUUGACGAAGAUAUGGCCCAAAGAAUUUAUGAGAUUUUUUGGGAAUUUUGGGAAUAACAGAAAUAUAGGUUGCUUCACAACCUAGGGCAAAAACCGCCACAUGGACAUGACACAUAGGCAAAACUGAUGAGAUGGCGCCUAGUCAUCACAACCCACCACAAUCUACAAGGCUAUGACCAUCUAUAUUGGUCAUUAACAACUAGAAAGAAGGUAGCGGACUAGCACUGUUUGCUUUGUGACCUUUUCGUGUAAGGAAAUUACGACCUUUCUGACCAAAAUUGUCGCAAUGGUUUAGGGUUUGGAGCCCCUCGAACAGCUUUUGACCAAUUGGUCUGAAAUGGUCAUAGAUCUAUGACCAAUUCUUCCAGGGUCACUGACAAAAGGUCACUAGUUGACAUAUUUCUUGUAGUGAGUGUGCAACAGCCGGUAGUCGGCUGGCCGAGUCCCUCGUGAUCGCUGAAGAGAAGAAGAUGCUGGACCGAGUUGUGGCCUUAGCUGGAAAGCAGCCGGCCUUGUCCCCUGACCCCAAGGAAUGUGAAGCGCAAGGUUCUUUCCAGCCAGCCAAAGAGACAAAGAAGAUACCCCUGGACUCGGAGCACCCAGAGAGGCAUGCUAUCAUAGGCACAGGCCUUGACAGCAAAUAGGAAGGCAAGCUCGUCAAUUUCCUCCGUGAGAAUCGGGACAUCUUCGCAUGGUCUCCCAAAGACAUGCCGGGUGUCCCGACGGAUUUCGCCGAGCACAAGCGACACGUCCGAUCUGACGCAAAGCCGAUCAGGCAGCCCUUGCGCCGCCUGUCAGAAGAGAAGAGAAGAGUAGUCGGAGAAGAGAUAGCCCGGCUUCUGGCAGCCGGCUUCAUUAUGGAAGUGUUCUUUCCAGAAUGGCUUGCCAACCCGGUCCUCGUGCUGAAGAAGAACAAGCAGUGGCGCAUGUGUAUCGACUACACCAGCCUCAACAAAGCCUGCCACAAAGAUCCGUUCGCCCCGCCAAGGAUUGACCAAGUGAUAGACUCCACAGCCGGAUGCGAGCUGCUGAGUUUUUUGGAUGCUUAUUCCGGCUACCACCAGAUAAAGUUGAACCCGGCCGAUCGCUUGAAGACCGCCUUCAUCACCCCAUUCGGAGCUUUCUGUUACCUGACUAUGACAUUCGGCUUGAGAAAUGCUGGUGCCACUUUUCAGUGUUGCAUGCAGAAAUGCCUCCUCAAGCAACUCGGCAGAAAUGCCCAUGUCUAUGUAGACGAUGUUGUGGUGAAGACGGAGAAACACGGCACCCUGCUGGAUGACCUCAAGGAAACCUUUGAGAAUCUGCGCUGGUUUUAGAUCAAGCUCAACCCGGAGAAGUGUGUGUUCGGAGUACCAGCCGGCCAGAUUCUAGGCUUUCUGGUCUCCAAACGCGGCAUCGAGUGCAACCCAGUGAAGAUCAAGGCCAUAGAGAGAAUGAAGGUCCCCACCAAGCUGCGAGACGUCCAAAAGUCCACCGGAUGCCUGGCAUCUUUGAACCGCUUCAUGAGCCGGCUCGGAGAGAAGGCUCUCCCCCUCUACCGACUUAUGAAGAAGUCCGCUCACUUUGAGUGGAAUGACCAGGCGGAUCAAGCUUUCCACGAGUUGAAGAAGAUGCUGUCCACGCCGCCUGUCUUGGCGGCCCCAACUGAGAAGGAGCCCAUGCUCCUAUACAUCGCCGCCACCAGCCGGGUGGUCAGCAUGGUCACUGUGGUUCAACACCCAGAAGAAGGCCGAGCUCAGCUAGUCCAGAGGCCGGUAUAUUAUCUGAGUGAAGUAUUAUCCACCUCAAAGCAGAACUAUCCGCACUAUCAGAAAAUGUGCUAUGUUGUGUACUUUGCCUCCAAGAAGCUCAAGCCCUACUUUCAAGAGCAUCCCAUCACGGUCGUAUGCACUACCCUGCUUGCCGAGAUCAUAGGCAGCCAGGACGCAUCCGGCCGAGUGGCGAAGUGGGCCAUUGCAUUGGCUCCAUAUACGAUCUACUAUCAACCCCGCACCGCCAUCAAGUCCCAAGCACUGGCCGACUUCCUCAUCGACUGGGCCGAGACCCAGUACCUACCGUCGGCUCCGGACUCCACUCAUUGGCGGAUGCAUUUUGAUGGAUCCAAGAUGCGCACCGGCUUGGGAGCCGGCAUUGUCCUCACCUCUCCCAAAGGGGACAAACUCAGAUACACAUUGCAAAUUCACUUUGCCGCCUCCAACAAUGUGGCCGAGUACGAGGCGCUCAUACACGGGCUCCGGCUAGCCAAGGAACUCAGCAUCCGCCAGAUCCUGUGUUAUGGCGACUCGGACUUAGUGGUUCAGCAAUCAUCCGGCGACUGGGAUGCCAAGGACGCAAACAUGGCGAGCUACCGCUUCCUUGUCCAGCAGCUCAGCGGAUAUUUCGAGGGGUGUGAGUUCCUUCACGUGCCACGAGCCGACAAUGAGCAAGCAGAUGCCCUGGCACGAAUAGGCUCCACCCGACAAGCUAUACCAACCGGCGUCGCCCUCCAACGUAUCCUCAAGCCAUCUGUCAAGCUGUCUCCGGAAUCCAGUUCCAUCUUCGUGCUGCCUGACCCCGACACAGUCGAAUCCGACUUCGGGGACCAGGCAGGCGGCCCGGGGAAACCGGCUCAGGGACUUCCAUAGUCGAACUCGGCCCAGGGACUGCCAUAAUCGAACCCGGCCUAGGGACUGCUACGGCACAGCAGGCAGAGGCCGACUCCAACUCCUCACAGCCCAGCCCGCCCACCCUGGUUGCAGUAGCCAUCUUGGCAGUCGAAGAAAUCACAGCUCCAUCUUGGGCCCAGCCCAUCCUCCGGUUUCUGUUGAAUGGAGAACUAUCGACUGACGAGAUCUCGGCCAGACAAGUCCAGCACCGAGCCGGAGCCUACACAAUAAUGAAUCAAGAGCUAGUUAGGCGCAGCGUUACCGGAGUCUUCCAGCGCUGCGUCGAGCAAGAGAAGGGCAUAGCAAUCCUCGAAGACAUCCACCAAGGAGAAUGCGGCCACCAUGCCGCCUCCAGGGCACUCGUCGCCAAGGCCUUCCGCCAUGGAUUCUUCUGGCCGACUGCAUUGGUGGAUGCCAAGGAACUAGUCAUACACUGCAAAGGGUGCCAAAUCUUCGUCUCCAAGCAACACCUGCCGGCUUCUGCACUCAAGACCAUCCCCAUCACUUGGCACUUUGUAGUCUGGGGAUUGGACAUGGUCGGACCAUUCAAGAUGGCGCGGGGCGGCAUGACACAUCUGCUUGUCGCCGUAGACAAAUUUACCAAGUGGAUUGAAGCAAAGCCGAUCAAGAAGCUGAAUGGGCCGACUGCCGUGACAUUCAUUGCCGACAUCACAACCCGGUAUGGCAUACCACACAGCAUCAUCACCGACAACGGCACAAAUUUCGCCAAGGGAGCAUUGGCACGUUUCUGCGCGACGCAGGGCAUCCGACUGGACUUAGCGUCCGUUGCCCACCCGCAGUCAAACGGCCAAGUCGAGCGAGCAAACGGCCUCAUCCUCUCCGGCAUCAAGCCCCGACUGGUCGUGCCACUGGAGCGUUCGGCCGGCUGCUGGCUCGACGAGCUGCCGGCCGUCCUCUGGAGUCUGCGCACUACCCCUAACAAGUCGACCGGCUUCACCCCCUUCUUCCUUGUAUAUGGGGCUGAGGCUGUCAUCCCAACUGACAUCGAGUUCGACUCACCUCGAGUCACCAUGUACACGGAGGCGGAGGACAAAGAAGCAAGAGAAGACGUCGUCGACUUGCUGGAAGAAAGCCAGCUGUUAGCCCUCAGCCGGUCCGCCAUCUACCAGCAGGGGCUACGCCGUUACCACAGUCGGAGAGUGAAGCCAAGAACCUUCCAAGAGGGAUACCUUGUGCUUCGGCUGAUACAGCCUACAGCCGGCCAGCACAGGCUCUCGGCCCCUUGGGAAGGCCCCUUCGUUAUCAGCCGAGCUCUGGGAAACGACUCCUAUUACCUAAUCAACGCGCAGAAGCCGAAGGCACGCAAGAGAGACGACUCCGGCAAGGAGUCGGACCGCCCAUGGAACGCCAAUCUUCUCCGAAGAUUUUACAGUUGAAAUGCAGAAUGUAUCACGCUAUCUUUUGUAUUAAGUAUGAGACAACGGGCCCCCAAGGAUUUCUCGGGGACUACCCCAUUUUAUCUAUGUAUGCCGGGUAUCACUCCCAUGGUUACCCUACUGCAUUUUACUUUCUAUGUCCGGCACCGGGUUCGACUAAGUCGGCCCGGGGACUUGCCGCCUUGAGUUAUGCCCAAGUUCUACCUGCAGUCAGACAAGUAAUGUGCCGGCACCCAAGCCCUCUCUUGCGAGAGUCACAGCUCGAAGAAUCAGCUACCCGACUAGCAAGACCUAAAGGCGGAAAGGAUGCCCACAUGAAAAAUGGCUAAGGACAAACAAACUUACAUAACACAAGCCGACUUCCCCCCUCGCCAACCGACUGUCGAAGCAGUCGGCUAACCGACUUCCUUUCCAACUCUGCCAAAAUCUAAGAAAGCUCGAACCUUUGCCUUCCUAGACGUUCGAAUUCCUUACCCGGCCACAGACUGCAGAGCAGCUGUCCGGCUGGGAAGGCGGCAACCAAGGGAAGGCGACAAAGGAAGAAAGCUGAAAGAUAAAAAGCAAGUCGGAAUGGAAGCCAAACACAUGCAUAAUAAUAUUUACAUCAAAAAACCUUCGAAAGGCCGGCAUUCAACGAAGUUUGAAUACACCCCUAGUGGGUGGAAUUGCACAAAAUAACAAGUUUUGUCCAAAGAGUAACUAGCAGGGAAGUAAAUGAUAAAUCAAGCCAAGGGAGCGCCUGUAGCUUCAGGAAGAACGGUGGAGAUGGCGGUGUCGGCUGGAGGAGUGGCCGGCUGGCGAGUCUCGGCCUGGUCGUCGCCGGUGGCAGGCGGAGCGUUCGCGUGAGCCUCGUUGCUGGAGGCACGGUCAAGCUGAGGCUAGCCGGCUGCUUCGGUAUCCGGCUCAACAUCCUCGCCGUCUUCCUCCUCCUCCUCCUCGCCCUCAUCGCUGGAGUCACUCUCCUCCGCCGAGUCCUCACCGUCGGCCGGGUUCAGCCCGAACCAGUCCUCCGGCUGCACGAUGUCGUCUUAGUUCACCUCAGGAGCAAAGGUGCUGGUGUCGGUGAAGUCGGCGAUCACCGAAGCACGCUGGAUGAUAGUCGGCCGCACCGCCUCCAGCUCCUCGUCAGCCUCCUGCCUCCAGGUGCGCAGCUGAUCCAAGUUCAGCCAAGGGUACCAAGCCCGGACGAACUCUAGCGCCCGUCGAGCGCCGGAUCGAGCUGCUGAGGCCUUCUAGGCCUCAAGACGGCCGACGACUACCUCCAGCCAGUCGGCAGUACGGCUGGGGGUGCGAGGAAUUACCUCACCAGCCCAAAGGGUGGCUAGCACCUGUGCCCCAGCACACUGAAGCUGGCAGAGCAUGCGGUAGGCCGGCUAGAGGCGGGCCUCGAUCGCCAGAAGCUGCUCCUCCAGCGACCGGUUGGCGUCCGGCGCGAUCUCAACCCCAGCCUGCCGCCAGGCCUCUCGGUGGGCUUCGAUGGCUUGGUUGGCAGCGAUAGAGUGGCCAGGGAAGUACUCUUCACAAAGAAGAAGGAAAAAGAGCAAGUCAAGAGAAAAGCUGACUUGCAAAGACAAGCAAAGAAUAAAGAAGAAAGACGGCCUACCAUCAACCAGGUCCUCGACACGGCCGUAGCCUUCGCUCGGGGCUUGCCUUGCCUCGGCUCAGCCCGCCACCUCAGUCUCGAAUUCGGCUUUGAGGGCGGCCUCGCUGUCCUGGGCCGCCUUCAGAGCCGCCUGGUGGCUUUCCUCCUGGUCAGCCAGUCUCUUGGCCAGGCGGUCGCGCUCCUGGGCCAAGGCAUUGAGCUCACCUUCCUUGGUGCGAAGGGCGGUCUGGGCAAUACCCAGCUGCUGCCUCAAGUCGGCAUUGGCUCCUAACAGCAUGAAAAGAAGAAAUUAAGAAAGAAAUCGGCAAGAAAGAUCCGACCCGACUGCUCAGCAGUCGGCCCGAAUCUCGGGGACUACACCCAGUGAGUACGCUGACGCGCCCCACAUGAGAUAAAAAGACAAAGUCACUCACGCCGGCUCUCCUUCAGACCGGCGGCCUGUCACGACCGGUUUUCCAAUAAAAAUAUUUAUUGAUAAACCAGUCUUUUAAGUCCGGUAUGAGAGAAAUCCUCUUCACCGGUAGACAAUUUCUUGAUACAAUAAGCCAGUAGCAUAAAAUUCCAAUACAGGGUCGAACUGCGGUUGCUCAACCAAAUUAUUACAAGCACGCCAAUAAUUAUACAUAAUGGCGGAUAGGACACAGCGGUGUGGAGACGUACUACUAACUCAAGGAUAGGGUGGUGGUGGAAAAACACAGCGGGAAGGGAAAUACAAGACUCUAAGUCUAUCAUUUCAUCGAGCGUCGAGGUGAGGCUCGAUGAAUUUAUUUGGUAGCGGAAGCGGAUAUAAAACAGUGACCAAAUCCAGGGUCGCACGAGACUGACUGGGACUCCUCUAAGUGUCGGACUCGCUAUCGAACUCUUCAUCCAUGAGAUCGCCUUCGUCAGCAUCUGGCCAAAUCAACAAGCCAGUGAGUACUUUGAAAGUACUCGCAAGACAAUUCGGACGUAAGAUAUAAUAAAUGCGUGCAUGGAUGCAACAUGAUUAAUUCCUCAAUGCACAAUAAAUAAAAUUGGCAUAACGGGGUAAGUAAAAAGGGAAACGGCGGUAGUCCGCCUGGAAUCCCACAGAACAUAAAUAAAGACCGAUCGGGUGCCUGAAGCGACGCCUCGAAAGGUGAGCAAAUAAAAAUAAGGAAAAGAUGCCACAGUCGGGCGUCUUAGCGACACCACAUAAAGGGCUUAAAAAAGAAUGCCAUAGUCGGACGUCUGAGCGACAUCGCAGAAAGGGCUUUAAAAGAAAUGCCACAGCCGGACGUCUGAGCGACAUCGCAGAAAGGGCUUUAAGAAGAAAUGCCACGGUCGGACAUCUAAGCGACAUCACAGAAAGGGCUUUAAAAGAAAUGCCACAGCCGGACGUCUGAGCGACAUCACAGAACGGGCUUUAAAGGAAAUGCCACAGCCGGACGUCUGAGCGACAUCNNNNNNNNNNNNNNNNNNNNNNNNNNNNNNNNNNNNNNNNNNNNNNNNNNNNNNNNNNNNNNNNNNNNNNNNNNNNNNNNNNNNNNNNNNNNNNNNNNNNNNNNNNNNNNNNNNNNNNNNNNNNNNNNNNNNNNNNNNNNNNNNNNNNNNNNNNNNNNNNNNNNNNNNNNNNNNNNNNNNNNNNNNNNNNNNNNNNNNNNNNNNNNNNNNNNNNNNNNNNNNNNNNNNNNNNNNNNNNNNNNNNNNNNNNNNNNNNNNNNNNNNNNNNNNNNNNNNNNNNNNNNNNNNNNNNNNNNNNNNUUUAAAAGAAAUGCCACAGCCGGACGUCUGAGCGACACCACAGAAAGGGCUUUAAAAGAAAUGCCACAGCCGGACGUCUAAGCGACAUCACAGAAAGGGCUUUAAAAGAAAUGCCACAGCCGGACGUCUAAGCGACAUCACAGAAAGGGCUUUAAAAGAAAUGCCACAGUCGGACGUCUGAGCGACAUCACAGAAAGGGCUUUAUUCACAAGUAAAUAAUACUCAUAAUAAACAUUUAAUCCAUGAUAAUAAACGGGUUAGUCCAUCCACAGGAAUAAUCAUUUAACCGGACUUAGCAUUCAUGCGAUUCACCGGAGUCUCUGUCAUCAAAACUGACAAUUGAUUAGGAUAAGAUGGAACGAAUUUGGACAUGGAAUAGAUGAUUUGGAGGAAUAUAUGACUCUGCAGAGUUUGUACAAAAAUUUUCCCACAGCCAACGGAUUUCCGUAGUCACGAAGGACUAGUUCCGUUUACGGUAUUUCGGAAGAAAACACAGCUAACCGGUACACACCCAUCCUACCUCUCGAUGCUAGGAAUCACCCUAGACAUCGUCCAAGAAAAACUUUUGAGACGGGGAGAUCACAAUCUCGAAUAGCAUGGGAUCAAAUUUAUAUACGCACGCUCUAAGGGGUGCCCCCCUCUCGGUCCCAACCGGAAACACCCAUGCCCCCUGAGCGGAUGGCUGGCUUUAAUCCAGAGCCAUGGAACCAUCAUCACGGCCUCUCCUUUUUGAUGUGUACGAUGGAAGCGGUUUGCAACUUACUAAACCAUAUUCCUUGCGGAAAACAUGUGGUAGUACAAGGAAGGAAAUGAUAGGUACUGGACCGAUAUGGUUUGACACUGAAGUCACAUAGUCUGGCGUAAGACUGGCAUGCUACAACACUGCCAUCGUACCCAUCCUCAUGCCAACACAUGGCCAUUCAUAUUCACAUUCAUCCAUGUAUGGAUCAUCGAACUCACUUACCUCAUUAUCACAUAAAAUAACGUUCAUCGGUAUGCUCACCAACAUGCCAUGAAACUAACUAAAUGCAAAACAUGCCAAGACACUCAUCAUAUCAAAAGUUCAAACAUGCUUGCCUGGUUCAGAGUAGUUGGAGCCUAGCUCGGUGAAGUUCGCGGCUCCGUCACCUCCUUCGGUAUCUACGGUAUAAAGAAAAUACAUGCGCUAUCGUAAAUACCAAGGAGUGCACAGAAGGUAAACCAAAUAUUUUUCAAAUAAAUCUGAUAAAAAACUAGGCAAAAUUUUAAAGAGAACAGAGAAAGAAUCAAUCAAAAAUACUUUUCUGUUUAAAAGUUAUAAGGGUUUUUGUCCAGGGACUAUUCUGUAAUGAAACAGAAGAUUUCUAGGGGCUAGUUUAUAAAAACAGAAAAUGCUUCGGUAGCGACUACGCCAACCCAAAGAGAAGACGCAUCCUGCCCGAAGGUGCUUCCAGAAAACGAUUCGAGAGACAGAGCAGAGAGGCUGAUGGUGGGGUCUCACCCGUCAGGUUUAAAUGUUCAAACGGGGCGGCAGAGUUCGCCGGCGCCCGAGAGCCGCGGUGGUCGCCGGCGGCGAUCCACGGCGUGGCAGAGAGAUCGGAGGGUACCUCCAUGCUCAGGGCACCCUUCCGCGUCAAUUGAUGGUGGUGGAGUCGGUCGGCGAGCACCACGUCGACGGCGAGCUUUGCUCCGGCGGACGGCGGCUCGGGUGGUCGAGGGGCUCGUCGGAGAGGGAUGGAAAGGUUAAAUUGAAGAGGGGGUUAUGCUCCUGGCAGCUAGGGAGGGUAACGAGCGGGGUUGGAGCGCCGGAUAUGGCCUUACCAGAACGAAUCGGGCUGGAGGCCGAGGCGGGGCGAGGUAGCCAGAGCUGGGGGAGGAGACCUCCCCGAGGUCCCCCUAGUGGCCUGGCGGGGUGGUGGUGAGAAGUGGUGGUGCUGCGUGCACGAGAGUGAGCUCGGGGCCCCUUUAUAUAGGCGGUCCGAGGCGGUUGCAUUGAACGAGGAUCACCGGCGAGUGAUUACGGUGGCGUCGUGCUCAGUCGGGGUGGUUAGGGGGUCGAGCGCCAUCACGGAGGUUCAAAGGGUCCGUUUUGGUGUCAAACUGGCCGGGGUUUGGGUGUUAAGGGCGAGCUCAACGGAACGGGGAUGGCGCGGGCCCGUCGGCGGCGGAGAGCGCGUUCCGUGCUUGCCGGCCACGGUGGCUGUGCCACGGGCGUGCGCUGGCGUGCAUGAGGCCACGCGGAGAGCCAGGGAGCGAUGGGCGGCGCGGAACGGCGUUCUGCCGUGGUGUGCCUCCUGUCGGCCGCCACGGGAGGUCCCGACGCCACAGAAGACGCCGGCGAGGCCGGGCCAGCGCGCUACCGAUGCCAGGAAGGCUCCACGCACGCGUGUGAAGCUUCAGACAAGAGAAAGAGGCGGCGAGGAACGUGCCAAGGGCACUGUGGCCGCGUGACCGAAACUGACGAACUGAAGAUGACACUGAAACUGAAUUUUUCUGAACUUUGAACAGUGACAGUGCCCACAAGGUGUUCGACAGAAUGAAAUUGGCCUCUGGUGAUUUUUCCUUGAGCUGAAUUUUGGUGGAGGGUCUUCUCCUUGCUCAAGUAGGCUGCAUGAUUUUUGGUGGAAUUUUUGGAGCAGUGUGGAUAUGAAUUUCACCAAAUUUGGCAAAUCUGGUCCAAACUUGCAGAGACUGUAUUUUGAAAAAUUUGAAAAGAGGAGGAGUGGAUCAAGAUGGUUCUGGGUUGUGGGUUCAAAGGACAAUCCAGGAGAAUUGGUUUGAGGUCAAAACUCAAAUGAAAAAGUGUACUUGCUUUGAAAAUCCCUCAGGCUUCAAAUAAUUUUCAGACUUGAUUUGAGAGGGAAAAAUAAUUAGAAUAAAAUCCAAAACUAGUUGGGAUUAGUUGGGAUAGAGAACUUAGGUUGAUCACAAGGGGGAGGGGAGGUUUUGGAGGGGUUUUAUCUCGUGGACAAAAUACAAAGCCAAGGGUGGCUUUAAAGAUAUGAAAAUCCCAAAUUUUCAUAGAGCUUCACUUUAAAAUAAAACAAAUUAAAACUCCCCAAAAAAAGUUUUUAGAGGGAACCAACAGAGAAGAAGUUUGCAAAAGAUCAACCACCAAAGUUUGAAAGAAAUAAAAUCCUUGCCAAGGCAAAAAGGAAGUUAUUAAGAGGAAGGUUUUUCUAAAAAAGAAUUUUUUUUUAAAAAGUCUCUCCUAAAAACCACAGAGUUUUUGAUAAAAACGAAAUAAAAAUUUUGGAGUGUCACACGGCCCUCUUGUCUGCCUCCCGGACUUGGGAGUUGAAGGUAGUGGCGCGGAGGUUGUGGUAAUCCUGCAAACAGGACGAAGAAGCAGCAAGGGCAAGUCAGUAAAACAAGUCUUCGGAGAAGUUCCAAGCCGCCUGCUCAGCAGCCGGCUCGGAACUCGGGGACUAUAGCCAGUGGGUGCGCUGACGCGCCCCCACGGAAAGAAAUCAAGGACAAGAGAACUCACCCGAACGACCGCCCGCGUCAUGAGAAACUCUUGGGUGCAUUGCUGCAGCGUGGUGGCUUGGGCCUGAAGUCGGUUGCGGACGUCUUGCGCUGCCAAGUUCAGUGAGGCCGACCCAUCGCCUUGCAUCCACCCCGGCGUGCUAGCGGUGGCCGACUCCAGUUCAUGCGACAACGAGCUGGAGGCGUCCGCCCUCUGCGGAUCCGGCUCUAAAGCCGCCCUCGCCGCACGCCGGCGAGCCGGCGUCAAGACCACAAGAUCCACCUGUGCAGUCGGCUGCUUAGGCGGCACCUCGGGCUGGCCGCCUUGGCCGGUCCCAGCCGUCAGAGGCGGCACCACUCCUCCCUCCAGGAGGACUACGUCGCCUUCCACCCUCUCCGUCACCGGCGGGUCGCGGCUGAUCUCCUCCGACGGGGGCUUCGGGACGUCUGGGGGCGCGGAACGGAUGGGGAUGACGAUCCGUGGAGGUUGGCCUCGCAGGCCUUCUGCCGUCUUCUCCGCGGUGUCGGCUUCCGCCCGGGCCCUGGCCGCCGCGUUGGCCUGCGCCUCAGCCGACUCCGCCGUCGUCUCCAGGGCCGGCUUGGCGGCAGCUGCCCUUCUCUCCUCCGCCUCCCGUUCCUCCCGCGCUUCCCGCGUGUUCCGCUCUGUCGCCGCCUGAAGCUGGGCGCGGGGAUCUACGCGAUGGGAGCCCGCAGACCCUCUCGCUCCGCCGGCUAUGGAGGCGGCGGUAGUCUGCUCGAGAGUGAGCGGGGCCCUGAUCGACAAAACAGGAGACAAGACUUAGAAGAAAAUCAAACGAAGAAAAGAAAGAAAGUUGCGUAAACGCCAGAACUUACGCCGAAACCGCCUGCGGCUGCUUCACCACUUUGCGGAAGCGGGCUGCCUUCGCUGCCACCUCGUCCCGCUUGGUUGCCGCCGCGGGUACCUUAGGCCUCUUCGGCCGGCCACCAAAGGGAGUCGGUGCAGCACGGCGCUUCAGUACGCCACCUCGUGCGGCCGGCCCACCGAAUGGGCCGGCGCCUUGGGGGUCGGACGCCGGCUGGCUGCGUGGAGCUGGAUCGGCCUCGUCAUCAUCGGGCUAGUCUUCAAAGCCGGCGGUGAGGCCGGAGCCGCCUGCCUCAUCGCCGCCCCCCCGGCAUCCUCGUCCAAGGCGGCCGCCCCCAAGUCGGCGUCAUCAGGAUCGUCGGCCGCGCGGUCGGGGGCAAACUCGUGCUCCGGCCCCGCGGUCCCGGCCGAAGGAUGAAGAAGGGGGUUCUGAUUAAGGACAGACCGACUGGUCAAGAGUCGGCCCGGAAAAGGAUUCAACAACAAAUAAAGAAAGGAAACUUACCACUGGUGGUGGAUUGGCGCUAGAGAAUGGCGCCAUGCCAUACUGCCAGUCCGGCUUGAGCUUGCAUUUGGCGAUGUAGUUCACCAUGUAGGACACCUCAUCGUGAGGCAUCUACCUGGUGCUGAGCCGGCUCGGGUCGAACCGGCCGCUCAUCUGGCAGAUCAAAUGAGGGCGGCCUUGGAGCAGAAGGACCCGACACUCGACAGCGGUGAUCAAGUCGGGCCCGAUCAGGCGUUCCGACUGGAUGAGCACCCAAAGUCGGGCGACGGCUCCGGCUCCAGCCGGCGUUAGCGACCUGGCCCGAUAGGACCAUGAAGCUGUGACACUCCAAAAUUUUUAUUUGGUUUUUAUCAAAAACUCUGUGGUUUUUAGGAGAGACUUUUUUAAAAAAAAAAUCUUUUUCAGAAAAACCUUCCUCUUAAAAACUUCCUUUUGCCUUGGAAAGGAUUUUAUUUCUUUCAAACUUUGGUGGUUGAUCUUUUGCAAGCUUCUUCUCUGUUGGUUCCCUCUAAAAAUUUAUUUUUUUGGGAGUUUUAAUUUGUUUUAUUUUAAAAUGAAGCUCUAUGAAAAUUUGGGAUUUUCAUAUCUUUAAAGCCACCCUUGGCUUUGUAUUUUUGUCCAUGAGAUAAAACCCCUCCAAAACCUCCCCUCCCCCUUGUGAUCAACCUAAGUUCUCUGUCCCAACUAAUCCAAACUAGUUUUGGAUUUUAUUCUAAUUAUUUUUCCCUCUCAAAUCAAUUCUGAAAAUUAUUUGAAGCCUGAGGGAUUUUCAAAGCAAGUACACUUUUUCAUUUGAGUUUUGACCUCAAACCAAUUCUCCUGGAUUGUCCUUUGAACCCACAACCCAGAACCAUCUUGAUCCACUCCUCCUCUUUUCAAAUUUUUCAAAAUACAGUCUCUGCAAGUUUGGACCAGAUUUGCCAAAUUUGGUGAAAUUCAUAUCCACACUGCUCCAAAAAUUCCACCAAAAAUCAUGCAGCCUACUUGAGCAAGGAGAAGCCCCUCCACCAAAAUUCAGCUCAAGGAAAAAUCACCAGAGGCCAAUUUCAUUCUGUCGAACACCUUCUGGGCACUGUCACUGUUCAAAGUUCAGAAAAUUCAGUUUCAGUGUCAUCUUCAGUUCGUCAGUUUCAGUCACGCGGCCACAGUGCCCUUGGCACGUUCCUCGCCGCCUCUUUCUCUUUUCCGAAGCUUCACACGCAUGCGUGGAGCCUUCCUGGCGUCGUUAGCGCGCUGGCCCGCCCUCGCCGGCGUCUUCUGUGGCGUCGGGACCUCCUGUGGCGGCCGAUAGGAGGCACACCACGGCAGAACGCCGUUCCGCGCCGCCCAUCGCUCCCUGGCUCUCCGCGUGGCCUCAUGCACGCCAUCGCACGCCCGUGGCACAGCCACCGUGGCCGGCAAGCACGGAACGCGCUCUCCGCCGCUGACGGGCCCGCGCCAUCCCCGUUCCGUUGAGCUCGCCCUUAACACCCAAACCCUGGCCAGUUUGACACCAAAACGGACCCUUUGAACCUCCGUGAUGACGCUCGACCCCCUAACCACCCGGACCGAGCACGACGCCACCGUAAUCACUCGCCGGUGAUCCUCGUUCACGGCGACCGCCUCGGACUGCCUAUAUAAAGGGGCCCCGAGCUCACUCUCGUGCACGCAGCACCUCCACUUCUCACCACCACCCCGCCAGGCCACUAGGGGGACCUCGGGGAGGUCUCCUCCCCCAGCAGCGGCCACCUCGCCCCGCCUCGGCCUCCAGCCCGAUUCGUUCUGGUAAGGCCAUCUCCGGCGCUCCAACCCCGCUCGUUACCCUCCCUAGCUGCCAGGAGCAUAACCCCCUCUUCAAUUUAACCUUUGCAGCCCUCUCCGACGAGCCCCUCGACCACCCGAGCCGCCGUCCGCUGGAGCAAAGCUCGCCGUCGACGUGGUGCUCGCCGACCGACUCCACCACCAUCAACUGACGCGGAAGGGUGCCCUGAGCACGGAGGUACCCUCCGAUCUCUCUGCCAUGCCGUGGAUCGCCACCGGCGACCACCGCGGGUCUCGGGCGCCGGCGAACUCUGCUGCCCCGUUUGAACAUUUAAACCUGAGGGGUGGGACCCCACCGUCAGCCUCUCUGCUCUCUCUCUCUCGAAUCAUUUUCUGGAAGCGCCUUCGGGCAGGAUGCGUCUUCUCUUUGGGUUGGCGUAGUCGCUACCGAAGCGUUUUCUGUUUUUAUAAACUAGCCCCUGGAAAUCUUCUGUUUCAUUACAGAAUAGUCCCUGAACAAAAACCCUUAUAACUUUUAAACAGAAAAGUAUUUUUGAUUGAUUCUUUCUCUGUUCUCUUUAAAAUUUUGCCUAGUUUUUUAUCAGAUUUAUUUGAAAAAUAUUUGGUUUACCUUCUGUGCACUCCUUGGUAUUUACGAUAGCGCAUGUAUUUUCUUUAUACCAUAGAUACCGAAGGAGGUGACAGAGCCGCGAACUUCACCGAGCUAGGCUCCGACUACUCUGAACCAGGCAAGCAUGUUUGAACUUUUGAUAUGAUGAGUGUCUUGGCAUGUUUUGCAUUUAGUUAGUUUCACGGCAUGUUGGUGAGCAUACCGAUGAACGUUAUUUUAUGUGAUGAUGAGGUAAGUGAGUUCGAUGAUCCAUACAUGGAUGAAUGUGAAUAUGAAUGGCCAUGUGUUGGCAUGAGGAUGGGUACGAUGGCAGUGUUGUAGCAUGCCGGUCUUACGCCAGACUAUGUGACUUCAGUGUCAAACCAUAUCGGUCCAGUACCUAUCAUUUCCUUCCUUGUACAACCACAUGUUUUCCGCAAGGAAUAUGGUUUAGUAAGUUGCAAACCGCUUCCAUGGUACACAUCAAAAAGGAGAGGCCGUGAUGAUGGUUCCAUGGCCCUGGAUUAAAGCCAGUCAUCCGGUCAGGGGGCAUGGGUGUUUCCGGUUGGGACCGAGAGGGGGGCACCCCUUAGAGCGCGCGUAUAUAAAUUUGAUCCCAUGCUAUUCGAGAUUUUGAUCUCCCCGUCUCAAAAGUUUUUCUUGGACGAUGUCUAGGGUGAUUCCUAGCAUCGAGAGGUAGGAUGGGUGUGUAUCGGUUAGCUGUGUUUUCUUCCGAAAUACCGUAAACGGAACUAGUCCUUCGUGACUACGGAAAUCCGUUGGCUGUGGGAAAAUUUUUGUACAAACUCUGCAGAGUCAUAUAUUCCUCCAAAUCAUCUAUUCCAUGUCCAAAUUCGUUCCAUCUUAUCCUAAUCAAUUGUCAGUUUUGAUGACAGAGACUCCAGUGAAUCGCAUGAAUGCUAAGUCCGGUUAAAUGAUUAUUCCUGUGGAUGGACUAACCCGUUUAUUAUCAUGGAUCAAAUGUUUAUUAUGAGUAUUAUUUACUUGUGAAUAAAGCCCUUUCUGUGAUGUCGCUCAGACGUCCGGCUGUGGCAUUUCUUUUAAAGCCCUUUCUGUGAUGUCGCUUAGACGUCCGGCUGUGGCAUUUCUUUUAAAGCCCUUUCUGUGAUGUCGCUUAGACGUCCGGCUGUGGCAUUUCUUUUAAAGCCCUUUCUGUGAUGUCGCUCAGACGUUCGGCUGUGGCAUUUCUUUUAAAGCCCUUUCUAUGAUGUCGCUCAGACGUCCNNNNNNNNNNNNNNNNNNNNNNNNNNNNNNNNNNNNNNNNNNNNNNNNNNNNNNNNNNNNNNNNNNNNNNNNNNNNNNNNNNNNNNNNNNNNNNNNNNNNNNNNNNNNNNNNNNNNNNNNNNNNNNNNNNNNNNNNNNNNNNNNNNNNNNNNNNNNNNNNNNNNNNNNNNNNNNNNNNNNNNNNNNNNNNNNNNNNNNNNNNNNNNNNNNNNNNNNNNNNNNNNNNNNNNNNNNNNNNNNNNNNNNNNNNNNNNNNNNNNNNNNNNNNNNNNNNNNNNNNNNNNNNNNNNNNNNNNNNNNNNNNNNNNNNNNNNNNNNNNNNNNGGCUGUGGCAUUUCUUUUAAAGCCCUUUCUGUGAUGUCGCUUAGACGUCCGACUGUGGCAUUUCUUCUUAAAGCCCUUUCUGCGAUGUCGCUCAGACGUCCGGCUGUGGCAUUUCUUUUAAAGCCCUUUCUGCGAUGUCGCUCAGACGUCCGACUGUGGCAUUCUUUUUUAAGCCCUUUAUGUGGUGUCGCUAAGACGCCCGACUGUGGCAUCUUUUCCUUAUUUUUUUAUUUGCUCACCUUUCGAGGCGUCGCUUCAGACACUCGAUCGGUCUUUAUUUAUGUUCUGUGGGAUUCCAGGCGGACUACCGCCGUUUCCCUUUUUACUUACCCCGUUAUGCCAAUUUUAUUUAUUGUGCAUUGAGAAAUUAAUCAUGUUGCAUCCAUGCACGCAUUUAUUUUAUCUUACAUCCGAACUGUCUUGCGAGUACUUUCAAAGUACUCACUGGCUUGUUGAUUUGGCCAGAUGCUGACGAAGGUGAUCUCAUGGAUGAAGAGUUCGAUAGCGAGUCCGACACUUAGAGGAGUCCUAGUCAGUCUCGUGCGACCCUGGAUUUGGUCACUGUUUUAUAUCCGCUUCCGCUACCAAAUAAAUUCAUCGAGCCUCACCUCGACGCUCGAUGAAAUGAUAGACUUAGAGUCUUGUAUUUCCCUUCCUGCUGUGUUUUUCCACCACCACCCUAUCCUUGAGUCAGUAGUAUGUCUCCACACCGCUGUGUCCUGUCCGCCAUUAUGUAUAAUUAUUGGCGUGCUUGUAAUAAUUUGGUUGAGCAACCGCAGUUCGACCCUGUAAUGGAAUUUUAUGCUACUGGCUUAUUGUAUCAAGAAAUUGUCUACCAGUGAAGAGGAUUUCUCUCAUACUGGACUUAAAAGACUGGUUUAUCAAUAAAUAUUUUUAUUGGAAAACCGGUCGUGACAAGCUUGGGACCAGAGCCAGGCUGACUAUAGGAAGCCACUAGGUGCGAUCGCUAAUUAGUUAUUAGCAUGACAGAGUUUUUUUUUAUUUUUGCAAUUGUAGUCAUUUUCUGUCAGUCAGCAUAAAUUUAUGAUCUGACCCUGCAGAAUUUUUGCCUACUUUUGUAGAUGGCCGACAACAGCUGCGAGUCUCAGACCUUCGCCAACGUGCCCGAUGGGUUCGUCAAGCUUCUUUCUUUCAUCGUUCAGGUCGCGAUGGGGCCAUCCGUGUGCCCAGUCUUCUCACUCUGCCAGCACCGAGUCAACGACAGUCUGACCAUGCACCAGGCCGCGGUGCAGUUCAGGGGAGGGCGUGGUGAGUUACGCCGCUUCCGGUUCAUGGGGAGAGCCAUGCCUACGGAGAGGCAUGCUAUGCAGAUGGCAGCCCGCGAGGCGAUAGCUCGUCUCAGGGAUGUCCUUCCCGUGAUGAAGACUCGUCGUUACCGUUAUCUUCCGUGCCAUGUGCCUUACACCUGUCACUACGCAUACUCCUGCCCCAGAGGAGAACGAGACGAGGCUUUUGAGAUGCUCAUUGAGUAUCUCCGAGCCUUGGAGGCAGCCUUCGACAACCUGGUGGACGACUUCGUAGCUACCCGCAUGGACUCAGUCCAUGGCUGUGCUGCCAACAGGAGGGAGCUCCUACCCAUCGCUCCGCCACUGACUUUUGUCUCGUCAUCAGCAUCUUUUACGCCUACUCGUCGCCUGCCUUCUACCGAAGAAUUUAACCAAGUCAUGGCACCCACUCCAGCGCGCACUGCACCAACCUUCGCGCCCACUCCUGUAUGUGUUGCUCCUCCCCUGGCAACCGCUCCGUCCGCUCUGCGCAACACUACACGUAUGGAGCCCAUUAGCGAGGAGGAAGUCGAGUCCCCAACCUUGCUACGCCUCGCCCUCGGCAGGGCAAGGGAGGUCGUCAACAUCUCUGCCUGAGUACGCUUAGCUGCCGUGUAUUGUACCGCUUGUAAGAUAUGUACAUAGGUUGCGAGAAGUAGCCUGUUUGCGCAUCAUGUAGGAUCUGGAGAAGUGCACUAGCCUAAAUAACAUGUCAGGAUUUUGUACGCAUAUCCUGAGUGAUGUACUGUAUAAUUACCGCCCGUGUGUAAGAUAUGUAAUGAGCAGUCCUUCUCCGUGCGCAAGUUGAUUUGUUUUUUUUCUUAAGUAAGCUUGGGUAUUUAAUUUUAUCUGGCAGCUUUAUGCUUUUAUGGUUUUGUUUUGCGACUCUUUCCGCUUUUCUUAAAAGUUUUACAAAAAUAUAUUUCCCAGAGUGAAAAAUGUCUCGUCCUUGGACACGUUCCAUGCCAACUCCACCAGAGGAAAUUCAUGAUACUCAACCCAACAAUGAGUUCACUCAGGGACAGUCAAGCCAACAAGGCAGUGAAUCGGCACUUUCACAAAUGUGCCGCCUUUAUGAACAGAGUCAAUAACAACAUCGCGAGAUGAUGAACCAAGUCAUCAACAUGGGGAAUCAUCAUGGACAAUAUCAGCAACAUUCCAAGUUGUCUGAGCUACAGAAGACACGUCCUCAAACAUUUUCUCACACUGACAAGCCUCUUGAAGCCGAGGACUGGCUUCGAGAUAUGGAGAGGAAAUUAAUUAUUGCAAAGUGUUCAGAUCUCGAGAAAGUGCUAUAUGCUCCACACUAUCUCACAGGAGCAGCCGCAUCGUGGUGGGAGAAUUUUCUGCACUUGCAUCCCAACGAAAAUGACAUAACCUGGGAUGAUUUCAAGGAAGGUUUCCGUGGUGCACAUAUUCCUAAGAGUAUUAUGAAAAUCAAGAAGAGAGAAUUCGAUGACCUCAAACAAAGGAACAUGACAGUGUCAGAUUACAACAGUCAAUUUACCCUAUUAUCCCGCUACGCCAAUGAGGAGCGUAUGACUGAAAUCAAGAAGAUGGAGAAAUUCCUUGACGGUCUGGCGCCCGCGCUUAAAUGCCAACUGGUCGUACACACUUUUCCUGAUUUUAAAACGCUGGUGGACAAGGCCAUUACUCUGGAAAAUGAGAGACGCAGUCUGGAAGAUAUCCGCAAGCGAAAAAGGGACCAGACUAAUCACACUCGCAAUCACCGAAGCAAGACUGAUUUUAAAAAGGGUGGGACACCCAAAUUCUCAUCCAAUGUCUCACGCCCAAUCAAGAAUUUUCAUGCAAGGGACAAGGAAUUCACCUAUCGUCCCGGCGUUACUUGUUACGCUUGUGGAGAAGAAGGGCAUUAUGCCAAACAGUGCCCCAAGCCAAGGAACUCAACCCCAAAGCCGAACAACGGCGGCAAUAAUUCAGCGCCCAAGCGAAACAAUUUCAAUCCCAACAAUAUCCACAGGAAGGGUCAUCUGAACCACGUAACCAAAGAGGAGGCACAAAAUGCUCCGGAUAUCGUACUCGGUACGUUUCCUGUCAACACAAUACCUGAAUGGUUUUGUUUGAUUCUGGAGCUUCUCACUCUUUCAUCUCAAAAAGUUUUGCUUUGCAAAAUAAUUUCUCGAUGCUUCCUUUGGAGAAAUCCAUAUUAAUCAAGUCCCCCGGGAUUCAGCAAGUUUCUCAGAAUUACUAUCAGAAUGUGGCCAUUGAGUUUGAAGGAUUGGAGUUUUAUGCAAAUCUUAUUGUAUUGGAAAAUAAAGGACUGGAUGUCAUCCUAGGGAUGGAUUGGCUAACCACCAAUAAAGGUUUUAUCGACUGUUUCAACAGGACUGUGAUUCUCACACACCACCAAGGGAAGACAAUAAGAGUAUCAGCCAAGGAAGGAAAAAGACCCCGGCAACCGAGAUUAAAAAAGGUGGACGUUUCUGAGCUAAACAAGGUUCCAGUAGUGUGUGAAUUUCCAAAUGUAUUCCCUGAAGAGCUGCCAGGCAUGCCACCAGACCGAGAAAUAGAAUUCCGCAUUGAGCUAGCACCAGGAACCACCCCCAUAUACAAGAAACCAUACAGAAUGGCACCAUCUGAGUUGAUCGAAUUGAAGAAGAAAAUAAAGGAAUUACUGGAAAAAGGAUGCAUUCGAGCCAGCUCCUCACCUUGGGGAUCACCAAUUUUAUUUGCCAAGAAGAAGGAUGGAACGCUGAGAUUGUGUAUUGACUAUCAAGCACUUAACAUGGUCACAGUCAAAAACAAAUACCCGAUGCCAAGGAUAAACGAUUUGUUUGAUCAACUUGCUCAGGCCAAGGUAUUCUCAAAAAUUGACUUAAGGUCAGGAUACCAUCAAUUGAAGGUACGAACAGAAGAUAUCCCCAAAACAGCCUUCACCUCCAGAUAUGGACUGUACGAGUUCACAGUGAUGCCAUUUGGGUUAACUAACGCCCCGGCAUAUUUUGUUCACCUCAUGAACAAAGUAUUUAUGAAGUUUAUGGACAAAUUCGUCGUGGUAUUCAUCGACGAUAUUCUGGUAUACUCCAAAACACCAGAAGAGCACGCAGAACAUCUCACGAUUGUACUAGGAGAACUAAGGAAACACCAAUUGUAUGCCAAGUUCAGCAAGUGUGAAUUUUGGCUAAGGCAAGUAGGUUUUCUAGGCCACGUGCUGACUCAAGACGGUAUAGCAGUGGACCCAGAGAAAGUCAAGGUCAUACUUGACUGGAAGUCACCAGCCAGCGUAACGGACAUACGAAGUUUCUUGGGAAUGGCAGGAUAUUACCGCAGAUUUAUUGAAGGAUUUUCCACCAUAUCCAAGCCUAUGACACAGUUACUCAAGAAAGAUAAGAAGUUUGAGUGGACAGAAGCCUGCGAGAAAAGUUUCCAAGAGCUAAAGCGGAAAUUAACAACAGCACCGGUAUUAAUUGUACCCAAUAUACACAAGAAUUUUGAAGUAUUUUGUGACGCGUCCAGAAAGGGUCUCGGAUGCGUGUUGAUGCAAGAAGGCAAGGUUGUCGCCUACGCUUCAAGGCAACUUCGCAAGCACGAGGAAAAUUAUCCCACUCAUGACUUAGAAAUGGCAGCAGUUAUCCAUGCACUCAAGGAAUGGAGGCAUUUCCUACUUGGGAAUCGAUGUGAGAUAUAUACGGAUCACAAAAGCCUCAAAUACAUUUUUACGCAGCCAGAACUAAAUUUACGGCAACGCCGCUGGUUGGAAUUGGUAAAGGAUUAUGAUGUUGGUAUCCAUUACCAUCCAGGGAAAGCAAACGUAGUAGCCGAUGCCCUGAGUCGGAACCCCAGCUCCGACGGGAACUAUCUGCACAACUUGAGGCCCGAAUUCCAUCAAGAAUUUGCCAAGCUCAACUUGAUAAUGGUAGCAGAAGGCACCAUAUCAAACGUGGAAAUACAACCACACCUUGUGGAGAAAAUUAAAGAGGCUCAGUCCGGUCACCCCAGCAUUGAAGGAAUUAAAAGAAAGUUGAGUAUGGACAAGGUCUCGGAAUUCGUCAUAGACAAUGAAGGAAUAUUAUGGUACGGAGAAAGGCUAUGCGUGCCAAGCAUAGAAGACCUUAAACAACAAACUUUAGCUGAAGCACACACCACUCCAUAUUCGAUCCACCCUGGAGGAACCAAAAUGUAUAAUGAUAUUCAGGAAAGAUUUUGGUGGCACGGUAUGAAGAGGGACAUAGCCGCCUUCAUUGCAUGUUGCGACUCAUGUCAACGCAUAAAAGCUGAACAUCAGAGACCAGCCGGACUACUGCAACCUAACAAAAUACCUGAGUGGAAAUGGGAUGAAAUAGGGAUGGAUUUUAUUGUCGGAUUACCUCGGUCACAACACGGGAAUGAUGCCAUAUGGGUCAUCUCUGACAGGUUGACCAAAGUGGCACACUUUAUUCCAGUGAAGACAACCUACACCACUCAGAGGCUUGCCAGGAUUUAUCUUUCCCGCAUAGUCUGUCUGCACGGUGUCCCGAAGACUAUAAUUUCCGACAGAGGGACUCAGUUCAUCUCAAGAUUUUGGGAACAUUUACAACAGGCUCUGGGGACCCAACUAGCCUUCAGUACCGCAUACCAUCCACAGACUGAUGGACAAACAGAACGCGUAAACCAGGUUUUAGAAGACAUGCUGAGAGCAUGCGUCCUCACCUAUGGAACCAGUUGGGAGGACAGCCUGCCAUAUGCCGAGUUUGCAUACAACAACAGUUACCAGGCCAGCCUGCAAAUGGCUCCUUUCGAAGCCCUAUACGGAAGGAGAUGUUGUACCCCGUUAAAUUGGUCAGAGACCGGAGACAGCCGCAUCUUCGGACCAGAUAUGCUCAGAGAAGCCGAGGAAAAAGUCAAGCUAAUCAGGGACCGACUUAAGACCGCUCAAAGUCGACAGAAAAGUUAUUAUGAUCAGAAACAUCGUAGGGUCAGCUUCGAACCCGGUGAGUUCGUAUAUUUGAGAGUAUCCCCGAUGAGAGGAUUGCAACGGUUUAAGAUUAAAGGAAAAUUAGCACCAAGAUUCAUUGGACCACUUUGCAUAGUGGCACGAAGAGGCACUGUAGCCUACCAGCUAGACUUACCCGAAGACUUGUCCGACAUUCACGACGUGUUCCACGUCUCUCAAUUAAGGAAGUGCGUAAACAACCCAGAGAAACAAGUAUCCCAUGAGAACAUUGACGUGCAGCCAGACCUCACUUAUCGAGAACGUCCCAUAAGGAUAUUAGAGGAGUCUGAAAGGAGGACCAGACAGAAAACCAUCAAGUUUUUCAAAGUCCAGUGGAGCAAUCACACCGACAGUGAAGCAACUUGGGAAAGCGAGGAUUUUCUUCGGACAGAGCAUCCACACUUAUUUAAGGAUCAGCUGAAAUCUCGGGGACGAGAUUUUUCCUAAGGGGGUAGGUGCUGUGACACUCCAAAAAUUUUAUUUGGUUUUUAUCAAAAACUCUGUGGUUUUUAGGAGAGACUUUUUAAAAAAAAAUUCUUUUUCAGAAAAACCUUCCUCUUAAAAACUUCCUUUUGCCUUGGAAAGGAUUUUAUUUCUUUCAAACUUUGGUGGUUGAUCUUUUGCAAACUUCUUCUCUGUUGGUUCCCUCUAAAAAUUUAUUUUUUUGGGAGUUUUAAUUUGUUUUAUUUUAAAAUGAAGCUCUAUGAAAAUUUGGGAUUUUCAUAUCUUUAAAGCCACCCUUGGCUUUGUAUUUUUGUCCAUGAGAUAAAACCCCUCCAAAACCUCCCCUCCCCCUUGUGAUCAACCUAAGUUCUCUGUCCCAACUAAUCCAAACUAGUUUUGGAUUUUAUUCUAAUUAUUUUUCCCUCUCAAAUCAAUUCUGAAAAUUAUUUGAAGCCUGAGGGAUUUUCAAAGCAAGUACACUUUUUCAUUUGAGUUUUGACCUCAAACCAAUUCUCCUGGAUUGUCCUUUGAACCCACAACCCAGAACCAUCUUGAUCCACUCCUCCUCUUUUCAAAUUUUUCAAAAUACAGUCUCUGCAUGUUUGGACCAGAUUUGCCAAAUUUGGUGAAAUUCAUAUCCACACUGCUCCAAAAAUUCCACCAAAAAUCAUGCAGCCUACUUGAGAAAGGAGAAGCCCCUCCACCAAAAUUCAGCUCAAGGAAAAAUCACCAGAGGCCAAUUUCAUUCUGUCGAACACCUUGUGGGCACUGUCACUGUUCAAAGUUCAGAAAAUUCAGUUUCAGUGUCAUCUUCAGUUCGUCAGUUUCAGUCACGCGGCCACAGUGCCCUUGGCACGUUCCUCGCCGCCUCUUUCUCUUGUCCGAAGCUUCACACGCGUGCGUGGAGCCUUCCUGGCGUCGGUAGCGCGCUGGCCCGCCCUCGCCGGCGUCUUCUGUGGCGUCGGGACCUCCCGUGGCGGCCGACAGGAGGCACACCACGGCAGAACGCUGUUCUGCGCCGCCCAUCGCUCCCUGGCUCUCCGCGUGGCCUGAUGCACGCCAGCGCACGCCCGUGGCACAGCCACCGUGGCCGGCAAGCACGGAACGCGCUCUCCGCCGCCGACGGGCCCGCACCAUCCCCGUUCCGUUGAGCUCGCCCUUAACACCCAAACCCCGGCCAGUUUGACACCAAAACGGACCCUUUGAACCUCCGUGAUGAUGCUUGACCCCCUAACCACCCCGACCGAGCACGACGCCACCGUAAUCACUCGCCGGUGAUCCUCGUUCACGGCAACCGCAUCGGACCGCCUAUAUAAAGGGGCCCCGAGCUCACUCUCGUGCACGCAGCACCUCCACUUCUCACCACCACCCCGCCAGGCCACUAGGGGGACCUCGGGGAGGUCUCCUCCCCCAGCUCCGGCCACCUCGCCCCGCCUCGGCCUCCAGCCCAAUUCGUUCUGGUAAGGCCAUCUCCGGCGCUCCAACCCCGCUCGUUACCCUCCCUAGCUGCCAGGAGCAUAACCCCCUCUUCAAUUUAACCUUUGCAGCCCUCUCCGACGAGCCCCUCGACCACCCGAGCCGCCGUCCGCCGGAGCAAAGCUCGCCGUCGACGUGGUGCUCGCCGACCGACUCCACCACCAUCAACUGAUGCGGAAGGGUGCCCUGAGCACGGAGGUACCCUCCGAUCUCUCUGCCACGCCGUGGAUCGCCGCCGGCGACCACCGCGGCUCUCGGGCGCCGGCGAACUCUGCCACCCCAUUUGAACAUUUACACCUGACGGGUGGGACCCCACCGUCAGCCUCUCUGCUCUCUCUCGAAUCGUUUUCUGGAAGCGCCUUCGGGCAGGAUGCGUCUUCUCUUUGGGUUGGCGUAGUCGCUACCGAAGCGUUUUCUGUUUUUAUAAACUAGCCCCUGGAAAUCUUUUGUUUCAUUACAGAAUAGUCCCUAGACAAAAGCCCUUAUAACUUUUAAACAGAAAAGUAUUUUUGAUUGAUUCUUUCUCUGUUCUCUUUAAAAUUUUGCCUAGUUUUUUAUCAGAUUUAUUUAAAAAAUAUUUGGUUUACCUUCUGUGCACUCCUUGGUAUUUACGAUAGCGCAUGUAUUUUCUUUAUACCGUAGAUACCGAAGGAGGUGAUGGAGCCGCGAACUUCACCGAGCUAGGCUCCGACUACUCUGAACCAGGCAAGCAUGUUUGAACUUUUGAUAUGAUGAGUGUCUUGGCAUGUUUUGCAUUUAGUUAGUUUCACGGCAUGUUGGUGAGCAUACCGAUGAACGUUAUUUUAUGUGAUGAUGAGGUAAGUGAGUUCGAUGAUCCAUACAUGGAUGAAUGUGAAUAUGAAUGGCCAUGUGUUGGCAUGAGGAUGGGUACGAUGGCAGUGUUGUAGCAUGCCAGUCUUACGCCAGACUAUGUGACUUCAGUGUCAAACCAUAUCGGUCCAGUACCUAUCAUUUCCUUCCUUGUACUACCACAUGUUUUCCGCAAGGAAUAUGGUUUAGUAAGUUGCAAACCGCUUCCAUGGUACACAUCAAAAAGGAGCGGCCGUGAUGAUGGUUCCAUGGCCCUGGAUUAAAGCCAGUCAUCCGGUCAGGGGCAUGGGUGUUUCCGGUUGGGACCGAGAGGGGGGCACCCCUUAGAGCGCGCGUAUAUAAAUUUGAUCCCAUGCUAUUCGAGAUUGUGAUCUCCCCGUCUCAAAAGUUUUUCUUGGACGAUGUCUAGGGUGAUUCCUAGCAUCGAGAGGUAGGAUGGGUGUGUACCGGUUAGCUGUGUUUUCUUCCGAAAUACCGUAAACGGAACUAGUCCUUCGUGACUACGGAAAUCCGUUGGCUGUGGGAAAAUUUUUGUACAAACUCUGCAGAGUCAUAUAUUCCUCCAAAUCAUCUAUUCCAUGUCCAAAUUCGUUCCAUCUUAUCCUAAUCAAUUGUCAGUUUUGAUGACAGAGACUCCGGUGAAUCGCAUGAAUGCUAAGUCCGGUUAAAUGAUUAUUCCUGUGGAUGGACUAACCCGUUUAUUAUCAUGGAUCAAAUGUUUAUUAUGAGUAUUAUUUACUUGUGAAUAAAGCCCUUUCUGUGAUGUCGCUCAGACAUCCGGCUGUGGCAUUUCUUUUAAAGCCCUUUCUGUGAUGUUGCUUAGACGUCCGGCUGUGGCAUUUCUUUUAAAGCCCUUUCUGUGAUGUCGCUUAGACGUCCNNNNNNNNNNNNNNNNNNNNNNNNNNNNNNNNNNNNNNNNNNNNNNNNNNNNNNNNNNNNNNNNNNNNNNNNNNNNNNNNNNNNNNNNNNNNNNNNNNNNNNNNNNNNNNNNNNNNNNNNNNNNNNNNNNNNNNNNNNNNNNNNNNNNNNNNNNNNNNNNNNNNNNNNNNNNNNNNNNNNNNNNNNNNNNNNNNNNNNNNNNNNNNNNNNNNNNNNNNNNNNNNNNNNNNNNNNNNNNNNNNNNNNNNNNNNNNNNNNNNNNNNNNNNNNNNNNNNNNNNNNNNNNNNNNNNNNNNNNNNNNNNNNNNNNNNNNNNNNNNNNNNNNNNNNNNNNNNNNNCGUCCGGCUGUGGCAUUUCUUUUAAAGCCCGUUCUGUGAUGUCGCUCAGACGUCCGGCUGUGGCAUUUCUUUUAAAGCCCUUUCUGUGAUGUCGCUUAGACGUCCGACUGUGGUAUUUCUUCUUAAAGCCCUUUCUGCGAUGUCGCUCAGACAUCCGGCUGUGGCAUUUCUUUUAAAGCCCUUUCUGCGAUGUCGCUCAGACGUCCGACUGUGGCAUUCUUUUUUAAGCCCUUUAUGUGGUGUCGCUAAGAUGCCCAACUGUGGCAUCUUUUCCUUAUUUUUUUAUUUGCUCACCUUUCGAGGCGUCGCUUCAGACACCCGAUCGGUCUUUAUUUAUGUUCUGUGGGAUUCCAGGCGGACUACCGCCGUUUCCCUUUUUACUUACCCCGUUAUGCCAAUUUUAUUUAUUGUGCAUUGAGAAAUUAAUCAUGUUGCAUCCAUGCACGCAUUUAUUUUAUCUUACGUCCGAACUGUCUUGCGAGUACUUUCAAAGUACUCACUGGCUUGUUGAUUUGGCCAGAUGCUGACGAAGGCGAUCUCAUGGAUGAAGAGUUCGAUAGCGAGUCCGACACUUAGAGGAGUCCCAGUCAGUCUCGUGCGACCCUGGAUUUGGUCAUUGUUUUAUAUCCGCUUCCGCUACCAAAUAAAUUCAUCGAGCCUCACCUCGAUGCUCGAUGAAAUGAUAGACUUAGAUUCUUGUAUUUCCCUUCCCGCUGUGUUUUUCCACCACCACCCUAUCCUUGAGUCGGUAGUAUGUCUCCACACCGCUGUGUCCUGUCCGCCAUUAUGUAUAAUUAUUGGCGUGCUUGUAAUAAUUUGGUUGAGCAACCGCAGUUCGACCCUGUAAUGGAAUUUUAUGCUACUGGCUUAUUGUAUCAAGAAAUUGUCUACCAGUGAAGAGGAUUUCUCUCAUACUGGACUUAAAAGACUGGUUUAUCAAUAAAUAUUUUUAUUGGAAAACCGGUCGUGACAGAAGCCGGCCUCCCAGCCGGCGGGCCUUCUACGUAAGCUAGCAAGUUGACGUAGUCGCCGUUCGGGGCAACGUUCUUUACAUAGAAGUAAGACCGUUGCCAGAGCUUCACCGACUGGAUCAGCGCGAUUGAAGGAAAGGGGUUGUCGGCGGUGGACCUCCUCAUGGCGAUGAAGGCGCCGCACGGAGCCGGCACGCCGGCCGUGACCGUGCUGAGCUUGGAUUGAAAGAACUCCCCCCAUAGCUCGAUGGUGGGGAGGACGCCAAGGAAUCCUUCGCACAAAGAGACGAAGGUCGACAGCAACACCACCGUGUUGGGGGUGAGGUGGUGCGGCUGGAGCUGGUAGAAGUCCAGGAACGCGCGAAAGAAGCCACUGGCGGAAAGGCCGGCGCCGCGCAUGCAGUGCGAGUAGAAGAUCACUCGCUCGCCUUCCUCCGGCGCCGGCGAGAUCUCCCUCGCUAGCGCGAGGCGGACGUGCACAAGAUCCUCACUCGGCAGCCGCCGCGUCUUGCGGAGAAACUCGAUGUGGUCGUCACGGAUGGUGGAGCCGUCCCAAGACCUCUAUGUCGGAGCCAUGGCGGCGAGCACAAUGACGGGGAGCGCCCGACACGGAGGCAGCAAGCCUGCGACAUGCUAGGAAGAAGAAUGGAUGGUGAUCCAGGAGCACGGCGAGGAGCUACCGCAGCGAGGCAGAAGAAGAAGGAGGCAGGGCGAGGGCGACCGUGCGAACUACUGCCGCUCCCCCUCCCCGCCCCUACUUAUAGCCUCGCGUGGCGAAGCCGAGGAGGCGAGGCACGGGGGGCGUGGGAUUAACUGCGCCCACUCCCCCACGCCCCGCAAUUAUCGCGCCUUGAUGGCGAGUGGGAACCGCCGCCAGAAGACGUGUGGUCGGUUUGGGCCACAAAAGAUCCGCGCACGGGCCGAGGCGCGGGAGUGGCGGGCCCCGACCUAUGACAGCGUCCCAUCACGCGCAUGGGCUGGCAGGCCUUGCCGGCCGAAGGGUGCCACGCAGCGCGCGGAAAGCAAGAGGCCGGCCCGCCACUCGGCUGGCGCGCCAACUGGUUCCCGCCUUCGAAUUUCGAAGAGGCGUCACCGAGAAGGCCCGCGCAAGAAAGGCCGGCUCCUAGAUGUCGGCUCCUCGGGAUAGGAAGUUGGCCGAGCUUCUCGAUUUCCCUUCAGCCGUGAAGCCCAACCAGCUUCGGGGACUACCGUCGGAGUAAAUGACCACGGGUAGCCUAACUAGCUCCCUUUGGCCCUUAGAAAAAACAACGAGCCGAUCGGACCAUGAAGCGCCUAAGACACGGGGCCGCCUUCCUCCGGCCGGCUAUCACCUAGGCCGGCUGGCGGAAGGCGGCCCAGCCAUAGAAACAACCCUUGGAGGACGUCGCGAUCGGGCCGACUCCAAGAAGGCGGCCCAAGAAGGACCGCCUCCCAGAAGGUGGCCCAAGAAGGACCGACUCCCAGAAGACGACCCAAGAAGGACCGACUCCAAGAGCAAGCGGCCGAACGCCGCAUCCUGAAAACCAUCACCCAUAACGGUGACGGGACAGGGCGUGGCUACAGCAAACCCUGCCACCCCCGAAUCCAAGAGUAUGAGUGGCUACAACACGCCGUAUGGGGCAGCCAUCCCCCGUCCGGCGCGACACUGUAGCCAUGCGAAUCAUGACGCCAUCCACGACGGGUUGCCAGUACGGCCCGCAGGCGGCGGGCCCCUUCGGUCAGAGAGACAUCCGGAGGCGGCCCGGCCUCCCCCAGCCGGCCCAAGGCCGGGCCGGCUUCCAGUAUCCGGCUUGCUCCCCCCCUCGGGGCGCGCGCACCAUUAAGUAGAUGUGACACGGUAAGGCUACAAUGGGAGCCCGCAAGGCGGCGGCACUAUAGCCAUGCUUACUGCGACAAAGCCCUCGUCAUCAGAGGCGAGGCAACAGUAACCAGCCCCCGACAGGACCCCCUGGCGGUGGGGCCGGCCUGUCGACCAGCGAGCCGACAGCCGGCGGGACCCACCAGUUGGCGGGCCCCAGAAGCCGGUGGAGAAGGCGGCGGUCGUAGACACUGACGGCUUGGGCCCGCACCCAACCGGAUCACCAUUGUACCCCCCGGGACACCCAUGCAAAGGGUUGAUCUCAUAGAAUCUUAGACACUGCCAUAGGGAGAGAAGAGAGCUAGCCUUGCCCUUCUUCCUCCUCCCACCGAACAGCUCAAGGAGCAUCUUGUAGCCACUCGUUGAUCUAGUGACCAUGUGGAGACCCUACAGAGCAGCAGUAGGGGUGUUAUCUCCAUGGAGAGCCCCGAAGCUGGGUAAGAUUCGCCGCGUGCUACUCGCAUACCCGCUCUCGGGCCUAUCAGCAGCAGUCUUACCCACACACUAAGCCCUUGUGGCAUCUGUGGACUCGCAAGCCCCCCAUGAGAAUACCACGACAAUCACCCUUUAAUGAGAAUGGAAAUAUCUUAAGAAUAUAAUAAUAGUGAGACUUCUCAUCAUUAGUAAACAAGGUAGCAAUAUCAUUUAACUUGGUAAGAUGUGCCACAAUAGUUUCAGAUUCAUUGCCAUAAAAGGGAUCAGCUUCAACUAAAGUAAUUAUCUCAGGAGCAACAGAGAAUUCAUAAUCCUUAUCAGUAACACAGAUAGGUGAAGUAGCAAAAGCAGGGUCAGGUUUCAUUCUAGCAUUAAGGAAUUGUUGCUUCCAUUUAGCUAGUAACUUCUUAAGAUCAUAUCUAUCUUUGCAAGCAAAAAUAGCUCUAGCAGCUUCUUCAUCCAUAACAUAAGCCUCAGGAACAACACGCAAUUCAUAGUUAGGGGGAGAACCUUCAUCAUCACUUUCAUCAAUAAUUUCAUUUUCAAUAAUUUGAUUCUCCCUAGCCCUAGUAAGUUGUUCAUCAAGAAAUUCACCUAAUGGCACAGUAGUAUCAAGCAUAGAAGUAGUUUCAUCAUAAGUAUCAUGCAUAGCAGAAGUGGCAUCAUCAAUAACAUGCGACAUAUCAGAAUUCUUAGCAGUAGCAGGUUUAGGUGUUGCAAGCUUACUCCUAAUAGAAGGAGAAUCUAGUGGAGUGCUAGAUGGCAGUUCCUUACCUCCCCUCGUAGUUGAGGGAUAAAUUUUAGUUCUUUGAUCUUUCAAGUUCUUCAUAGUGAUCAGCAGAAAUAAAUCCCAAGUGACUCAGAGAAUAGAGCUAUGCUCCCCGGCAACGGCAGCAGAAAUUAGUCUUGAUAACCCACAAGUGUAGGGGAUCGUAAUAGAUUUCAAGGUAGAGUAUUCAACCCAAAUUUAUUGAUUUGACACAAGGGGAGCCAAAGAAUAUUCUUAAGUAUUAGCAGUUGAGUUGUCAAUUCAACCACACCUGGAUAACUUAGUAUCUACAGCAAGGUAUUUAGUAGCAAAGUAAUAUGAUAGUAAUGGUAACAGUAGCAAAAGUAAAGAUAACGGUAUUGUAGUGAUUGUAACAGUAGCAACAGUAAAGUAAAUAAGCGAAGCACAAUAUGUGAAAAGCUCGUAGGCAUUGGAUCGGUGAUGGAUAAUUAUGUCGGAUGUGAUUCCUCAUGUAAUAGUUAUAACAUAGGGUGACACAGAACUAGCUCCAAUUCAUCAAUGUAAUGUAGGCAUGUAUUCCGAAUAUAGUCAUACGUGCUUAUGGAAAAGAACUUGCAUGACAUCUUUUGUCCUACCCUCCCAUGGCAGCGGGGUCCUAGUGGAAACUAAGGGAUAUUAAGGCCUCCUUUUAAUAGAGUACCGGACCGAAGCAUUAACACAUAGUGAAUACAUGAACUCCUCAAACUAUGGUCAUCACCGAGAAGUAUCCCGAUUAUUGUCACAUCGGGGUUGUCGGAUCAUAACACAUAAUAGGUGACUAUAGACUUGCAAGAUAGGAUCAAGAACUCACAUAUAGUCAUGAAAACAUAAUAGGUUCAGAUCUGAAAUCAUGGCACUCGGGCCCUAGUGAGAAGCAUUAAGCAUAGCAAAGUCAUAACAACAUCAAUCUCAGAACAUAGUGGAUACUAGGGAUCAAACUCUAACAAAACUAACUUGAUUACAUGGUAAAUGUCAUCCAACCCAUCACCGUCCAGCAAGCCUACGAUGGAAUUACUCAUGUACGGCGGUGAGCAUCAUCAAAUUGGUGAUGGAGGAUGGUUGAUCAUGACGACGGCGCCGAAUCCCCUUCUCCGGAGCACUGAAUGGACUCUAGAUCAGCCCUCCCGAGAGGUUUUAGGGCUUGGCGGCGGCUUCGUAUCGUAAAACGCGAUGAAACUUCCUCUCUGAUUUUUUUCUCCGCGAAACAGAAUAUAUGGAGUUGGAGUUGAGGUUGGUGGAGCAUCAGGGAGCCCACGAGAUAGGGGGGCGCGCCCUAUAGGGGGGCGCGCCCCCACCCUCGUGGACAGGGUGUGGGCCCCCUGGCCUUCAUCUUUUGCCAGUAUUUUUUAUAUAUUCUAAAACUUAUCUCCGAGGAUUUUCAGGUCAUUCCGAGAACUUUUGUUUCUGCUCAAAAAUAACACCAUGGAAGUUCUGCUGAAAACAGCGUCAGUCUGGGUUAGUUUCAUUCAAAUCAUGCAAGUUAGAGUCCAAAACAAGGGCAAAAGUGUUUGGAAAAGUAGAUACGUUGGAGACGUAUUAGUAUGUUACUUGCCGAGAUUCGAUCGUCGGUAUCUCAAUACCUAGUUCAAUCUCGUUACCGGCAAGUCUCUUUAUUCGUUACAUAAUGCAUCAUUCCGUAACUAACUCAUUAGCUACAUUGCUUGCAAGGCUUAUAGUGAUGUGCAUUACUGAGAGGGCCCAAAGAUACCUCUCCGACAAUCGGAGUGACAAAUCCUAAUCUCGAAAUAUGCCAACUCAACAUGUACCUUCGGAGACACCUGUAGAGCUCCUUUAUAAUCACCCAGUUACGUUGUGACGUUUGGUAGCACACAAAGUGUUCCUCUAGUAAACGGGAGUUACAUAAUCUCAUAGUUGUAGGAACAUGUAUAAGUCAUGAAGAAAGUAAUAGCAACAUACUAAACGAUCAAGUGCUAAGCUAAUGAAAUGGGUCAAGUCAAUCACAUCAUUCUUCUAAUGAUGUGAUCUUGUUAAUCAAAUGAAAACUCAUGUCCAUGGUUAGGAAACACAACCAUCUUUGAUCAACGAGCUAGUCAAGUAGAGGCAUACUAGUGACACUAUGUUUGUCUAUGUAUUCACACAUGUAUUAUGUUUCCGGUUAAUACAAUUCUAGCAUGAAUAAUAAACAUUUAUCAUGAUAUAAGGAAAUAAAUAAUAACUUUAUUAUUGCCUCUAUGGCAUAUUUCCUUCAGUCUCCCACUUGCACUAGAGUCGAAAAUCUAGAUUACACAGUAAUGAUUAUAACACCCAUGGAGCCUUGGUGCUGAUCAUGUUUUGCUCGUGGAAGAGGCUUAGUCAACAGGUCUGCAACAUUCAGAUCUGUAUGUAUCUUGCAAAUCUCUAUGUCUCCCACCUGGACUUGGUACCGGAUGGAAUUGAAGCGUCUCUUGAUGUGCUUGGUUCUCUUGUGAAAUCUAGAUUCCUUUGCCAAGGCAAUUGCACCAGUAUUGUCAUAAAAGAAUUUCAUUGGUCCCGGUGCACUAGGUAUGACACCUAGAUCGGAUAUGAACUCCUUCAUCCAGACUCCUUCAUUUGCUGCUUCUGAAGCAUCUAUCACUACAUAAAAAAUACACUUCCGUGAUGAUACGUGUUUGUCACAGUAGGUCGCGUUUUUUGUCAUGCAUGUACAUCCAUGAAAAAUUUAUGACAAAAUCAAGAUAGUCAUACCUGUGCUGUCGUAGAAGUGUUCCAUGACAUUACCAAAAUUAUCAUCACAGAAGUUUCCACUUCCAUGAUGAUAAAUCGCGCGUCACAGAAGUUCUUUCGUCAAGGGUGACUGACACGUGGCAUCCACCAUAACGGAACGCCGUUAAGCUAUCGGGUCGGGUUUUGGAUCCGAUAACCCGUUAACAGCCCCAACCAUUGGGGAUUUUCCAUGUGUAAAAUCAUCAUUGGCUAGAGGAAACACGUGUCGGCUCACCGUUGGGACAGAUGUCAUCUUCUCAUUGGACCAAAGGCGCCUAUGAUACGGCGACAUGUGGUACGGCCCAACAGAGGCCCAUUCCUGUGAAAAGGCCGGCCCGUUUAACUUGGUCAAAAGGUGGCGGGAUGGCCCAUGGAAAGCCUGUUAAUGGCAUGUUCGCAUAUAGCCCAUUUACAACCAGCUAACCCAGGGCCCGUUACGCCCUAUCCGAAUUAGGCCCAGUAGCGUCAUCUGGGCCGUCCAAUAUGAUUCAGCCCGUUUUAACUUCCGGCCCAUGUGUGUCCCAUGACUUCUUUCGGCCCAUAUGAGGACGUUUGUAACUCUUGGCCCAUUAACGGCCCGUGGUGAAACUGGCCCUUAAUGAAUAGUGUAUCACUUUAUAGCCAUUAACAGCCCGUUAUUGCAUUGGGCCAUUUCCAGCCCAAGUUAUCUUUCGGCCUUCUAAGGACCCAUUGAUUCUUGUGCUCACUUGCAGCAUUCGGUUACAUACGGCCCGUUACUGUCAUUUUCUGCUUGUGGGCCAAAUUCAGCCCGUCGUUACAGUCGGCCCGUUUGCGGACCGUUAAUACGUUGGGCCGAUUUCAUGUAAAAAAAACUGUUGGGAUGUUUUCAUAGAGUUAUCAAAUACGGCCUAUUAACGGCCCGUUAUGGUCCACGAAUAGUACGGCCCAUGAUUGGUGAAAUGAUGAUACGCCCCAUAGAAGGCCCAUGGAUCCUACGGCCCGUAUGAGGCCCAUGGAUAGUAUGGCCCGUAGAAGGCCCAUGGAUCGUACGGCCCAUAAAAGGCCCAUGGACCCUACGGCCCGUAGAAGGCCCAUUGAUCCCUAAGGCCCAUAUAGAAGAAGGCCGAUGGAUCCUACGGCCCGUAUAGAAGGCCAAUGGUCCUACGGCCGAACGAAGGCCCAUGGGUAAUACGGCCUGUAGGAGGCCCAUCAGUCCAUGUGUUGCCAUGAUUAUUUUGGCCUAGUUACCAAAAACAAGCUAUUGUGGCCACUAUAAAAACACAGAAAAAGAACUGCAGUGACUAGAAGCAAACAACUAAACAAGACAAUAAGGGAAUAAAUAAGCAAGCAAUUAAGGCUAGCCUAUUACCGCUAUUACACAUAAUACAUCCACUGGGCAUCAAAGUUCGCCACUAGUGCAAAUAUAGGGAACAAAGCAGCAUAUUACAUACACUGGCCGUCAAAAUUGGCCACCAGUGCAAAUAAACGCAGCAACAAAACAAGAGCAUAACUGAAACAACUUCAGAAGAGCUCAAGAAACGUUAUCCUGGGUAUCCACCAUGCUGGCAAUAAGCUUAGCAAGCUGAUUAGCUUUGUCAUGUUUGGCGCUAAAAUCCUCCAACACUUGCUGUUGCACCAGAAAGUAUGCAUCUGAAUGCUCCAGGGACUUCCGCAGUCCUUCCGCUUCUUGUCGCAGCACAGCUAAUCAAUGUCUUUCAGCUUGUAGUUGAGACUCAAGAAACCGAACUAAUUCAGACAGUGAGUUUAAAUAGCUUGUGCAAGCGGUAGUGGCCAGUAUCUCGAACACUAAACCAAGACAGGACUUUGGGGUUGUCUCGCUGUCUUCAAGAUAGUCUUCCUUAGCUGUUUUAUCUGCUUUGUUGGAGACCAACAAGGAUGUGUCACUAUCCUGAACCUUAUCUGCAUUACUUCCUUUAUCAUUGCUUAAUAAGGCACUCUUCCCCAAUAUUCUUUCAGCAUUCUAAAAGAAGAAACAAGCAGACACAUAACAAGUUUAGCAUGUACUAGUAUAUGAAACUCAUUUCGGUGAACCAGUUCAUUAGUAAGGUGGACAGGAUUAAACUACAAAGUCUUCUAUUGCCAAGUACUAGUACAUAAUAAAAGCAUCAAACAAACAUAUAUCUAUGUCCUAUGGUCACUUCAUUGUCUUGCCAAAUCAAAAUAGAGACAUGGUUCAAAUCAUAUCAGUUCAAGACAAAGCAGCAGUGAAAGAAUACAAAGCGUGGGAAACUACACGGCACAACAAGAUUUCAGAUGGGUACCACGGGUCUACAUGUACAACAACACUAUUGACUCUGUUGUGAUGCUAGUAAUGUGCAUGAUAUGAAAGUCAACUGUAUACACAAUUGAAAUUGAAAUCAAAAUAGCUAUUGAUAAGAGCAAACAUGUUAAAGAAACAUGCGUGAACAUACCUGUUGUGCCAUUGGAGUUUUGAUUGGAUCCUUCAAUUUAAAAAUAAGUUUGUAUCAGUAAAUACAGUGAUACAAGAGCAAAGCAAUCAUAGUUAAAAAAGGCGCUCCUAAGCGAGCGCUUAAGCGCGCCUAGGCUCUAGGCGUUGGCAAAACGCAUUGCGCAUAACUACGCUUAAUCUGUGCAUAACUGCGCAUAAGCAUGCGCUUUGGUCAGUAAAGUGCAAGGCGGUGGCAAAACGCACAAUUAACGCCUAGCGCUUUUUUGAACUAUGAUAGCAAUGGAAUCUCAAAUUAGAAUAGUUGUUGCACAGGUUUAGGCACUUGUUCUACAUGAACAGAGUACAGUAAGAUGCAAGAAUAUAAUACUUAAAAAUAGAAAAUGAGCUCAUAGACCUUACUACAUUCUUGGUUCGGGACCAGUACAGAACAAGGCGUUCCCAGUCAUCGUCCAGUAAAUGUGUCUCAGGAGAACGUAAGGGAAUUUGAUGAGUUUCUUUGCCGGUGAAGUACGUUUUCUUCAGGUAAUUCCGAUACUGCCACCAAGCAUUCUUGAAGAUAGCAGAGGUAUUAGCACAUGUUACCUCAUCCUGAGUUUCCAAAUCGGUCCUUCUCUAUAGAGAAAAAUGGGAAAAUUUGUUGUAUUAUAACCAUCAUGGAGGUAGGAUGUAUGGGAUGAAGCAAAGUAAUUGCCAUGAAUAACAUUACUUACACAUAACUCCUCGACAAACACCUGCAACUGGCAUUUUCCUUCAUCUUCAGUAUAAUAUUUCCAACAUGGGAAGAUACGCACAUACGAUUUAACAACAUCAAAUGCGAUAGAUGCUAAACUAUGACUGGCUGGUUGUGCUUCCUCCACAGGAAUAGACGUACUAACUAGUGGAGUUCGGGUUCGCCGUGAUAGUACUGGCCCUUUGGGCACUGGAGCUGCCUUACUAACUGCUCUUGUUCGGGAGCUCUGUGGUGGAGAUGGUGUUGUGUCAACAGGAACUGGGUUACUAUCGGCUGGGGUUGGGGUUAGAUAGGGUGAAGCUGGUUCUCUGUCCAUCGCAGUAGGGGUACAAUCUGCGAGAGUUCGGGUUAUCUGUGGUAGGGUUGGUUCUUGUGCAUGUACAACCGGGGUGCUAUCUCCACCAAGAGGUAGCACUGUUUUAUUUGAAGACCGUGUUUUUAUUCCGCUAGAUACUGGCAUCACCCGCUCCAAUUCAAAUGGCUGAUAAAUAGGAAACAUAAUUGAAUGUACAGACAUUGUAUGAGAGACAGAUGCAAUAAAUAGUGUGGAAAAAAGAGGGCAUGAAAUAAUUGACAUGUAUAUUGUUUAACUAAAACGGAUAGCAUGACAUAAUUUCACAUAUAUGAUGUCUAUCUAAACUGGAUAGCAUAGCAUAACAUAAUUCAAAGAUAUGAUGAAUAACUAAACAGGAUCGCAUGACAUAAUUCACCUACAUGUUAUCUAAGUAAUCAGGAUCGCAUCAUUUAAUUCACAUAUGUGAUUUAUAUGCUAAAUAGAGGGUAUUCGAUAUGAUGUCUGAACUAAGAACAUGGUGUUGAAUAUUGUGUAUAUGAUGUCUAAACUAUGCAAUGCAAGACACCAUAUGCAUGAUAUGAGCAGUAUAACCGUGCCAAGUUAGAGCAUACACCUCAGUAGGGGAAUAGGACUUGUCAUCUGUCUCUGAAUCCAUCUCUGAGGAGCUAUCGGGACCCAACAAGAGAUCUGCUUCGACAGGUAGCACUGUCUGCUCUGGAGGCCUUGUUUUCACUCCAGAUUUUUCCAUCUCCCACCCAAAUGGCUGAUUCACAGGAAGAGUAGUUUAAUGUACAAACAUUGUCGACAAAUGGAAAUGUAAUGAAGAAAAGGAUGGGCAAGAUAUCAUUCAAAUAUAUGAUGUCUGGUUAAACAGGAUGGCAUUGCACAUUUCACAUAUAUUAUGGCUGGCUAAAAGACAUGAGACUGCAUAAUUCCCAUAUAUGAUAUAGAAACUAAACAGGUGGCAUUACAGAACAUGUCUAAACUAAGAAGAUGACAUAUAUGAUGUCAAAAGUAGGCACUGCAAGGAAACAUAUGCAUGAUAUGACUAACAUCAUCAUGUCAAGGUAGAGCAAACACCUUGGUGGGUAAAUAGGAGUGGUCAGCAGCGUCUGAAUCCGCCUCAGAACAGAUAUCUUCCUCUGGAUUACAAUCUGGAGAGGGGUGGGGAGGCUUUGCCAUUGAACCCACCAUGGAGCGAUGUUAGCAUAUCCUGAUCUGCUUGUAGCUGCUGUUGCUUCUUCUUCAGGCUUCUUGCGGUGGCUAUAAGCCGGCGCUCGAAGCGCUCCCACUUUGCGGGAUCCUUAGGCACGCUGAACUCGUCGUCUCCUAGGCUCACCUCAUCUUCGGAAAGAGACAUAUAAUUGUCAUCCUCCAAGUAUCCGUCUGUCGCCUGUUCCUCUGGGCUGACUUGCCCAUGCUCCUGUUCGGCUUGUUCAAAGGUAGGCUGAUCAGGAUUGUAUUCCUCUUUGGCACCAUCUGGAUUGUUUUCUUCUCCUGUGCCGGAACUGCUGUGGCGGGGCUUGGAGCUGCACCGAUGACGCCCAUGCUUUGAUUUCCUCCCUGAGGGGUUGUCUUUUGUUGCAUCAUCGCCAUUGUGUUCUUUGGGGGUGUCCACCAUAUAUAUAUAUCAUAUGAAGAGGUGGUUGUCUAGCGCCCUGUGGGCGGUGGUUCUUGUUCUUCUCCAGCAUCGUCGUCUAUAACGUUGAUGUCUUCAGAGUCGAAGUUAAGCACGUCGGUCAAAUCAUCGACCGUGGCUAUUAAGUGGGUGGUGGGUGGGUAACGAAUUUCUUCGUCUCCAGCUUCCCACUCGAGCCGGACAUAGUUCGGCCAGGAAUCUCCUGACAGAGAUAGAGACCUUAAUGAAUUCAGCACGUCUCCAAAGGGCGAGUGCUGAAAGAUAUCUGCAUCGGUGAACUCCAUGACCAGAGCCCAAUUAGAUUCGGUGGGCACGGAUGGACGCGGUCCGGAACCUACGGCCAGAGACAAGUCCGGGGGGUCCGGAGAUACAUAUUUCCUUAGGAGCGAAGUCUGUGUUCAGCUCCAACGCCAAUGAAUGUGCGGCCUCUGGGGCGGGGUCCAUCCACCCGUCCUCGGAAGGCACGAUCUACUCUGGAUCGAAGUCUGGAGCCGUAGCAGGCGCGCUAUUCCGAAUACUGUCCGACGGCAGAUCUAAGUCAUGCAUGUCGCAAUCAUUCAGUGCUUCUGAUGUGGGUCCGAAUAUGUCGAAGAUUAAGUCUCCACGGGCAUCGCCGGUGUAGUUUAGGUUUCCAAACCUGACCUGAUGGCCAGGGGUGUAGUUGUCGAUCUGCUCCAGAUGACCAAGCGAGUUGGCCCGUAGUGCGAAGCCGCCAAACACGAAGAUCUGUCUGGGGAGAAAAAUCUCACCCAGGACAGCGUCCUUGAAGGUUGGGGGAGCCAUUGAGCCUUACAGCGACGACAUAGAGGAACUCUCAAUGAAAGCACCAAUGUUGGUGUCAAAACCGGCGGAUCUCAGGUAGGGGGUCCCGAAUUGUGCGUCUAAGGCUAAUGGUAACAGGAGACUGGGGACACGAUGUUUACCCAGGUUCGGGCUCUCGAUGGAGGUAAUACCCUACUUCCUGCUUGAUUGAUCUUGAUGAUAUGAGUAUUACAAGAGUUGAUCUACCACGAGAUCGUAUAGGCUAAACCCUAGAAGCUAGCCUAUGAUUAUGAUUAUGAUUGUGCUACGGACUAAACCCUCUGGUUUAUAUAGACACCGGAGGAGGCUAGGGUUACACAGAGUCGGUUACAGAGAAGGAGAUCUAUCAUCCGGAUUGCCAAGCUUGCCUUCCACGCAAAGGAGAGUCUCAUCCGGACACGGGACGAAGUCUUCAAUCUUGUAUCUUCAUAGUCCAACAGUCUUGCCAAAGUAUAUAGUCCGGCUGUCUGGAUACCCCCUUAUCCAGGACUCCCUCACCCCCCCUCCAUGUCCUAUUCCGACUAGAGGGGGAGGGGGCGCGCGGCUAGCCCUGGUUGCCCCUUCUCUUCUCCACUUAGGGCCCAUGAGGCCCAUUAACCCCCCGGGGGUUUCCGGUAACCCCCCGGUACUCCGGUGUACAUCCGAUAACCCGAGGAACCAUUCCGGUGUCUGAAUAUAGUCGUCCAAUAUAUCAAUCUUCAUGUCUCGAUCAUUUGAGACUCCUCGUCAUGUCCGUGAUCACAUCCGAGACUCCGAACUAUCUUCGGUACAUCAAAACACAUAAACUCAUAAUAUAACCGUCAUCUAACUUUAAGCGUGCGGACCCUACGGGUUCGAGAACUAUGUAGACAUGACCGAGACACGUUUCCGGUCAAUAACCAAUAGCGGAACCUCGAUGCUCAUAUUGGCUCCUACAUAUUCUACGAAGAUCUUUAUCGGUCAAACCGCAUAACAACAUACAUUGUUCCCUUUGUCAUCGGUAUGUGAUAACCCACAAGUGUAGGGGAUCGCAACAGCUUUUGAGGGUAGAGUAUUCAACCCAAAUUUAUUGAUUCGAUACAAGGGGAGCCAAAGAAUAUUCUUAAGUAUUAGCAGUUGAGUUGUCAAUUCAACCACACCUUGAUAACUAAUUAUUUGUAGCAAGGUAUUUAGUAGCAAAGUAGUAUGAUAGUAAUGGUAACAAUAGCAAAAGUAAAGAUAACGGUAUCUAUCUAUUAUAUUAUUAAGACAAGAGACAAAUAAGACACCACGUUCUUCCACAUAAGCUAAAAUAAUGUACAUCGUUAAUCAAUAAUAUUUACGGUCGAGAUUUAACGAUAUUACGUUACACACAAAAGUUAUGUAUGUUAAGCCAACACGUACAAGNNNNNNNNNNNNNNNNNNNNNNNNNNNNNNNNNNNNNNNNNNNNNNNNNNNNNNNNNNNNNNNNNNNNNNNNNNNNNNNNNNNNNNNNNNNNNNNNNNNNNNNNNNNNNNNNNNNNNNNNNNNNNNNNNNNNNNNNNNNNNNNNNNNNNNNNNNNNNNNNNNNNNNNNNNNNNNNNNNNNNNNNNNNNNNNNNNNNNNNNNNNNNNNNNNNNNNNNNNNNNNNNNNNNNNNNNNNNNNNNNNNNNNNNNNNNNNNNNNNNNNNNNNNNNNNNNNNNNNNNNNNNNNNNNNNNNNNNNNAUAUCACGUACGGUUGAUGGGCAGCAUACAAGGUAGAAAAGGAUGACAUGCCGGAUUACAUUGCACGUGCUGAGGUCAUGAUGACAAUAUACAAGAUCUGAAAAAGAUCCUUCACGUUUUUCUCUUUCAUCUGGGGAAAAAUAAUAGAGAAGCAGUGUACAUAGAGGUUCCAACUGGAAUCCAUCAAAAACAGAAACGGGCACGAGGUGGAGUAGCUAUCUUUUCAUCAAUCGGCCAGGGACAACCACAUAUACGAGCCCAACAUGCUACGAUUAAACUUACAGUAUCCAUCCCCUAAAAGAACUGGGCUGACAAUUCCAAACAAGGACGGGAUACGUGCAAAAUAAGAGAAGCAUAUGAUCAGACUUCCACAUGGUUUCGGCCACGUCCAAACAGCCAGCGCAACCUAUAUAAAGAGGUCCAACCUGCCGCAUAAGCACACAGAAAAGAAAUAGAAGUCAGCCAAACCAUGACUUGAAGACUCCACAAGAAAAUCGAAGUCCCAUGACCUAAUGCAUGACUCAGGACGUGCCAUGGAGAUUAAAGUUGAUUGCUUCACUCAACGUAUGGCGAAGUCAUGCCCAAGCACGCUCGACGCUUCACGAAUCAUGAAGCGAUGCCCAAUUGCUUCGUUCGACAUCCGAUGAAAUCACGCGUAAGCACUUCUGACCUGAAUCAUCAAGUUUGGUAAUUGUUAUUUACAAAUCUUCAUAGGUACUCUAUCAAUUGAUACUACGACGUACAAUAAGUUCAACACCAUAAUGAUAAGAUACGAAACUGGAACAUUCUACUAAAAGUAAUGAGAUGUGGGAUUUAGUCAAUCCUACAACAGAUGAGCUAAUUAGUCUAAGCUUAUUAGUCCUGAUAUUAUAUUGAUGGAUGAGCAUGUCUGUUCUUUAUAUUAUUAAUUUCAAAUUGGUCAAACAAUUUAAGCAAUGGUUACUAAGUAUAUCUGAAAAAAAAUUACAAUUUACGCAUUCGACAACUUUAAGGUCACGGAAUCCACAAAGUAUCGACCAGUGAGCGGUGAAAUUCAAAUAUUUUUUGAAUAUAUACAAAGGUAAAGGAGAAAAAAGAUCUCCAGAAGUUUUUUUCAGAUUAUUAUUUCGAGUUUGCUACCAAGGGCACACUACAAGAAUGGGAAGAAAAAAUAUACAAUGCUCAGGUAUGUUUAUAGUUGUAAUUACGACUUUGAAAUAAACAGUCGUUCUAAUUUAUAUAUUACUAAUCUACAAGUUUGCAUGUGUCAUUGUUUUACUAACACAAACGAAGACUGUGGAAACAAGAAUAACAAAAAAGACCCACAUCCUUCAUAUAUCCGCAAGAUUGAAAUUCUACUACCAGAGUAAGUGUAUAUGCAUAUGCAUGUCUCAAAUUGAACUAAACCUCCUUUGGCAACCAAACUGUCCUUAUUGUGACCUCAAGAAUGGCGCGUAAAUUCAAUGAUAAGUCAAUAAUCUUACAUAGAGGGAUACAUUCUUGAUUAAAUAGGUUUGCGGCUAAAGUCCAAUAAUGCCACAAGAAUAUAUGCAGAUCUGGAUAUACCUGAAACAGAUGAAGUAUGAAACACUACCAUCUAAUAUUUUUGACUCAUGAAUAGUGAUUCACGUUUAAUUCAGUAUUGCAUAACAAUUUUUCUCACCUUUGGCACGCAAAACUAUGCAAUAAAAAGAACAUUUGUGCCUAAUGUUGGGAUUGAGAUGCUCUACUUGAAUGACAAAGUAGAGGAGGUAAAGGCGCAUUUAAUUCUUUUCCUAAACUAAUACACCUUACAUAUAUUGCACAUGAAUUGAUGGAUGAUGAAGUAGACACCGUGUUAACGAAGAAGCAAAACAUGGCCAAUAAAAAGGUGAUUGAUUUUUUCCCCAUGCAUAUUUACAGAUUCUAGAAAUGUGUCAAAUUUUUUUUUAAAAAAUAUUUCUUUUGUGGUCACAAAAUAAUAGUCUCACCUUGCAAAUUGCCAUGCAAAUCAGUCCCUAUGAAAGAGGAACAACAUGACAGUAAUGGGACUACAAUAAACAAAGAUGAGCAUCAAGACAAAAUAUAAUCAUCAUCACGUGAGCUCCACAAUGACAAAAUGAGACUGGGAUCUGUUGUAAUAUCAGAUGACUCAUAGGAUGAAUGCACUUAGACGAGUUUGGCAGAGCGAAAAGAAAAGGGUGUCUGCUGAAACAAGAAUUUUUUUAAAAGUAAAAGCCAAAAAUACAAGUCUUGAAGAUGAAGCUGAAGUACAGGAAGUGCCUUUGGGGAACAAGGAAGGUUUCUUGAAAAUUUACCUUGCUGAAUAGCAGAACCAUAUAUAAGCAAAUCAACGGCCUCUCUGGUGUUCCACACAUACCACUAGCUUUGGUAGUGCCCCAUUCUGACCAAAAAUAGUGUUACCACUUUUAGACUUACGGAAAAAAUAAAUCCACUAAGUAAUCGCAUUAAGAUUAUUUCACGACUACUUGAUCAGGUGGCUAGAAGUUAUUUGAGAAAACUCAACAUGCAAAAUCCUGCUCAACAACCCUAUUUGCGAAUUGAUAAAAUACCAUCCAAGUUGACAUAUUAUCUGACAAGGUAAUCUGAUUACCAAACUAAUGCAGAAUAAUCCAUCAAAUUAAUUUUGCCAUAAGGUUACUUAAAAAAAUCGAGAAUGUUACAAGCCUAUCCAUAGCAGUCUGUAUUGUAUAAAUUAGAAAAAUAUAGUCAUACAUGCACUUCUGUCAGUUUAUUGUUCUUGGUAAUAAAAAACAUCAAUCUCAUAAGGCCUUUUCAUUAAAAAAAUCAUGAAGCCUUAUUUUUAAAGAAAAGGCAUCAUGAAUAAAAUAUUUCUUGCUAACAGCAAAUGCAAAAUACUACGGAGUGCAACACUGCUACGGAUAAACUAGAAGAGAUAUUUUUUGCUAGAAAGGAUGCAUAUCUUCAAUCGGCACUUACAUUUGGUAGAAAUCUGACAGCACCAACAAUAAGAGGCCACGAUCUCAUGGUCGUCCGCAGAAGCCGCUCACACCUUGCUGCUAUUUAUCAAUCCCACGAUCUACUUACACUCAUCUGCCUUCAGUGCCCCCAUACGAACAGCAACAAGCCCAAACUCUGUUCCGCACCUCACAUCCAACAGUCCACCAUCAGCCCGUGACUCCAUCAGUUCACUCACAGCCUCCUCCAUGGGGUGGUCGAGGAUUCACACCACAGAGGACGCGUCGAGCGUGUCUACGCACUCCAUGCGCACGGCCAACUGAGCCAAUAGAUCGACGAAGUGAAAUCAGAAGAAAUGAAUCUACGAGUACGACCGGGAUAGCUUGGGAAUUAGUCUGAUGAUGGCAAGCGGCGACAUCUUCAUCCGCUGGCCGCUAAUCGGAAGAUGUGGCGCAUGCGGAUGGAUAAGGAUCCUGGCAGUGGUGGGGAUCGACUGAGAUGAGAGGAGUGCUUUUUUUCUUAUACGUAGAUGUCUAGAUUUUUUUUGAGGGGAACGUAGAUUUUCUUUUGAGGGGAACGUAGAUGUCUAGAUGAAGGCCUGUACGGUUGUUC
rnacentral:lncRNA from 1 species